rnacentral:lncRNA from 1 species
CGGCGGGGAAUUAAACUAAAAUAAAAAAACAUGCAUAAUUAUUUUCAAUUUUCAUCCAUUUACUUCUUGGCAGUGGCGUUGUGGAUGGCCUGCUUCCCCUGCUCGACGUAGUGGGUGGUGCCGGCGACGACUGUGUCCUUAACGCCGAUCGCCCCCUCCUUGGUGUUGGCCACGAUCCCCGGGCCGGCCGGUGCAACCACGGCUGGCUUCUUCUCCUCGGCCUUGCCGCCGCCGGGCAUCAUGUCUUGGGCUUUCUUCAAUAGUCCGUCCAUAUCUAGUUAUAAACAAGUAGGAUUCAAAGAGAUGGGAAAUUGGUACGUAAGAGAUUUUAGUGUGUUUUGAUGGGUUUCAUGGGAUAUAUGGUACGUACUAGUUAUAUAGUGGUACAAAUUUUGGGAAGUUUGGAAGAUAUUUUGAUUGGCUUUUGCUGUGUGUGGCUUACAAUUGGCUUGCCGACAUCGAAAUGAACAGGUUCUACGUGAUAGUCUUUACACGUUGCUCUUUGCUGCUUUUUCUUUAACAUGAAUAUAUACUGAUAAAAGGUGGGACCAUUUAUGAGCCGGGCAGCUCGAUCGCAAGCAGUUCGGUUUAAAUAUUCGCUUUUGAAAUUGGUUUAAUUUGACCUGAUAGAUUCAUGAGCUAAUUCGAGUUCGAGAAUCAGGUCUAGUAUAUGGAUCAUUUGUAAAUUUAAUAAUGUAGUGUGUACAUGAUUGCUUCAAAUUACGUACGGUAAAUCACAUGUAAUUUGUAAUUAUGCUAAUGAAAAUACUGGUACAUCGUUUAAGUUUAAUUAACCAUCUUAAGUGGGAAAAGUAUAAACUUGUAAAGUUUUAGGAUAAUUUUUUCUUUUAGGUUUGACUCAUCGAAGUUUCUAGUGUACAAGCUUCCAAUUCUCCGUCCAAAUUGGACUCAUUGGGGGUUUUUUAAGAGUAAAGUUCGAGAUGACCUCGAGUUUCAUUCGCCAAGGUUAGUUAACGAGGCAAAUUUGAAUAAGCUCUAACUCGACAUAAGUUAAAAUAUUUUAACUCAAACACGUUUAAAAAAUAAUUAACUAAUAUUCUUAAACACGAUAAAUUUUGACUCGAAUCGAUUUGUAAACCGUCUUAAAAAUGAUGAUGAGUGAGAUUAUAUAUAUAGAUAAUUUGAAUGGUUUUAUGCAUAUAGAUUGAUAAUUUGGAUUAUUUUUUGUUAGUUGUGGUUUGCUUUGAGUGCCUUUUUUAACUUGUUGUGGAGUAGUCAUAAGAGUAGUAGCUUGCCACACACAGUCUAUACUCUGUACGAUGUGGCUUUAAUUGAUGGGAAGCCAAUCAAGAUCAUGGGUUGGUUUUUGUCAGCUUUUAUAAUAAUCUGACUGAAUUAUUUGAUUUUGAGUCAUAAUAUCUAACCGAAAAAUAUUUAGGAUAGGACCAGAAAAAGCCAACACAAGUAUAGUUGCCGACAUACNNNNNNNNNNNNNNNNNNNUAAUAAUGUCGACCACUGAGAGGUUUUGUGGAUAUGCUUUCGAGAUGCCUCAUAGCCAAUGCCAUAUUUUGCUUCUUCUUGGAAUUAUUUGUAAAAAUAUACUAAACCUACGGAAAUANNNNNNNNNNNNNNNNNNNNNNNNNNNNNNNNNNNNNNNNNNGGAAAUAUUAAAGUCGAUAAUCCGGAUUUGAAGGGUGCUUUGGUCUCAUUGUUUGUUUUAAGUAAAUUUUUAAAAUAUUUGUACAGUUCUCCAUUCUUAAUAUAGCUUACUUUUGUUGAUAAAAAAAAAUAAGGGGAACUAAUUUUUUCAUUUUCACCAAAUUCUAAUUUUAUUCCACAUUCCGCCUCAUAAAAUACCAACAGAUCACUAAUUUAUGAGGAAUGAGUGUUUAAAAAGAUACAUAUGUUGAUUUUAUGUUUAGCGAUGUGUGAUACACGAUUAAGUAUAUAAUUUACCAUCACAUUUUGUCGUACGUUGAUGUUUACGUUUACCCAUUUUGAUUGAUCCAAUGUAUAUGCUAUGAGUUUUUCAUGUUCCCCGCAUCCUCGGCUCGUUCAUUUCACAAAUAUAGGUUAGGUGCAUGAAACAGAUUUNNNNNNNNNNNNNNNNNNNNNNNNNNNNNNNACAGAUUUUAAUAUUAAUCGAUACAAUCCUUUCCAUAUAACUCAUUUUUAAAAAAUUUAGCUUCAAAGAAAAUGAUGUCCAAAAGAUUAUAAGCUCGAAUGCAUGACAUGUACCAUAAUUAGUUAUGUGAUACUAAUCAAUUAUCCGCGGCAGAAGUGUUAUUAAUUAAAAUAAAGAUCGAUUUAGUCUUCGGUUUUAGACAUUUUGGUGGUCGAAUACAAACUCUUGAUGAGUAACACAAAAUCCAAAUCCAAAAUCUAAAAUCCAAAAUUGAAAACCCAGUACUCUAGACGCUAAACUUUAAAAUCCAAAAUAAAAAAUCGAAACCAACCACUAAACCCAAACUCAAACCGAAACAAAUAAUAAAUUAAAUAAUUUUGUUGAAAAGACUUCCGUGUCCUUCUUAUGCAGACGUUAGAUCUGUCAAAGUGCAAAACCCAUAAAAUUUAACGGUCUAGAAUCAUCCUGGAAUGUUUUUCCGCCUGGAUUUUAAACCUGGCUCAAAAAGCUCGAUAGAACGAAUCGGGUAGAGCAACCGUAUAGAAUGUUUAUAUUGUUUGAUGUGCGUUAAUGAGAGUAAUGUUUUAAUCUCCCCGUGGCGAGCCCUGAGUGACUUGGGGGUGUCGAGACUAAUCAGGGUCGUUUGAGCGUCCAACUGUAAUCGAGGGAGAAAUCCUAGCGGGAAGGAAACCUUUCGACAGUUCGGCGCCUCGAGUGGCCAAGCUGUUGCUCCGAGGCUGAUAUAACUGAGAUUUUAUAAGUUAAUUAAAUUAAAAACAUGUUUUAAUUUAAUUAAACAAAUACCAUGAAAUAGUGAAGCAGAAAAAUCAAAACAGAAACAAAACACCACAAAAUGUGAGUACAAACUGGAAAAAGAAACACAUUACGGAGGUCGAUCGGUGAAGACGGUAGGGUAGUGAGCAUUUAAAUUGUUUCUCCUUCACUUUGUUUUAUUCCGAUGAUUUGAGUAAACAUCAAAGCUGUCCGAAACCGAUAGGAGAUACGAAUCUAGAGUCGUUCCCGAAAAACGCAUUGGCCGAUAAUUUGGUGACGAACUCCGUCGGGUGGAAGCCAUCCCAAAACAAAUGCUCGUCUCGAUUCUGACAAAGUGUAGAUGUUUGGUUGCACACCCCGCUUCCUUCUCCGCAACACGGGACUUCCACCUCCUUCAAACCUGCACAUCGGUUGUUCCAAGUAUGGAUAGUUGAUAUUCAUUAUUUGUUUUAGUAUAUAGUUGAGUCAUUAUUAACUAUAUUUUUACCAAAAUCGGCACCGUGGCUGAUGAAAUCCAUAGUGAUGUUGAAGGCGUUACCGAGGGAGAACUUAACGUCGGGAGCUAACUCCGCAAGCUUCUUAGAUGCCAGAGUGAAGCCGUCGAAGAAAGCUUGAGCCAGCAAAUUCGCUCCAUCGAAGCAGCCGCUGGUUUCAUUGAACGAUCGCGCAAAUGGGCAGCACCCAAGUGCCGGAAUCAUCACUAUGGCGAACUUCUUUGCUCCUUUUAUAUACAAUUCCUGCCCAAUGUAACGUAUUUCGGUAUCAUUCAUUCCGAAAUCAUUUUCUAACCACUCAAAUUAUAUUGAGAUUAAUUGGUCAAUAGUAUUAAAUAUUUUAUUUUAUUAUAGAUCCCACUUUACCAAAAAUCUAGCUAACCUGAAGAUGGCCUCCGUAUUCCGUAAUCAAAGAGGUGACCAACUCCUCGCCGGAGACGUUGAAAUUGGGAGCAGCGGGGAAGGAAGAGAUAUUCCGUAGGUAAUCGAAGAUGUCGUUGCUUCCAACGCUGAUGAGAAACACGGACUCCGCGAUCAGCUUGGCGGCUGCUGUCGGCCCUAACAAUGCUGACAGGUUUGCGGCUACCGUCGUAAAUUGUUCUAUCUGGGUUUUCAAAGGAACCACCUGCAAAACAUUUUGAUCCACCGAGAUUUGAGUUAUAGUACCAACAAUUUUUUGUAUCAGAUAUAUCGAACUGGUAAGGCUAAUUCAAUACUUACUCCGAUGGUAGAGCCGGUCGAGUCGAAAAUUCCACAGCCGGCCGAGGCGAAGUUGACGCCCUUCGUUAUGGUUUCGUUGAAUUUUUUACUGCAGGCCCCGCCGGCGACGAGAGAGAGGAACGGCGGCGGACUUCCGGUGAACCCCAUUUUCUUUCCUGUCGCGGGAAAAAAUGAAAUAGAAUAACGGUUAGUUCUACAUAGUCAAUGUGAGCUGUGAUCGAGCCCACGGGCCCAACAUGGUCUAUGGUAGUAAGCCCUCAAGCUCAAGAAGGAAGCUGCUGUUGAUUAGAGCGGGUCACGAAUCGCGCUGGGCCCAAUUUAGGUUCGUUAAUGUUUAGCGAAUUUGAGCAAGACAAUUUUGGUUUGUGUCGAGUUUGAGCUGACUCGUUAAAUAUCAUUGACGGGUCAAACUCGAGGUCAGCUCGAACUUCGUUCAUAAAAAUCUCUAAUGAAAAUCUAAUUUAAGCAAAAUUUAUAUGGAUAAGUCAAGUUAAAAAGGUGCUAUGAUGGUUACCAAUUUGGUCAGCAAGAUUGAAGCCAUUGCUGAACCUUCCAAUGGGCAAAGAAGAAGAAGAAUCAAUGCCAUAAAACGGGAAGCUAGCGGUCGCCGUGCUGGCCGGCAAGUAAUCAUUGGUCCCGACAUCGACUAUCGAGUCCCCAAAUACGUACACCGCCGGGAAAGUACAAGCUGACGGCGAUGAGCAUGAAACACAGAUGUGGUUGUUAUCAAUAUUGAGAACCAAGAAGCAAACAAGUAGUAUUGCCGACAAAACCCUGAAUUUCGUCGCCAUUAAUUUUUCAAUUCCUUUGUGUUUGGUUUGGGGGUUCUCGAUCCUGGGCGGCUCCUAUUUAUAAACGAGACACGUGUCUUUGAAUUCUAUGUCGAAUAUCUAUUUGCGGCUGAUUAAUUUACAAUUUACAUGUUUGUUUUUCUUUUCUCGUCCGGUUAUAAUUUAAUGUUACUUCAGAGGCGAGUUUUACGAUUGGAAGAACAUUUAGGUGUAGACGUCCAAGCCCUAGGUCGUCGGCGGAUCUUGUUAGAUUUUGUACUUUGGUGUUCUGUUUCUUCCUGCGGAAUGGACUAAUGAAGUUUUGUCAUUUUGAUUUCACUUUUUUUAUAUAGAGUUUUAUCGUAAAACCUUCAAUGAUAGAUUGUAAUCAUUAGUAAAAAAUAAAAUAGAAUAGCGCAACAUUUAAAUAAACAGUACGGAAAUAAUCAACAUUCGCAAAGAGAAGGUUAAACGCAGGAUGGAAACCAAAGGGAAGAGAGUGCUCAUAGUGGGCAAGGACAUUCACGACGUGCGCGGUUGCUUUCACGAAAAAGUGUGUGUGAUAUGCACAACUCAAUUUCUCUUCAGGAGUUGCUGCGUCUCCAUAAUGUAAGAGAGAUGUCGAAAAUCAUCAGAAGGGUGAUCUCCCAGAACACUUGAAAUUGUACAUUGAGAAUCCAGUUGCAAGGUCACCUUUCAAAAGCCCCGAUCCCAAGCAAGUACAGUAGGGUUUACAAGGAGAGAGUGAGUGAACUUCGCAAGUAUAGACCUUAGAGAGUGGUUUACAAAUGAUUAUUUUCUGAGUUGCGCGAUAAUUAGUGGUUUGGGAGAGCGGCUUAGCUUGUCACCUAAAAUUUAUUACGAUCUACUGGUCUAGUUGGUUCGCAAGUUUGAGUCAACUCGAAUCGAGCUAUGAAGACGAAUCAAAAUUACCUCAAGUUCAACUCAUUUAAUUUACUAUUAAAUCAAACCUUUUCGAACUUUAUAAUAGUUUUCGAAACCAAAUACGGGACGGCGGACGAAUAGCUUGUAAAUACAAAGAGUUAGCCGGUGAGAAUAAAUGCUGCUAAAUGCUGUAUAUUAACCAACGGGCAAAACAAAAGCAUACGUGGGGAAUCGAUAAGAAUUAAGAUGAAUAAGAGUACAAGAUGAUCAUUUGAUCAUGCACUUCGAUGUAAUAUGUCGGAUGACUUCUGGGGACUAUACAUUACUUUAAAUAAUGACACACACUUCUUACCAAUAAUAAUAAUAAUAAUAAUAAUGACACACACUAACUACACUUUAUAUUAUUAUUGUAUUCUUCCGAACAACAUUGGUGUAUUUUAGGACAUUUUGGAUAGUCAUGUUUGGAAUUUUUGGGUAUAUUUUUCGUGUGGAUUUACAGUAUAUGAUUUUUUUACGAUAAUUCGAUAAAUAUCCACAUCACAUGCAGACGGUAUCAUAAAUACAUAGCUACCCCUUUACAUAAGUCAGUCAGUGAUAAAACGAUCAGCAUUGUCACAUUUAUUUUUAGUUAUAAAAUAUUCUUGUUAAUGUACGAUAAAUGUUGGUGAUAAAACGGUGUUAUAUCCACCACCGACGAUUUUUGCCGUCCUUUUCUCUUCCAAUUUUUAUUAAGAAUCGUUUGGUCCCAAUAAUACUUGAGUUUAAUAUAGAUUUUUAAAAUACAUAGAUACAUAGCACAUGAUUCAUAUUCAUUAUUCAUCAGCUGAUCAAGCAACCAACUGCAAAAACUAACCAUCUAGAUAGUACUUUAGAUGUUUUAUUUUCCAUUGGAAGACCACCCUCGAAUUUCAACAGCUCAACUUGUUAACCAGCUGUUUCAAACUCACACCCUCGCCAACAUCCUUCCUAACCUGUUCCUUAAUCUCCCCAGCAACCUUCCUCAGCUUCACAUCCUCCAUCAACACCUUAAUCCUCUCCCCAAUCUCUUCCCCCUUCACCAAGAAAUCUCCCAUCCAACCCCAUUCCCCACCCAUAAACCCUAGCCCACACCUCUCCACCACCUCCCCAUUGACCAUCUGAUCUCCACCAGGCGGCCACCCCAUCAUAGGAACACCAAACCACGCAGAUUCCACCACAGAGUUCCACCCGCAAUGGCUCAAAAACCCUCCCACCGAUUCGUGCCCAAUCACUUCGGCUUGAUCCACCCACUCCUUCACCACCACCCCUCUCUUCCCAACCUCCUCCGUCAUCUCCUCUCCCAAAACAUCUUCCAACGCCUCUUUGUCGUUUUGGUCCACCACUUUGUCCUUCACCACCCAGACGAAAUGAACCCCUGACCGGAUCAGCCCUUUUCCCAACUCCUUGAUCUGGUCUCUUGGCAGAGUCGUCCUGCUCCCGAAGCUCACGUACACAACGGAUUUCGCUGGCUUCCCUUCUAACCACUUCAACGCCAUUUCUGUUCCUGUUGUUGGAAUAAAAAUCACUAGUUUACCAAUUGUGUUUAUUGUGUCAUGGCCUCAUGGGUACUAAAAUGUUAUGAUAUAAAGUGUAGAAUAUCCUAAAAUUCAUCAAUAAUUAAACGAGGGGCUAAACUGUAAAUGACAAAAUAGCUACCACCAUUGGUUAUAGACAGGGUUAUGGUCCCCAAGAAUCGGAUACCAACUCAUUUUUUCAUAUCCAAUUAAAGAAAUUUUAAGAAAGAGAGAAAACUACAUUCUUCAUCAAAGAUCUUUCUGUACUUCCUGCAUUUGUUCUUCCAUUAUAGCAUGAAAUUAAUGACUCUGCUACUAAGGCAUCGAUUUUAGGUCGAAACUGGACCAAUUUAUAAUACGUGCGUCCAAUUCUGUCGAAUAUGUUAUCUGAACACAAAACAUGACCGGGUUCAAUUUAGAAUAAUUGCAAAUUCCAACUUGAAUAUGAACAUAAUUGUUUAUUUAUCGAUAUUUUCAUGCAAAGGUUUAAGGGGCAAUAAAGACAAAACACCUGAGCCUCUUUCUAACUUGGUCUCGAACCCAUGGGGGAUCAGUCCGAUGUUGAACAGAGGAGGUAAACGGUCAUCUACUUCCCCUGUUCUGAUCGCUUUCAGAGCUUCAGAUUCCAGGCAGUCAAACGAGUUUAUCACCACUCCGUCGAAUUUGGAGAGGCACUCGCCGCUGGAUUUGAACAAGCUGGAGAACAGAGUCUCCGGGUUCAGAAGCACCGGCGGGACCGACGAUCUCGGCACGUCUCCAAUUCCGGGGACUUCGAAUUUCCCGGCGGAUUCGAGUUGGGUUUUGGAUAAACUAGGGUAAUGGGAGAGAAAAGAGAACAUUCUGGCCGAGGACACGUAGAGGAUGUAGUUAGGGAUGUUGAGAGGUUGGGUGACGGAGAUGGUGGAGGAGAGUAAGGAUACGUCGGAGAACAGAGCAGCUGGCGGCGGGGAAAGGGAAGAGAGGAUGGAAGAUAAGUUUGGGAGGGAUCGGCGAAUGGCUUCCCACUGGAGGCAAAAGGGGUCGGUGGAGUUGGCGGUGGACGGGUCUAUCGGGAGGAUGUGGAAUUGCUGCUCGGAGACUUGUGGGUAAGCGGCGAGGAAUUUGGAGAUUAGUGAUGACUCUGCCUGAGAUACGAUUGGGUGGCUGGUGAUUAGGGUGACGUGGCAGUCUUGACUCAGUAAGUUUGCGGCUAGGCGGAGGAAUGGCAUGAGGUGGCCGGCGCCAGAGCUUGGGAGUAGGGCGACGUGGGGAGAGGGCCGGCGAUGGAGGGAAUCGGCGGUGGUUGUUGUUGACAUGGCGGCGGCUUUGAAUUGGAAUGGUAGUCGGAGGGGGGGAAGGUUGAGGUUUUGGUGAUCGAAUGAGCGACGUAGUUGGAUGCUUUUGUAGGAGUUUUGUCGGUAGCGGUGAAAACGAUUUUUUACUGCGGAACACCGUUAAAAAAAAUAUGUUAAUUGUUUCGGAAUUCAUAUAAGGAAGUUACAAAAUUUAUUGUUGCUCACUUAUAGGUUAUAUUUGGUCGCGUACAUCUUUGUUGUUGAUUGGUUGGCGUGAACUCUAAAAAUAUGUUUCAAUUUGACCCCUUAGACGAUAUGAUAUGAGCAAUAUUACCUCGUGGUAAAACAAUAUUACCAUGAACAACAUUCAAUUUGACACCUUUAUCUUGGUUGUUGGUUGCGGUUAGGAGAGUUUAAUAUUUCAUAAAUGCAAAUUUCAACUGUGAUGGAGUUGAAAGUGACUCCCUUUAACUGCAAUUUGCAGCAGAACUUGAUUUCAUUUUCAUAAUUAAUAUAUAUAGUAAUAAUUGUCUAAAUUGGAAUUUUGAUUUUAAAUCUUAUUUAUUUGUAUUAGCAUCAUUCUUCGUCUCCAAUUCAACAAACUUAUAUAUGGUGUAUAUAUAAGUUUGGAUCACUAUUAAUAAGACUACCCCACCAACCCAACCACUCCCAUUAAAUUAUUAUUGUGCCCUGUACACCCUGCAAUGGUCCACUGUGUUUAUGAGCAUUGCAUGGAAUGCGGAUCCAAGAUCAAACCAUACACCGAGCUAAAUAUUGAAAUUUAUAUAUCAAAAUAAUCCAUUUAUAAAUAUAUAUUUUUUAUUAUUUUUAGAGAAGCUAAUCAAGUGGCACACCGUUUGGCUCAUCUGCUGCCCAUUCAUUCGUGUUUUUGUGAUUGGACUGCUUUUUUUUCUUCCAUCGGCCAUUGUCAAUGUGGUAGCCUGCGAAACGAUUCACUCAUUAUUCUUAAUGUAAGUUGUUUUUCAUAAAAAAAAGUUGUCCUUAAAGAUUAAAUAUAUCAUCAAUAACUUUUUUUACUAACCAAACAGUGGGCAAGCUGAAAUUAGGAUUAGCAUAUAUUGAGUAGGUAUUUAGCCGAAACAACAAAAUAUUUAACCGAAUUUAAAAUUACCAUGAACCAUAUUCAAAAUAAUUAUAAAUAUAUAUUGAAAUUAGGAUUAGAGCCGAAAUUUAUCUAGAGCCGUGACUAUAUAGUCACCCCUAUAUCGGUCCCUGUAAUGCAAUCAAUGAAUAAGACAUUCUUCCCGUGAAUGUUGAAACAAGCAAGGACGGUAUAUAUAUUUCCUCUGGAACUUUUUCCAUUCACUUGUGACCAACUCAUCGGUUCCAGAAGAUAAUAUUUCAAGGACCAACUUUCCUGUCACAAAUAAUAGUUGUUGGCGACACUGAAAUCUGUCGUUGAUAAUGUAAUUUCCCGACGACCAAAAGAUUCAUCCCAGAAGGUUAGUAGUUUUAGUUCUAUGGCAAACGGAUGAUCAUAUUUCAGAUGUAUGAGGAUUUUAAUUAAUCGAACAUUCAGAGUUUUUAUCUUGGAUUUUUGACCUUACCUCCAACCCGUUAAGGUAAAACAACAUUUUUUUUUUAUAUUUUUCGAUAAAUCUGUCGUUUGUCCAUUUCGACAAAAAAUCCUCCAAUUUCAAAAUUUCAAUACUCUUUUUUCUUUUUUAAUUUAUGCUUCAUCAUCGUCAAUAUCUCCUUUUUCUUCUUUGAUGUAGUAGAUAAUCAAUCAAUGAUUCUUCAUUAUUAGUUAUCAGAGUUUGUGAUUCAUCAAACUUAAAGAGUAUUUGGUUGGUUUUCCAGUUAAUAAUAACUGAGGGUUAAAAACAUCAAUUCAAUCAAAUAUAAUAAUGGUAUUAAAUCAAAUUUAAUAACUUUUUACUGUAGCGGUUAUUAACAAUUAAACAAUAGAUAUACACUAACUGAAAUCGAUCCGAACUGUUGCCAAACCUACCCUUUGCCACGAAAAUGACCACAUCGAUAGGACACGAAGUCGGAGAAUUCAAAAUUUAAAUUGUGAAUCAGCCGCACAAAUACGGUGCGUUUUAGCUUUUAUUUCUUGUUGUUUAAGCCAGAAAAGAAAAAAGGGUAAGCAAGUCAAUAUUCUCUUUCACCGCUUUCUCAAACUCCCCGGAAAAACCUCUUCUAAACCUCCUUUCUAGAGUUCUCUCAUCAACACCGCCGGCGAUUGAGAUGGAGAUAGAUCCUCCGAUGCAAGCUUCCGAGCUCUCUCAGAUCAAAGACGAAGACCUCUUCAAAGCCGCCGAGACCGGCGAGUGUUCGGUCCUCAGCUCGCUCCCUCCGCCGCAGCUCACCAAAUCCCUCUCCCUCCGGAACGAUGACCGCCGCUCCCUCCUCCACGUCGCCUCUUCCUCCUCCUCCACGUCGCCUCUUCCUCCGGCCACCCCGAGGUACUCCGAUUCGUGAAUCGAUUUCCAAAUUUGUUAUGUUCGUUGCUAAUGCGAAACCAAAUUUGAUAAUUAUCAGGCGGUGAAGAUUCUGUUGGAGGUUGAAGGAUCUGAAAGCGUUGUGAACAGCACGGACGAGGAAGGUUGGGCGCCGCUGCACUCCGCCUCUAGCAUUGGAAGUGUUCCGAUCGUCGAGAUUUUGUUGAGCAAAGGUAAAGAAGAGGAACAUGUAGUGUUAGUUGGAAGUGCCCGUAGUUUGAAUUGAUUUGAUGACUGGGAGGAUUUUGAAUAGGGGCGGAUGUGAAUUUGAAGAACGAUGGAGGACGAACUGCGCUCCACUAUGCUGCGAGCAAGGGAUGGUUGAAGAUUGCUGAAGUGUUGAUUGCACAUGGUGCUAAAUUGAACGUGAAGGACAAGGCUUGUAAACUUUACUUGACUGUGAUUUGAAUGUGAAUAGCUCGUUUUGUGAAGCUACAUUGUCUUAAUACGGUUUCUCUAAUGCUGUAUUCAGGUAGGAUGCACACCAUUGCAUCGAGCAGCGAGUGUCGGGAAGGCGGAGUUGUGCGAAUUCUUAGUUGAGGAAGGAGCAGAGGUUGACGCUGUGGAUAGAGCUGGUCAAACACCUCUUAUGAAUGCUGUGAUAUGCGAUAAUAGAGAGGUGAGCUUUGGCCAAAAUGCUUUAGAUUUUUCUAUGUUUCUCAAAUGGUAGCCCUUUACUGUCAAUUGGAAGUUCUUUCUGAAUGCUUGCUGUAAACAGGUAGCUCUUCUUCUAAUAAGGCAUGGAGCAGAUGUGGAUGCGGAGGACAAAGAAGAAUACACUGUGCUUGGUCGAGCUUCGCGCGACUUUAGGGAUAUUCUCAUUGAUGCUGCAAAAGCCAUGCUUGAAGGGUGAAGCCUUCCCUGGUAACAUAACUUAGGUUUGGCUCUCCAAUCAGUUGAUUGGUUAUACUAUCCGAACACAUGCUUGUAUGGAUCCUGUAGCAGGGAACAUCUUUCAUCCUCGGUUUUAGUAGCUUCUCCAAGUUUUUUUCUAGCUACAUACAGUUUUGUUAACUCCUUUUAUCAGAAAGGUUGAUAGAAUCUUGAUAACCACAUUUGAAGCUCUAGAAUCUGAGGCAGUUUCCGAUGCCAGAAAGUAUGGAGGUAAUACCUAACUUGCCUCGGAUUCUUGAACUCACACACACCCAUGUGAGUUCAAGCCUGAGGGACUCCGCGAGCCAGUGAGAUGGCUCGAGUGGCUCGUUCGUCAGGUCUGUAGUAUAUGCUUGGUUUCGGCAUUAGGACAGCGUUACCGAUAAUAGACUUGAUAGUUCAACCACAAACACAAAAGAAAGAACGAAGAAUCUAUCGUCUCAGACUGGUAUAAGUAUCGGAAUAUGAAUCAAUCAUCACUACUCUCUUUGUUUCUUUACAGCUAAGGUUCUCAUGCUUAUUCAAUCUACGGGUACUAAUUACUAACUUGGUAGGUUAGUUUCCACACCUAACACAUUCAGUGUGCAUUUAUGAGCGUUGUACAUUGUUUUCAGUAAGAUGCCAAUGUCGAAUUAAAUGUCAUCCAUACCGGAUGAUAAUAAUUUACGGUUUAGCCCUCACUCGACUAGAGCUACCAUGAUCAUGUUUAUAUUUUAUACGUCGAACACAUUUAUGCCAUCCGAUUACUGCUUCAAAUCAUCCGAGAUUGCUACUAUGUGUAGUAAGUUUUCUACUAUAGUAAAUGUUGAAUUACCCGGGAAGUGAGAAACUAUAAUAGCGAUACUAAUCGAAACCUAAUGUCUGCAUUUGAUCAAUUCGAUCCAAUAUGAUGUCACCGAUCGAUUUCGACAAGAGUAAAUAUCGAAUUACGUGAGAGAUUACAAAAAAUUAUCGUGGUAUUGAAGUUUAGUGGAAAAUGGAAAUGGGUGAUGGAAGAAUUGUACUAUGAAUUGACGACAUGGUAUGAUCGUAGCCACAAGAUCCACCUAACCGAACUACCCAAGAAAAACAAAACCAUCUACAUAACCUACAAGUCCGAACUACUACGUAACACACUCUUCUAACUCGCACUUCAAACUCCCUCCCUCUGACCACCGUCAAACAAAAACCAAUGACAACCUCCGACGACCACCGCCCCCACGUAGCCCUUCUCCCAAGCUCCGGCGCCGGCCACCUCAUGCCAUUCCUCCGUCUAGCAGCAACCUUACUCGCCAAAAAUGUCCGAGUCACCUUAAUCACCAGCCACCCAAUCGUCACCGAUGCUGAGUCAUCUCUGAUUUCCCAUUUCCUCGCCGCCUUCCCACAAGUCUCGGAGCAGCAAUUCCACAUCCUCCCCAUAGACCCAUCCACCGCCAACUCCACCGACCCAUUCUUCCUCCAGUGGGAAUCCAUCCGCCGCUCCCUCCACCUCCUCUCCUCCAUCCUCUCUUCCCUGUCCCCGCCGCCGGCAGCCAUGGUCUCCGACAUAACCUUAAUCUCCUCCACCAUCUCCGUCUCCCAGGAGCUUCAAAUCCCCAACUACGUUCUCUUCACUUCCUCCGCCAGAAUGCUAUCUUUGGUAACCCGUUACCCUGCCUUCACCAAAACCCAGAUCGAAUCCGCCGACAAGUUCGAAAUCUCGGGAAUCGGAGACUUACCCAGAUCGUCGAUCCCGCCGUUGCUUCUAAAGCCGGAGUCUUUAUUCGCAACCAUGUUCAAAUCUAACAGCGAGAAUCUCCGCAAGUUCGACGGAAUCCUGAUCAACACGUUUGACAGGCUGGAAUCUAAAGCUCUGUCAGCGAUCAGGAAAGGGGAAGUUGCAGAUGGGUUGCCGCAUUUGUUCAAUGUCGGAUUGAUUCCUCACGAUUUCGAGAGGAAAUUAGGAGUCGGAGGAAGGAGGACGGGAGAGGUGAUGAAAUGGUUGGAUGGGAAGGAGGCGAAUUCGGUGGUGUAUGUGAGCUUUGGAAGCAGGACGGCUCUGUCGAGAGAUCAGAUUAAGGAGCUGGGGAAAGGGUUGGUUGAGUCAGGGUUUGGGUUUGUUUGGGUGAUGAAGGAUAAAGUGGUGGACAAGGAAGAUGGGGAGAGAUUGGAGGAUGUUUUGGGAGAGGAGAUGAUGAAGGAGGUUGGGGAAAGAGGGUUAGUGGUGAAGGAAUGGGUGGAUCAAGUUGAAGUGAUUGGGCAUGAUUCGGUUGGUGGGUUUGUGAGCCAUUGUGGGUGGAACUCUGUGGUGGAAGCUGCAUGGGCUGGGGUGCCUGUGCUAGCUUGGCCGCUUCAUGGAGAUCAGAGGAUCAAUGGGGAAGUGGUGGAAGGGUGUGGGUUGGGGUUUGUGGGUGGGGGGAAUUGGGGGUUGGGUUUGGUUAAGGGGGAGGAGAUUGGGGUUAGGAUUAAGGAGUUGAUGGGUGCUGAGAAGAAGGUGAGGGAAUUGGCUAAGGAGAUUAGGGUUGAGGUUAGGGGUGAUGUUGGGGUUGGUGGGAGGUGUGAUUUGGGUUUGGAUUUGUUGGUUGAGAAGUGGAGUACUUGAACAAGUGUUUUCCACUUAGGGGUUGUGGUCCAAUUGACAGGUUGGAUCUUUAAUAAUGUUACAUUUUUAGAUUAUGUUUGUUACUACACAAGGAAGUUUAAUUGAGUUGAUUAAAGAGCAUUUAGGAAUGUUAUGUUGCUUAAUGGUUACACCCACCAAACAAGCUUAAUGGAUCCAUUAUAGUGUACUUUUCUACUAGUGAUACCACGAUUACGAAGUCCUCAUUCCCACCAAAACGAGGUUCAAUCAAUUCAUAAUAACCACAUGAAAAUGGUACCAAUAUGGUUAACCAUGCCCAUUUAAAAUGAAUAAUCAUAUUUUCUUAGUCCCAAAAAUAAAAUACAAAUACUAUUAAGUGUUUAUACAUAAAGUGUUAAAACUCCAUCUUAAUAUAUUCGAAAUCUCUAACUACAAAACACAAUACGAUAUUUUAAUGGAGCAUGAAACACCAUCUCCCCCAUCUUCCCAGUUUAAUAUAUCUUGAGCCAGAUUCACAGUAGUUCCUCCCUAAAUUACCCAGCUCUGAGAGGCACUUAUUCAAUCAAGAACUCCACUUGUCAACCAACAAAUUCAAACCCACAUCACACUUCCCGCCAACUCCAACAGCACCCCUAACAUGAACCCUAAUCUCCUUAGCAACUACACUAUCUGCUUCAGAAGAUCACACAUGUGUUGCUGCAGAUGGCUUACAUAUAAAAGGAACUGCUGUAAGUAUUAUAUUUUACAUUCAGGGACUAUUAAUUACUCUAUUAGUUGAUAUGUUUUCCAAACUUCUUUUGCUCACAAAACAUACUUCCAUAUUUUCUAUGUUUGUUCAUCCAAAUUGCUGUUUUCUUCUUGUCCACAUUUCUGCUGUCAGUAUUAUUUUGUGAUUCAUUCAUCUAUCAUUCUAAACAUUAACACAGGUUGAAAGGUCACCAGAUGAUAUAGUUGAAAGCCUGGAUAUUCCAACAUCAGCAAAUGGGAAAGAUAGACAUGAAUGUUACCAAAACAAAACAUUAAUCGUGCCUAAGAAUUUUCUUUGUGUACCUGAUACCUUGGAUCCCAUGGAAGGUAAUAUUCUAUCUAGUUAUCAUUACGUUUCGAGUGAUUGACCUAACAACAAAACUGUUUCCCAACACAGAACUGGUCUGAUGUUUGUUAUACUACAGAGUACGCACCAAAUGCUCAGGGGCACAGUACAUGCUUUGACAAAGAACAAUCAUCAAUUGACACUUCCAUUUCAGAAAGAGUGGUUUCUGAAUCAAAUCAAGGAGAUGAAAUAACCACAGGGAUGUCACACGUAGGCAUUGACAAGGAAGAGCCAAUUGUAGCUGACACUUUCAUGUCUGAAGAAGCGCUUUCUGAACCAUAUAUGGAGGAUGAACUGGCUGCAGGAAGUUCAAGUGGAAGCUCUGCGAAGUUUGACUCUGAUUCAGCUGGUCAAGACACAGCAAAUUUAAUGACGACACUUCUGCUUCCACAAGCAAUUCCUCUUCUUAAGGAAUCCUCGGACAAGAAAAGGAAAUCCAAUGCCAUGGCGAAAAACUUUAUUCCUAGAACAAAACCUCAGGAGGAAAAUGAAGAAAUUUCUUAUGUUCAAUUGUCUAAAAUCCAGCAAACUGAGGCUGUUGUUGUAGACAGUUUUGAGGACAAACAAUGUGAGGAUUAUGUUCUAGGACAACCUGUGCUUCUCUCUGACAAUGCCAAAGAACAAUCCGGUGAUAGGGAAGAUGAAAGAAUUCCUCACACUUCUGACGGCCCUCUAGAUCUAGAAUUAAGGGAGGCAGAUAGGGAAAUCUCUGUACCGUCAUCCAAAUCCAUUGCUACAGGAGCAAGGACAACUGAAACCAAGAAGCAAGGCCUUUGUCCAGGUGACAGAAAGGUAUAUACGAGAAAAAAGACUGCUGCUAAAGCAGUAAAGCACAGUGAUCCCUUGUCAGAAAGCAUAAUAUGCAGAAACUAUGGAGAAGGUUGUGAUCCACGAUCUAUUCUCGAUUCUGAACCUUUGAAUGUCAGCCCCUCCAUUGGUGAUGCACAUCAAAAGGAUCUGUCCAAGGAUAGAAUCGGUACUGGAGGGCACCCCCAUUCUUUAGAAGUGGAGAAAAUCACCACGAGUUGCAGGCCUGAGUCAGAUGAUCUACCUAUUUGUGUGUCAACUGAAGGCGAAGGAACUUCAGACGUGCCUAUUUUGUGUGUUCCAGUUUCAGAAGAAAUCCAAUUUAAUUGCAAAGAUAGGUUGGUAGAGCACAGUGCCUUGGUGCAUAUCGAUGGUUCCUUAAUAUCACAGCAAAGAAAUGGGGAUGGAUACAUCAGGUGGUAUAGAAGUUCAAGAUAAUGCUGACCUGAAGCUCCAAAGCAAUUUUGAGCUUCACUUUAACUUAGAGGGCAUUGCUGAGAUUGUGGGCUGCUAUAUCCACCCGCUUCCUGUUUUGCAGCUAUGGUUGAGCUCACAAGAAAAUGAAAUCUACAUUUGUGCCCCAUGUGGCAUUCUGGCGGAUAAACACAGGACCUUGUUUCUUUAUAAGUUAGCCACUAAAGCCCUAACUGCCGGAUGCCCAUCCUUUGUUGGUCAUACGACGGUCAAUUGGCCAUCUCCAGUGCAUAUGUUUGGUAAAGUAAGAUCCCGUUUCCAUAUUUGAAUUGGAUCUUGUGUGCGAAUUUAUGUCAGGGUGCUUACCCUCGCGCUCCUCUUUCUAGGUUGCGCCGGAAAGGUCCAGUUUUCAACUAACCCCAGACGGGCAAUUAUUUGUUCUACAUGGCAGCACGAAAGUUCCUUGUUGCAGGUUGAAAUUUCUCUGGUUCACAUUUCAUAUUUCCCGGUAACAUAAACUAUGCUUCUCCACCUAACACUACGCUCAUUCUCAGAGAAGGGAGAACGGAUGGUUUAUGCUCUACAUGUGAAGCAGAUAGCUGUAGUACCAGCUCUGUGAAGAUUGUACGAGUAUAUUUCGGACAUGUAUCAGUCUUGUUGGAAUUGAGGGCAGAUGAAGAAAUCGAAUGCAUCCUUGUCUGUGAACCUAAUAAUCUAGUUGCUGCUGUUGAAAGCGGCAAACUGCAUUUGUGGACCAUGGAUUCUACGUGGAGGUGAGCUUUAUCUAACUGUCAAACGUUCGGUUCCCUUUCUGCGAAUGCUCUCCUGUAUAUCUCAUCGAGUACUGCACUACUGUUCUCAUCGUCUUAUCAAUUUCUCUGUCUGCAGCACUUCAAAGGAGGAGCACACUAUAUCAAACACGGGUUACUAUUCUCCUCGAAUUGUGGAGUUAAAGAGGAUUCCUAAACCUGAAUCUCUAGUUCUAGGCCACGAUGGCUUUGAGGAAUUUACACUAUGGUAUGUCCUUUAAUGCAUCUAGACAUGUUUAUAAUGAUUCUGUUCCUUGACAUGGUUCCUUGACAUUGUAUUUUGUGUAUGUUCUUUCAAUCUAUGUUGUAUCCUUACUCACCCAACUAUCAUGAUCAGUCUACUGUUCUGCAUUUUCUUAUAACCAUAGUAUGCCAGCAUAUGUACUCUUCUGAUAAACUCGGGAAAAUGCAAUGUUUACUAAAUUGUAAAGCAUCAAGUUUACAUUCCUGCACAUGAGUAGUUGGCGCUCCUCUCCGUCUCCCUUCAGAAUGCCAUUUUCAAACUGGUUCCGUUGCCGUUUCAGAAUGAGCUGAUAUGUAGUAUGCAGAUUCUAACUCUUUCCUGUAACUCUUUCAGGGACAUCUCCAGACGAACCUUUGUUUUGAGAUUCUCCUCUCCAGGAACUUCAAUCCAUGCGUUCAACCCUAUCAGCUGGUUCAGCUGGCAACCACAGCUCACUGCCCAGAGGACCGUACCAGCAGAAUGAUGGAAGCCACAAAAUCAUCAUUAACAGAUCGUCCGUUCCCUCACAAUGAAGGUGAAGAUAUCGCCAUCUGGCUUCUCGUCUCAACCAACAACGCAACCGACCGUCCAACAGAUGAUCCAGUGGUAUCCUGGAGGCUGGCUCUAAUGGCCCAAAAUACCAUGAUCCUCGGACCCACGUUGGAUCCAGGGUGAGUUAGAAUUUUCUAAGUUGGAACUUUGGAGACAAUUGUCAGUAAUUCUGAGACUUGGUGAAUCUCUUGCUUUUUUUACAGGGCAGUAGCUGUCGGCGCAAUAGUUGGCCGUGGAGUCAUUGCCACUGACGAUGGAGUUGUGAGCAUGUGGGACUUGUUGACAGGGAACAGACUCGGCAGUCUCCAUCAUUUCAAAGGUAAGCUUUUGGUCGGUUGAUUUCCAUCGAACUGAACUGUGGAGCGUGGACAGUGGAGCUGCACCUUUUGGUUCGAAUCGAAUUGCAAGAUUUGUGAUUUUGAUUUGGUUUGGAAAAAAACCCACGUUGACAGUGACUGGUGGUUUUGUAAUUUUGGUGAUAUAUCCCAGAUGGAAGGGUUUCGUGCAUUGCAACAGACGAUUCAUCAUCAAGCUCGAGUUGUUUUGCCGUUGGUAGCGAAACAGGUCAGUUAGUGGUCUAUCGACACUUGUAAAUUGGCCUCCAAGAGGCUGUAGUUUUCCCAUUAGGAGUAAUUUGUAUGUUUUAACAUCAACAUUUUUUAACUGCCAACACUGUAAAAAGGUGAGUUUUCCUAUCACAUUAUGAAGUAAAAAGCUUCAAGACAUAGAGAAAAAAGCUUUAACAAUUUGUAAUUUUUAAUCUCGUUGAAUCCCUUUGAAACCAUGAUUAUAAUAAAAAAAAUGUUUCGAUCAUGGUUCAAACUCACGACCACAAAGUUAAGAGUUUUGUGCUCGAGGAACUGCACCAAGCCUAGCUAACUCAGGAACGAAAACAUCUGCAUUCUUUCUCAUAAAAAAAACUUUGAAAUUGUUGGUGUACGAAAAUGGAUUAAAUAUAUUGCACUAAUAAACCAUAGUAAAUUGGUAUAAGAAAGUUGACUUAAUUAUUUUCAUUAUGGUUUUGCGGUGAUAAUCACCAAACAAUAGUGAUUUUAAGUGUGGCGGACUACCGCCACUUCCAACCUACCUGGAAAAUAUUUACAGUGUGUUGUUUAUUAAUGCAAUAUAUUUACUCCAUUCUCGUCCGCUGCACCCAAUAGUAAUUUUGUCUCCUGUCAUCGAUUAGCAUGCUGAAUUCAGUGACAUCCUCAAUCCCUCCGUUGGCAGCUCGAACUACCUCUUGGCAAUCGGAUUCAAUCUCCACUGUACCAAAAGAUCAAGAUCCCUGGAGCUAAGCCACUCAAUGGUAUUCAGUAAAGCCAUCGCUUCACUCUCUCUACCAUCUCGAUAGCCCUGGAAGCUCCGUUGUCUUGACACGAUGAGCGAGUCUGCCACGUCCCGGAUGACUGCACCACUGCCCAAUCGAGUCUUUCAAAUCACAUUUUGAUAACCAGUGAUCAGACCCCAUCUAAUACCGUGGGCCCAAAAAACAAGCCUUAGGCCCAGAGAAUUAUAACUGGCUGGGAAAUGAAUUAGCUGCUGCACUUUAGGGUUUUCAGAAGCAAAAGCACCCCCUAUAUAAACUCGCGUAGCUUCAGCUCCAAUAAUUGAGUCAUUCAUUCAUCUUCUUCGCCGUUGCAGUCUGAAAUGGUUCUUCCCACUGUUUUUAUUCGAUCUAGUUUUCCUGUGCUUUUUAUAGGAUCGUCUCUUCGAAUUCGAUCUGUUAGUCCUCUGUUUUCUAGUUAUUUUUCCAAUUGAUCGGCUCUAUAUCACGAGUCAACAGCAGGCGCCUUCCAAUGGCGACCCGACUGCCGCUUAGAGCCAAAAUUAAAAAUUUUAGUUUCCGGAAGAAGACCCUUGAAACCUAUAAUAUCCGUUUGUUUCAAGAUACAAUAGCCCGGUUACAUUUCUGCUCUGCAGAUGAGAUAUAUAAUUUUCUUCAAAUCUGGCUUUUCUUGAAAACAAAAAAGAUUUGUGUAUGGAGGUGGCAUUGAAGUCAGACACGGAUGUUUCGGGGUUGGUAAACAGUGCCCAAUUCAUCUUUUGCAUGGUGCCGAAAUGCAGGUGCUUCUUAUCACGAUUGGAGGGAGUUUUUCCUACUCUGUAACUUCCCUUCAAAUUCCAAGAAGCCAUAUCUCGCCUUACACUACUUCUUUUACCAUUUUUGUUCUUGCCUGAUUCUUUUUUUCCCUUGAAUUUAAUAUAAAUUUAAGCAGUAUUCUAUGUCAAUGAAGUACUAAACCCAGAUUCUUUCACCUGGCUAUGUUUGUUGGAUGGAAUUAUUGAUAGAAUUUGAUGGGAAGUGACCAUAUUGUAGGAGGAUUAAAUAUAAGGUUAAGAACCUUACGUUCUAUGAACUGAGCUUAGACAGACUAGAUUAUUGGAGUUAAAGUAUAUAUUUUUAAUGUUAUUGAUUCCCGUUGAUCCCUUAGGAUGGAAUGUUCAUGCUCAAACUGUCGGAAACCUGUAUGCCCACUGUGUGGCUAGAACCCGCGAUCAUGAGAUAAAGAGGGCUCGAGCCCACCACCACCCCAAAGUUAAAGAGUCUUGUACUCUACUGACUGAGAGACAACAUGGCUUGUUGGCACAACAUACCACCUUUCACGGGGUCGAACACCAGCUCUCUUAGUAUGGCAUUUACUUGUGCCAGGGUGAGAAUUUUGAGUUCGUGACUGCCUGACUGGAGGAAAGCUAAAGAAAACAGACGACAAAAAGAGAACGAAAGUGACGUGAAAUACAACUGCAUGUUUGAGAAGUAGACUUGCAGUCACACUUCUGCCGUGUGAAUCAUACGUUACAGAACAUAGAUACAAUGUUAGAGACAGCCAUGACAACAUAUCUUUCAAAAGAAAUCUAGUGGCACGUGGAAAUGCAGAGCUAAAACGUCACAGCAGGUGAAAACAGCUACAACAUAGACUUGGCAUCACUGAGAUCGAAAUAAAACCUCUUUAAUCCGAUACGAUUCUUGCAAAUGCCGAGACCAAAAUGGGAAAUCAAAAUAACACAGUAUAAUCACUCAACAACCUGUAACAAACAUUAUGCAGCAACUAACAAUAAAUAACAUGAUAAAGAUUAAUACUAUGGAAAAUCUCCGCAAGUAAAAACUCUCUCUGUGACCUUAAAAAAAGAUUAAUACUAAGUAAAGUCUUGCUCUACUUGGUGGCUCAUUUAGCAAUGGCGGAUGCUGGAGUGUCGGAGGAAGGGUUCAGUUCAUCCCAAGCUUCGAUCCAGGUAACCAUAGCAUCUGCAAGUUUUUCGAAGUAAGGAUCCACCUUCCCCAGCUUCUCCUUGACUUCCUUGGAGAGCUCGAUGUAGCAUUUCUGGACAGAGGUUGCUUCCUUGGAGAGCUUCACAGAUUGGAAGAAUGGGAUGAUCUCUUCCUGCCAGUAUAUCCCUUUAUACUCCUUUUUCAGGUUCACAAAUGGGUUGCUGGCCUUGCUAUGCCAUAUGUACGGCAGCCCUGUCUUGAUCCCCCAUCCCAUAUGGUCACAGAUCACCUGCAUCGAAUAGACGAAGAUGAAUUACCUCAUAGCAAAUAGGGCCGGGCCAAUCUGCAAUGUGGUGACUAUUAUCGAUAAGCAGUAAAGAUUGUUUCUUUCACCUUAACCAACCCUAAACCCAGUAGACUAUAUAGUCUAAUAGGGUCAAAUCUACGAUACGAUGACUAAUGUUGAUGAGCAGUAAAGACCGUUUCAUUUACCUUGACACACCAACCGGCCCACAUGUCAUCGUAUCGGCCGAUUGGCUGACCAUCUCCCAUUAGUCCAAAGUACAAUGCAGGUCCGACGAGUUCACGGUCGAACGCUAAGUUCAUGCCACACAUUGGGAACAGGGUUCCCUUGGGGAUCGUCAGGACAGCAUCAACAUACCUGCAUUGUCCAUAAAAUUAAAUCCCAUAACAUUAAAUCAUUAAAAUCUAGAAACCCCCGAAAACAAUUCAUCACCAAGGGCAUGAAAUACUGGCGAAACCUACCUGGUGUUCCUUUCCAGUGGCUUCACAAGCUGAGUAGGAGCAUCAUAAUCAGGGAUGUUAAGCCACAGACCAUGAGAGACUGCAGUGGUAACACCUUCACGGAGACUGAAAGGAUACCCGCGAACAAAGUCAGCACCUUCUCUGUACGGAUCGUAGAGGGUGUUGAAGAAGUGUGGAGUCGAUGGAGACAAAAGGUUUUUGAUGUGCUGCUCCAGUGCAUUGAUCUGCUGUCCCGAGGGAUCCGAGGCCACCUGCAAUCAAACAAAAUCACACAACAAGCCUCUCAAGAACAGAUUAAACCCUAUGAAAUCAAGCUGAGAGGGCCAUGAAUUGAAAGUUGAUACCAGGUCUGCUUCUUAUAUAUCAACAAGGACUUGCCAUUUUGAACUUGUUCAAGCCCAUGAACCACAUUCAAGCUCUCCAAUUCGCUAUCACUAAUCUCUUUCGGGGAAAGCCAAUCACUCUCCAAGAUUAUAAGUAUUAAGGAAUACAAUAUAAACCAAUUUUGAACUUGUUCUAAACAACUCGAGUUAUUAGAGCCUUUGAGUGAAAGUUUGAAUCAUACUAGUGCCAACAUAACCAAUUCAGGUGCACGAUGAUACAUAGACCAAAUCGAGUUAUUAAGAUGCAAUGGUUCUCUAUGCUGAUCAAUCAUCUUAACCAGUCAUCUAAUCACAGAGAGUUCAGAUCGAGAACUAGCUAUCGAAAUUAGACAGUUGACAGUAAUCAUUAACAAGCAAGCAACCAAGUCAAACGCAAGUCAAAACACACAAUCAAUUCAACCAUAAUGUUUUUCAAAUUUUCAAUCAAGAGUGAAUAACUUACGAAGCAAUCGUCAUCAAUGGUGUAGAUGUACUUCUUCUUGGACACCAUGAACCCGAAGCACCUGCAAGCGGAAUCCUUGAAGGAAAUGCAAGAAGCCUUCGGACCCAGAAUCCUGUUGAUGUCGUUCCUGUUGUAGAGUUCAUAGUCAAAUCCUUCGGGGACUUUGAUGACCUUGGACGGAUCCCCAUCUUGGACGAUGAUGAGAUGGUAAGGCUGGAAGAAGGGCCUCCAUUUCUCCAAGAAGUCCAGGUUCCGGAUCGUCGGGAUCACGAUAUCAAGCUCGUCUUGAACUGGAAUACAAAAAUCAAGUAUAUAACCAUAAUCCUAAACCGAGUACAACAAACUUAAUACUAAAAAUUAAGUACAAAUUAAACGAUUGAGUACAUAACCCACAACAACAAUUAAAUAAAGUACAUAAGCUUAACAAAAAAAAUUAAACCGAAUAUAAAACCUUAACAAACUGAAUGCACUAACAAAAUCAAAACAAAAAGAACUUAGAGAAAUGAAGAGGCAAUUAAAAAUAUGAGAGUGACAAUUAAGAAUUGACUCCACGAAAAAAGGAUGAGAGUGAGGAUGAGAAGAAGAGAGUGAGGAUGAAUGGACUUCCAAAAGAAAGAAGAAAUAGAGAAGAAGAAGAAGAAGAAGAGAAAAAGAAGUAAGAAAAUGAAAUAAAAAGCCAUGUGAGCGGUUAGAUUGAAUAAUUAAAUGGACAGUUGAGAUUUUUCCUUGCUGCGGCAAGGAUUUCUAUCUUAUUUGUUGUUGACCCGUAAUCGUCAUGGAUCUCUGCUUUGUUUUUUUCUCCAGUUUGAUGAAUGUUGGAUUGUUGGGCUUAUUAGAUAAAAUAUCAGAUGCUUAUAUGGGCUAUUAGGCUGGGCCUAUAACAUUUAUUCACUCCUCCCUCCUGGGGUUUUAGGCGAUUGUUAACCCAUUAUCAUUUUUUUAAUCCAAGAUAUAUACACAAGAGAGUAUUAAUGAACAAUAACUGUAAAUCUGACGGGCCUAUGUCGAGAUCGAGAUAAUUAAGAAUCUAACGUGUUAUAAGGUUGGUGGUGAUGCUAUUUUGGCGUUAAAUUUCCUCUAAUAAUGAUUAUAUGUACCCUUAAAGUAAAUUGGGUUCAAAUUAUGUAUAUAAAGCCGGUGCCCCGAAAGCUUGCCCGCCCCAACCCGAUUUGAUCGGAUUAUUGACCCGGGUUUACCUGCCACCCUGAUCUAUUGGGUUUGGGCAGGGUUUCGGAAGGUCCAAAUCCGCCUCGGCAACCCGAAGGGGGUAAUUGUUAGGAUUUUUCCGCGAUUUCCUAGUCCCCUACUCCCCCUAAUCAAUCUUCCCCCGCACCGCAACGCCAUCAUGACUACAAUAGUAGGUAGAAUUUUAGGGAAGAAGGAAACCCAGAUUUGAAAUGGUUCAAUUAAAGGACAAGCCUGAGAUGCCUUAGUUAACUAGCAUUGGUGGUAGCUGCUAAAGAGGUACAUUCUGUUCAUGAGUUUUUCUUAAACUUAUCAUUCAUAAUUAAUGUUGUUAUGGCUUCUUGCAGGCAUUAUGAUGAGUUUAGAGAUCGCAAGUAAGCUGGUAUUGGAUGAACUUGAAUCUGAUACAGAUUCUAACCAUAUCAAUAUUCUACCACGAGCUUGUAAUAUUCGCCAGAGUUCACAUUUAAAUUUAAUAUCUAUCCUUAUCCGCUUAUAUAAUUCAACUUACAGUGUGCUAGAGAACAUAAAAGGGAUGUUGUAACUAACUUUAGCCAUGUUGCCUAUAUGCAUGGUUUCAUAAACACACUAAGUUUAUGUUAUAAAUUGAAAAGAAAUGAAUUAUAAAGUAAAAGGACGGAGAUGCAAAACCAGAGAGGUAUUUGUUGUGGUGAAGUGGAGGCCAAGCAAAGAAGCUUUCUUCCCCAAUCCAUCCCCUACUACUCUUUUAAUUCUCAGCUCUAAAGCACCCACUUCCUAACCCAGCCAAUCUCUCUUUCUUUCCAAACCGUAGCUGUCAACACCAUCUUCCCAAUCACUCCGCAAAGUUGUUUACCAGUUCUCUGGUCUAAUUUUAGCUCUAAUUUCCAGCGGGGGUUACGUACUGGCAAGAUCACUACAUUGUCACCCACAAAUUAAAUGGGAUCGAACGAAGGUGUGAUGAAGCGGUCGGAAGUUGACACUCGGGCGCCGUUCCGAUCUGUUAAAGAGGCGGUCACGUUGUUCGGAGAGAAAGUUUUGGCCGGCGAGCUUUACCCCAACAACAUGCUUAAACAGGUGGUGUUUCACUUUGUAGAUUGAUUAACGAGUCUGGACACAGGGAUAUUGCUUCUCGAAUUCAAUUUAAGAUCAAUCUGGAUCCUCGGAUUUCUAUAUGAUUUGAGGGUUAAGAUUAAUCAGGGGUAAUAUAGUUAUGUUGUUUUAAAUAAUUUUGUUGGACUAGAACCCAACCAUCUCCUGUCACCGGAAAGUUUUCAAUUAAUUUCUCGGGGAUGUGGACAGCGUUGGUGAAAUUUUUUGCACCCACGUGAUCACCUUCGUUGACUCUAUGUUUCUUGAAAACUUCUAUUUUUCUGGAAACAUUCUCCGAUGACGGACCGUACAACUUUAUAUGUAGAGUUGUAUGAAUCAUGCAAAUAUAUAUAGGUUUGUACAAACCCGUACAUAAAUGUAUAUACAUUUAUAUGAAUUUUUUACAAAGUGUAAUACUAUGAUAGUUAAUAAACACAUUUCUAAUGACUGAAAUUUCAAUUUUACCCUUAAACACAUUUCUAAUGACUGAAAUGUCAAUUUUACCCUCGUGAUUUCAGCCGUUAAAUCUAAUGCACGAUUUGUAAGACGGCUUAGAUUUAUGCGGGUUUAAUGGAUCCGAUCAAGAAGUCAUUUUAUUGACUUCAGAUUUGGACUGUUGAUAAACUGACGUCCAGUAUAAGGGAAAGUGCAAUAUAGCCACUGAAUUAGUUUUUCUAAUCAAGACCAUGCAGCAGGUUGGUCGUAAUGGAAAGCUAGACACAAUGACAUGUCAGCUGGAAGAAACAAAACAGAGCCUGGAAAAGGCAAAGGAGGAAAGCACACAAAUGGCGAGCUGCCUCUCCCAUCUUAAACAAGAGCUUGAACAAACAAAGCAAGAGCUCCAAAGACUCAAACAGGUGAAGGAAGUCCAGAUGAAGCAAUCGACCAUCUCGAUUGACCCGCAAUCCGACAUCCACCAUGGCCAACAAGACGUGAAACUAGUGACGGUACCAGAUGAAGAUGUGGAGUUUCAGAAGAAGAGGUACGUGACAUUUGCUAAUAAUGAAGGAGUAUUUGAUAAUGAUCGGAGGCUGGAGAGACAUCCUUCUUUGAGAAAGAAGAAGAAGAAGCCGUUGAUUCCUUUGAUUAUUGGAGGACUCUUCUCCUCUUCUAAGAGAAAGGGACACCAUCACCACCACCAUGAAAUUGCUUAAAGUUUGCUGUAGGUGCAUAGUCUGAAUAAUCUUUCUCGUGUGAGACGAUGACUUCUGUUGUACUUUUUUGGCCCCCAAUAUUCCAGUUCAAGAACUUGUACACUUACCAACUUAAACAUGUGUGCAUAGGUAAAACAAAAGAUAACAAUGCAUGAAAAAAGGAAAGAGGCUAGGAGCUAAUUAACACAAUAGUGAAAAUCUCUAAGUAUAAUUAUCUUCCCGAUAGACGGCUGAAGCAAUCAAACACCAGAAUAUUGCGUGAUUUCCAAGUCAUGUAACCAGUUACCGAAGAUCACAUACGAUCGAUACCAGUUACAGACGAUUAUAACAUGUUAUAUGCGAUUAUAAUCAGUUAUAUAUGAUUAUAUAUUACAUAUGAUUAUAACUCAUUACAUAUGAUUAUAACAUGUUACUCAUUUAACAAGUUAUAGACGAUUAUAAUUAGUAACUUGUUAUAUAAAUGAUCAUAACAUGUUACCCACUUGUUGUCAACCCCAGAUUUCCCGUCCCCGGCCCCGAAGGAAAAAUGGGGAUAGAUUUGAUACCGUCCCGUCCCCGUCGGAGACCUGGAUUUCUAGAUUUUACCCGUUUGGUAGAACAAAAAAAAGCAUGAAAACCAAAACAUAAAAACAUGAGUAUGAGCAACAAAGUAUCAUAAUAUCAAGUCUGUUCCAUGAAAAUUGGAAAUCAAACAUCAAGUCUAUUCAAACCCAGAAUUACUCGAAAAUAGUAAAAACGAAGGCCGCACAUCAAUGCUUCAACUGUUUUAUGAUGUAGUCGGCUGCGAUGAGGAUCAAGUAAUCGACUCCCCUAAACUGAAAGCUGAUUCUAAAACCACAUAUGUGAUUGGCACAACAAAGAAAUCCAACUAUUGUCGACAUAAUGAUCAGUAACAACCAUAUAUCCCUUUUUUGGCAAUUAUCCGACUACUUUUUUGACAAAAAUUUAUAACUAAUUAUAUUUUGUUAAUAACUAAUCAUAAUUAUAACCAAUUAUAUUUCAUAAUAACUAGUUAUAAUUACCCUUUAAAUAACUUGGUUAUAAUAAUAACUAGUUAUCAAAAUAUAUAACCAAUUGUAUAAAAUUUAAUUAAUUAUAAAUUAUAACUGGCGUUAAUAAAUGCUUAUAACUCGUUAUAUUUAACAUCUAACCGAUUAUUAAAAAAUACUUAUAUAAAUAAUUAUGAAUAAUUCCUUUUUCAGCUCCUAACCUUUUUAUGGCUUUAUGCGGUUUCGUUUUUUUCAAAUUUAGUCCUUCACUUUUGAAUUUUUGCAAAACAGCCCAUUGUCCUUAAUUGUAAAAAGUUCAAAAGUUACUGACCACGGAAGUAAAGUUCAAAAGUCUCAAACAAUAUGCAGAUUGGUCACUUAAAUUCUGAAAAGUGCUGGAUGGUCACUCUCCCUACCAAAUCUGAACAUCAUCGCCGACGAGUCUCACCGUGGCAUCUUCAUCUCCUCCUCCCCGAUGACGACGACUUGACCUCUGCUCACACCGUCCCAGAUUCAACCAGAUAUGGAGGCGUCGCAAUUUUCAACCGGAUCUUCAUCGGAUCUCAACCUCCUCUGCCGAAGUUCGUCGACUUAAUUGGCACUGGCAUUAGUAUUUCAGGUGCAUCCGUAUCGGUCAACUCUAUUUGACCGGGUAAUUUCAGCUUGUGAUGGGUGGGUUUCGGGUGGGUACCUAAGUACUGGGUUGGGUUUUCCAUCCUUAUUAAAUAGAAAAAUCAUACAUACAAUCAAUUAAUGGCAUCUCAUGCCCAAUAUAAACAAUAUAUAUAAUUUAUUUUCAUGCAUAUAAUUGUCUUCUUUAUAGACAUAUAUAAACUCGAUUCCUCACACCUAUAUAUCAAGUAUUCAUAAAUUUGGUCUCAACGACAGAGAGUUGGUAAACCCAUGCCGUCCUCUCACCAUAUUAAGCUCACUCCGUAUCAAACACACACUCAUGUGUUCAUACUUCAUACAAUAUGUGAGUCUUAAACACUUCUUCAUAUCCGAAAGAUUGUGUGACAUGUAAAAAUUUAGAGGAAAGUUUCGAUCUUCUUUUUUAUUGAGCGUGGCUCGAAAAUAAGAAAAUUCUUAAAAAAUAAGGAUAGAGAAGAUAAUGCAUACUCCAAUACAGAACAAUAAACCCUAAAGAAAAGUUGUGAUUUUAUUUACGAUAGAGCAUUUCUCGAACUUUCCAAUCACAUCAUACACGGUCCAGUAUAGAAUAUACGAAUCACUAAUAAGAACAUCAUAGACAUUACAGACAACUAAACUGCCAUCGACUGAAUGACUAAUUACCUUCUUAAUAGAUACGAUUGAAGCUUUGUUUACGUCAAUUUUUGGGUUUUCAUGAACUCAGGUCCAAGUCUGAGGAACUCAGUGGUCUCGCCGACAAAUGGGAAUCCAAGGGUUCCAGGAGGCAAUCCUUUCUUCUUGUACCUGAUGUCAUUCCAUUUGAAGACAAUGAAAAUGCAGGAGAUGAAUGCCAGGAUCAGAUCAUAGGCUAACCCAAACAAAGCCAUUGUUGAAUCUUGUUUGCUAGUUUGUUCUCCUGUUUCUUUUGAUAUUGUGAUGAAUUUAUAUGCCAUCAGGAUAAUCCUAUUCACUAAGUUGCCUUGUUAUAAAUUUGUAGUAAAUGGAAACCAAAUUAAUCAUAUUUUCUUUUACAUUAAUUGGAAAUCUGAAUUUGUUCCACUUCAUAGUGGUCAUACUUAUUAAAUAGUUAAAUCUUAUCAGGAAGAGUACCAAACUUUUCCGAUUCUGUUUCCUGCAAACUCUAAUCCUUUGAACAGAACAGAAUGUUCAAAGGAUUUGCAGUAAUGUUAGGAUAAAAAGUUGCAGCCUUUUGUGGGAAGCUUUGUCUGAAAUUUACCCUUUGCUAUUAUCCAUGAACCAUUUUAUAUCAAAGAAAAUUACCAACGUCUCGGUUCAAUGACUACGAGUUCAAUCUAUUUUUCACUUGUACCGGAUCGAGACUUCAGUAUUCAUAAAUGUACGGUUAGCAACAGUUCAGGUACACAGUUGAAUCGAUUUUUCCAUUUAGGCGGUUUUAAAUGGUAUCAUGGAUACCGGAAUCCAACUUACACUCAUAUCUGCCGAUUUUCGGUUAUAACCGCAGGCUUAAUUUUGAUUUUGAUCAAGACUUCAUCAUUCUCAGACCAACUAACUAGGCUUUUUCUUUCUAACGCAGUAACACUGCUGUAAUAAUCCUGAACUAACAUGAGAGGAUUUCUCUGUACACAUUGCAUUCCGUAUCAGGUCAAUGGACACAACAAUACUUUUGCAAAGACAUGGAACUCCAUCCAUAGCUUUCCUAUAGUCGGGAGCUUAGUUCAAUCUCUUUGGAUGCUGCAGUUCGAUUGUUACUGCUAUCUUGAGAGCAUAUGUAAGAAAGUGAUUGCAUCCAAGAGACCAGUGAAGGCUUGCGAAUCACGUCAUCAGAUUCAGCGACAUGUUCAUAUAGCUCGUCAAGGAUCGUGUUUUGGCCAUCUUUAGGUAGCUGGAUGAUCAGCUGCGCCAGUUGCUUCAUCAGGUAAGGUAGCACCUGGAAAUGGAAUGGUAGAAUCAUGAAUGUACGGUAUCAGCAAGUUCAAAUUUACUUUAUUUUUGUUUUUUCUGUAGCUAGUGUGACAGUUCUGUGAUGCUUACUUGAAUAUCGACGAGGGAAACGAAUCGAAGAAGCAUAUCGAAAACCUUCUUGCAAGGCUCCAACUCUCCUUGCCAGUUCUUCCAGGAAUCAGCAUUUUCCAUGGAGACGUUCGAACAGAGGUUCUGUGCCUUUUCGACGAUGCUGUGGAUGCAGUAGAAUAUGGCUGGGCUUCCUGCUGGGAGAUUCUGGAUCAAAUGUGCGAACCCAGAUGCCAUACCGUCGAAAGGAGUAGAGCCCGGAUAGUCCUGGUCAUGAUCAAGAGAAAAAUAAUCAGUUACCAAGAUUAAAGCUUUCUGAAAAUUUGGAAAUUUGGUCUCUUUUUACUUACUGAGAGAGAUUUCUGCACAUAGUAAAAAGCAAGUUGCUCCUUCAAUGAUACUGUUUCGCCACCAUCCGACUCCUUACCCAAAGAAACGAAUGCCACGAACAUAGAAUGCGAGGCUCGAGCUAUCUGCCCAUGUGGAUGUUCCAUAUAUCUGACAGCAUCUAUGUAAAGGAACCAAAAUUAAGGCUAUCUGAUUAAGAACAUCAUAAAAACAAAGUGCCUUUUGAAGGAUACAAGAACAUAGUUGGAGCCACCACGUUGCUGAAUAGAUCUGCAGGAAGGCGCUCGAUGCACGUAGGAAUAACGCGCAGGUAAAACAAUAUCCUGGAAGUCUGCACUUCAUCCUUCAACCAAGUAUAUUGCACUUGCUGAUGGAAAUCUGGAGACAUAUCAUUCGGAACUCUUAGUGGAUCAGAGUAUGCAAAAAGUAACUUGAUGAGAAUCGACUCUUUUCAGUACGAAACGUGUUACCUUUAGGGUUUGUCAGAUCAGCAUAACAAGGCAUGGAUUCCACGAAAGAGCUGCAAGCAGCCUCAUUCUCCUGUACACUUACAACGACACCUCGUAUCGUGUCCAUAUACUCAGGUAAGCGAAUACGACGAAAGUACUCCAUGCAAGAGAACGAGACUAAUAUCGAUACUGAUGUCUUCAUCAGAGUUUCGAGGGAGAAGCUUGAGCUCAACUUGUGCUUACUAACAGUCAAGGCAAAAACAACAACCAUAAGGAAGGAAGACUCAGCAAUUUUCUCAAUAUUCGCAAGCAACGGAUCUUCUCUACCACGAAGCAAUAAAGCUGCCCGCCGAUGGCCUGAAUAUAUCUCUUGGCAGAAGCGCCAAACCGCAUUCUCAACGAUGUUCUUGCCCUCUUCAUCUGCUGAGACAUACUGGUUGCAGAAAACAGCACUUACGGCCCCUGCUUCUUUGAAAAGAACACUAUUCAGGUGAUUGUUUACUUCGUCGAACUCCAGUAGUGGUGAACUGACUGAAGCAACAAUUCUCGUGUAAAAACCUCGCAAAGGGAAUAUCUCGGUCAGUAAUGCUGUAGCAAGAGACAGUAGCAGAGGAACUCGGGAAGAUACUGAGCCAGCUCGAGCUAAAGCUAAAGAAACACACUGGAAUAGAAGACUGGUUGAACCAUCAUUGACCUUAGCGUUUAAUUUCUGUGCGAUGGAUUCUAGCAUAUAUUCUGAAGAAGCCCUCAAUCUGGAAACCAAAUCCAACCGUUGACCAAUCGGAACCGAUCUAUUUAAUGCUCUGAGAACACCUCCUGCAGCCAUAAUAAGGGAAAAUGGUGGAUAGUCUGGUUUUCGGGUUUCGAGAACCUCUUUUGUAAAAGUUUCUAGCUUUUCCUGAGAACCUAAUUUCAUGAUACCAGGUAUAACCCAUUCUACCAAAUGCAAAAUCAUGAGACCGUUUGUUAAGCUACUACACGGUCCGUCUUCCUUUCCCCAAAUCCCCAUUAACGAAUCCAAAACCCUAUGAUAGUGUACAUUCACGGAAGAACACAAGGCAUACCCGAUCCCGGCAAGAAACACUUCAACUGAACGAGCCAGUCUAUAGUCUUCCUCCAACAGUCUCGAAACCAAAUCUAGACAUACUGUUUUAGAACGUUCCGAUGCAGAGGUCACAUAUGAAAGGGCACCUAGAAGAAGAAUUGUAUACGAAAAUAACACCGAGUCCUUUGUAGCUCCAUAUUCGCUCGCCACAAACUUGGACAAGACCUCUGCAGCUGAAUCUAUUACCAUAGAAGAUGGUCUAGAGGACUUCAUAACCCAGACAUAUAGCAGCCGGAGCAAAAGAGGAUGUGCUUCGCUAGGAAGAGCGAGUUUCUCCAAAAUGGCAAGUAAAAGCUUUGCUUGAGGAUCAGCAACGUAAAGAGAAUCUUCGGAGUCUCUCAGAAGGGUCAAAGACUGCAGGUGACGGGGUUGGAAUACUUGGCUGUGAAGGCAGUCUCUAAGAUCAGCCCAUGCUUGAAUGAUGUUACCAGUAGACGAAGAGGAAAACUGGCUUGUGGUGGUACUGCUACUGCUACUGCUACUGCCACUAAUGCUGUUGCGGCAUUUCUCCCGCUUGUGGUGGGACUGCUACUUCUACUGCUCCUGCCACUAAUGCUGCUGAGCCAUUUCUCGAGAAAUAGAGUGUUUCUUUGUCUAGACAUCUUGUUACUGUCACAAUUGAAAUUUGAACACACCAGUUUUUGUUCAAACUGAUCUAGAGGUUCACUUUUCCACCAGCACUAAAAGCAUUUGCUCCUCUCCCUUCACAUCUACAAACACCAUUCACAAAUAGUAGGUCUUAUUCAUUGCAGUAAUCACACUCUAACUACAUUACUUAUGAAGCACAUUGACAGUUUUUCUUUUCUAACUAGUUUUGACUACCUGGAAGCACAGAAGGAAAUCCAAAUCGACAAACAAGAGCAACAGAGUUCAGGAAACUACAUCACUUAUCUACCCCAAAGUAUCAUAUCAGCAUACCAGCUACCAAUUUCAGCGAAACUACGGAUUACGAGCAUAACCAGGUAGCGAAACGACUAUGGGAAUUGAAAGAUAAUUACCCGCUCCUUCAUGUUGAGCGAACGCAAUCACCUUCCCCACCUUGGAGCGAGGGAGCCGAUGGAAGAAUCCGAAUUUUGUUAUCGUUCUAUCCGAACUUUAUUGGGUUUCCCAAGUGGGAGAAAGAAGUUCAGAUGAAUGACGAACUCUAUCGAUGGAAACUGAUAAGUGAUAGCCGUCACAAAUUUUGCCCGGCGGUGUAUUUUUUGCCGGGGAGAUAUUAAACGGUCAGAGUGUUGAUGAGCUAAUAGUGUUGUUGAUCAAAGCUUACAGAAGCCAAUUGAUAAGCCCAAACUCAUGAUGGCCCAAUUCUUCUUUAAUUAACAUAUCUUAUAGAAGCCCAUUUACUAACCAUCCGCGGCAAACUUUAGCCCAGUAAGAGAGCGGAAGUCGAUCUUAUGGAAAUGUAGGGGGCGUAAGAAUGGAUAACAUAGACAUCCAACAACGUUUGAAAACUAUAAUCAGGAACCGCAUUAUACAAUUUGUGAUAAAGAUUGCGAGGGUACCAUAUGAGGAGAUAUAUCUAUAAUUAAUUGUACAAGAGUAUAUAAUGGUAUUAGAAGGUGUGUUAUAGUGUGUAUCGAGAAUUACUAGAUCGUGCUCACCUUAGAUGAUGAUAUCCGGAUUUUAUCCAUUCCGGGUAAGUCGUUGUUUUGAAGUUAUUGGGUUCAAAACCGAGCUAAACAUAUGUGGCAAUAAGACUUAUACCGGGCCGAGCAUGCAGAGUAUGCAUGGCUGAAUUCAUAGGUCUUUUCCAGCAUUAUCGGCCAAAUGGUUUUAAUAUCCGGCUGCCACCUCUCAACAAAUGCCUCCAGAAGAGGCUCAUUAACGUGGAUCGACAUGCACUGGCUCAAGUGAAGAAGUCUCGAUCCUUGCAUGAUCGGCCAAAUAGUCUUCGUCUGGAUGUCGAACUCGCUCACUGUGUCUCAUUACUUAGGGCGCUUCAGGAACCUGAAGACCUUUAGAUCUAUGUAUCCCCCGUAAGACUGCCACGAGUAUUGCACAAUGUGACCUCCAAAGUUGGGGAUCACUGUCGGCGUCUUCGGUCUACCAUCUGAACGCCCUGCAGUAAGCUCUCAAGUACGACUGAGUCCAUGUCAGUGCACUCCAAUGGCAGUCUCCUCCUUCCGGACCCGCGCAAGUCGGCUAGGUUUCCCUCCUCUAACGCCAACACUCACGGAGGCAUGUGACGAGCCUGUAAAAGUGAGGUGCGGAGAAGCCAUGUGCGCGGAAGUCUGUGUGUUAUCGUACUCAAUCCCCGACGGUGGAUCCUCAUCCUCGUCAUCAUCUUCCGGAAACGACCUAACCAGGUACGUAAUAGGAGGGUACCAGUCGGGGCAACCGUAGAUUUUCAACUUCUUGUUUUUCUUUGCUGCCUCUCCCUCUUUCCGCCUCGAAAUGGUGAUCACUCUCUCUUUCUUCCGAUCUAAAAUGCCCACUUGUUUUCCUUUCUCUCUCAUUUUCUGGAUCCCAUCAGUUUCUUCCUCUACCGGAUCCUGACUGUGCGAUUUACCUCCACCAUUUGUCUUCGCCAUAGUUUUCACCAAACUGCAUUUAAACAAAUGAACGUUUCUAAUACAAUUCGCUUUCUGCUAAAUUAGGUUCACUUACUAUUCCUAACAAAAUCCUAAACCCUAACUAAAAAUUAUCUAAUUAUCCUAAUUACUCACUAACAAUUAUUUAAGUACACUAAUCACCCACUACUAAUUAUUCUAAAUAUUCACUAACAUUCUCUAAUUACACUAAUCACUCACUAAUAAUUUUCUAAUUAUCAUAAUUACACUAAUUAAAUUAAUUAACUUUUUGAAAAAACCGGCCGGUCGGGGCCUCUGAAGGCACUUUUUUUGAUUUCGUUCCUGAAACGAUCGCUUGGAUCUUCGAUUUCUUUUUCGGAUCAAUGUUUGACAGUGUUUGUGAGAGCUUGUGAGUGUUUGAUUGUGUUUGAGUUAGUCAAUAUACACAACUUCUUAUAUGGAUUUUAAUUUUAUAAAAAAAUAAUAUUGUUAUUUACUCAAAUUAGGGCGUCAUUUAAUUCAAAUGUUAGAGCGUCAAAUAAAGAUUCAGCUUGAAAAUGGCUGCGGCGAACUUCUUGAACUUUGUGAGGCUCCCGCAGGCUGCGAUAGGGUAAGUAAUCCAGAGUUGGAGCCAUCUUAUGGACAAGAUGCUGGUUCUCGCCGCCGAUUUGUAGGAUUUUAAUCUUUUAAAAAUCAGGUGGAUGAUUUCAUCCGGUAGUUGUGAGAACUGGUCGACGGCGGCCGGUGAUAUUGUCUUCCUCCUCAUCUUCCUCCUCCUACUCAUUAAUGCCGUUGCUUUUUUGUCCCCCGAAACAAAUCACUGUGCAAUAAUUAAUUUAUAAACAAACGGUGAAUAACAUAAUAAGAUAAUUUAGCUUAAAUAAUUAUUGGUAAUGGGCUAAUCAUCUGUAAAUAUUUAUAAUUGGUAGUACGCUAAUCAUUUGUAACUAUUUACACCACGAAUUUAUAACUAGUUAUAAUCACCGGUCAGAUUCCUCCUACAAAAACGUGAGAUUGACAAUUCACAAUGGACGUUGAUAAUGCAUUUACAUUACCUAAAAAAAGUAAUCGCACCGAAACUUUCGAUAUAUCAGGUACACUAAAGAAUUUCACCUUAAUUAAGGGCUUUAUGAUUGAUUAAUUUAGAUUUAUGAUCAAAAAUCAAAGUUUGGGGUACGAUUAAAAAAUUGAUUUUAUAUAAUUUAAUGUUUGAAAGUUAGAAUUUAGCGUUUAAUGAUUUAACAUUAAUGUCUAAAAUUAUAUGUGAGGUGUUUAUAAUUUAUUGUUUCGAUUUAAAAUUUUAGAAUGAAUAUUUGUAAUAUUGAACAUACCGUAUAUACAUAUAUACCAAAAUCCACAUAUAUUUAACAUUUAGGAUUGGUAUAUGAAUGGACAAUGUAACUGUUUUGAUUGGAAGAUCAUAUGGUACGUAGCAGCGGAGAAGGAAAUUAUUUUGGGAUGGAAACGUUGGAUAGUGGAAACUAGAAAGUGUAAUAACAUUAUAUUCACCUUUUUUUACUCGAUUCAGUCAAUUCCUUAAUUUUAAAAAUUAUUAACUGAAAAUCAUAAAAUUACUUAGUUUGGGCCUGGCAGACUGGGUAUCGGGAGGAAAUGAUUUGGACUCCGGCCCAGGAAAGAAAACAAAACGUGACUUUUGGUGCAAGGUGUGGUCAUCUCUGGUUCACAAUUAGAGUUAUGGGCUUCUCUCUCUCUCUCUCUCUCUCUCUCUCUCUCUUCAUCAUGACGAAUAUUUCACCUACUCAGCACGGGCUCAAUACGAAAGAAAAUUUUGGAGCUCAGCUCACAGCGAUUUGGUUCACUAAAUUUGAACCUACACUCCGCGAGGGAGAAGAAGGAGACCAUCUUUCCCAUCCUUCUUCUUCUUCUUUUACGUAGCCUCACUGUGAGAAGCCCUCUAAUUCCAGCUAUGCCGGAGCUCACAAAGCUGCACUCGAUGCAGGAAGCUUCCGAGCACAACUCCAAGGACGAUUGCUGGAUCGUCAUCGACGGAAAGGUGCUGGCUCCCCCCUCCUCCUAAACCUAUUGAGCUUCCAUGAUUUCUGCUCUCUUCCACGUUUAUGGCGUUUUUUCACACCGAUAGAUUGGUGUUUAUUAACCUUGAUUGAUUGUGGUUUUGAUUUGCCGAUGAAAUUUUGAUGUACUAGUUUAGCUAGGAUUUGGGGAUUGUAGCUUGGAUAUUGAGUUCUUUCGAUGAUUGAUUACUCUAGAUUAGCGAAUCCCCAUCUUUAGUUUUUCAUUAACUUUUGUGGUUUAGUUGUAAUCAUACACUACAUUGGUUGAUGAGGUUUCAGAUGAGGUUGUGAAAGCUUACACCUCUCUUAGUUUAUUUUGAUAUGCGUAAAAUUAAGUAGUCAUUGGUGUUGCCUCUUGCUGGAUGCUGAGCCUGAGGAAAUUAGUGGCUGCAAGAGCUUCAGUGCAGUGAAACAGUCUGUAAUUGGCUUCUUAAACCAGCUUGCGAGGAAAAGCAUGACUAUAGUGUUAGUCUGAUACUCUGAUUAGAUAUGACAUGGUUUUAGUAUGAAAUAGUGACCAAUACGGGUGGUUUGAUGGUUUGCUCGUCUUGUACAUAGUUUCACUUACCAGAAACCAGACAGCUAGUAAUUUGUUGCAUUAGAAACUAUUUGAUUUUGUGAACCGCCGUCCCUUAAUCAAUGUUCAAUUGGUUCUACAAGCAAUUAGAUGAAGCUGCAUUUGCAUUGGUAUACAGUUCAUUGUUUCAAUUAUCGAAUUGUUAUGCAACUCUUUCCAAUUUGGUGAUUCGUCUGUUUCGCCUGUUGGAUUCUAAUGUUUGUCUUUCUGACAAAUUCCAGGUUUACGAUGUGAGUUCAUACCUAGAUGAUCACCCAGGAGGAGACGAUGUUCUCCUUCAAGCAACAGGUACUAUCUCAAACUUUUCCCUACAUUAUGCACUAGUUCUGAUUUUGAACUUCAUGUUAAACCCAUUGCAUUCUCGGUAAACUUUUAUGAAGGGAAAGAUGCAACCGAUGAUUUUGAAGAUGCGGGGCAUAGCCAGGACGCAAGGAAUGAGCUGAAAACCUUCUUCAUUGGUGAGCUAGACACAACGACCACACCAGCCAUCCCGGAGCUCAAGAUCAUUUCCAAGAAUGAAAAGUCGGAUUCCGUGAAGAAGCUUAAGGACUUGACAAGACAGUACUGGGCUGUACCUGUAGCAGUCGUAGGAAUCUCUGUGGUGGUUGGCGGCAUCAUCGUGUACCUUCGUAAGAAGUAGAGAAAAUGAUGCUGUUGAAUCAAACUUAUUCUCCCCCUACUAUCAUGCUAUAGUUAACGUCCUAGAAACGUCUUACCUCGAAAAUUUUGGAACUACUGCACAAUCAUUGUUUGGCUUCUUGUUCGAUUUUCUGGGCAAGGGCUGUUUCAGAUUCCGUUCAUGACAGAAUCGUAUGAAUGAAUGUUAAGAAGAGCUUUACAGUGAUUCGAGUGGAUUAUAAAUAGUGGCUUCUUAUUCUUAUGUGGUUACAAGUUUACAACUGCUAUAAAGAUCUAGAAUUUCUUAUGCACAAACUCACACGGCAAAAACCAAAGUUCUGUUCAUUUAUUCUUCACUUUCAUCUCCAGCAUCAAAACGUUCAGGCGGCUAACGAAGAGGCGCGUCUGUAGUUCUUUCUCACAGCCUUUGAAUCUUUUGUCGAGCCAUCCACCACUAAACCUUGUGCACCAAAGCACAAGUACUUGUUCAUCAGCUUCGUGUUGAGUGAUGUCUGCCUCUUAUGACCCGCCCUGAACUUGGAUGAUGCUGGCGAUUCGCCGACAAUCUGGUCUUGAUUCGAUGAAGCUGGCGAAGAGAUGUAAGAGAACGAGGAUAAAGGGCUGUAAGUCGAUUGUAUUGGACCAGAGAAACUCGGCUUUGCAUGUAUGACUCCAUGCAUCAACUCUGCGGCAAAUUUCCUUCUUGUUAAAGGACUUGGAAGAGCCGUUCCACUAACCGGACAAAAAGAGGAAAGCUUAGAGUAUCGUUUCCUCAAUGGAGGUGGACACUCUUCGAAGUUUCUGCAGAGAUGGAACGAGUCUAUAGACUCAUCGUCUGUGGCAGUGCUUCGAACGCUACGAUCUUUAGCUUUUUUCCUAGGCCAUUGGAGUAAAGACUUCAACUUGCUUGCCGCGGAAGCUACUUUACUGGGUGAUGCCUUCUUCUCCGAAUUCUCGAAGCUCGCCUGUUCACUGUAAUCCGCGCUCCCCAGCUCUCGGCUAACAUCGGAGACAUACUCAACACCAGUAUGCAAGAAUAUCUCGCCAUCCGAAAUUCGAAAAGAGGUACCAGGGCUCAUCCCUAUGCCAUGACCUCCCCCUUGCAGUUUCGAAACAAUGUACUGCCUACUCGAGAGCCCUCCAGCCGAAACCAGCUGGUUGAUCAAAAUCUCGGAAGCUGCCGAUCUGGGCUUCUGCCGCAAGUAAUCCAACGGAGUCAUACCCUCCGAAUCCUUGAUGUUCAAGUUUAUGGAUGGCGCGGUCAUGAGAAGCUCGACUAAAUUCGACUGGAUGUUCUCGAUCACAGCAAUGUGGAGAGCUGUUCUUCCGUCGUUGUUCUUCAAAUUGAUGAUCUCUUCAAUGUUGAUGAUAUCGGAGGAGAGUAUCUGGUUCAUGAGCUCGAUCUGCUUGUCCAUUCGACGAAAACCGGGAGUUCUGAAGCCCGAAACCGCCAUGUGGAGGAAUGUGUCUCCGUAGACGUUUGUUAACGAGCUCAGAGAUGGACAUUCUUGGAGUAGAGCCUUGACUACUGGUAAGUGACCUCUGUAUGCUGCGAUAUGAAGGGCCGAGUUCGAGUUAUUGUCGAUCGAAGUGACGAUAUGGUAUGAUGCUAUCAGAUCCUUAACCACCUGCAGAAACAAAAGAGAGAAAUUAUCCUGAUGAACUGCACCAGUCUGAAUGUUCGGUUUGCAAAUAUCUCGUCCCGAAACCUGGUUUGACUUAAAAUGAGCUAAGAUUGAGUUAGGGUACGUUUGACUCGAUAAGUUGGGGAGUUGACUCGAUUACAAGUUUGCUAUAUGUGACUUGCAAAUAACUAUAUCAAAUUUCUGUUUAUUUGAUCAAUUACUAUCAUGAUAAGUCGAGGUUAAUAUUCUAGUUGGAGCUCGGAUUCGCCUAAAAUCUUCGUCGAAAAAGAGUGAUUUUUACCUCAACUUGGCCUCUACCAGCAGCAGAAUGCAGCACUGUAGAACCCUGUUCAUCUCUGAACACUAAAACAUCAGAACAAUCCACAAGCAGCUCCUUCAAAAUCUCCAGAUUCCCGCCUCUAGCAGCACCAUGGACAGCUCGAUUCACAAUCUCCUUCUCAAACUCUGAUUGAUCAUUCUCCUUCAAUUCCUUCCCCGGCGGCGAAGUGGCGCUCCGUAGCAGAACCCUGAAAACCUCACAGUCCUUACUCCUCGCGGCGGCGUACAGCAUAUCCGUGACGCCGUACUCUCCUUCUCCGAACACAAGAAACGGAUCCCUCGCCAGCAGCUCAUUCACAAACUUCAGGUCGCCGGCGGACGCAGCCGUGUAGAGCAACCACCCGCCGUACCGGGCCCUGAGCAGGGAGCAGCCUCGCUCGCCGACGAUAUUCUGANNNNNNNNNNNNNNNNNNNNNNNNNNNNNNNNNNNNNNNNNNNNNNNNNNNNNNNNNNNNNNNNNNNNNNNCUCGAGCCGGCGGAUCCGCCGCAGGGAGGAGAGCUUGAUGAGGAGGUUGUUGUCCAGGUGGAGAAGCUCCCGGACUAAGUCGUAGUGUCCGUUCGCGGCGGCGAAGUCGAUCGGCGACGCGUACCACCACUGGUCUCCGGUGCUUUCCCACCGGAGCGGGAAAUUCGACGGCGGCGGCAUAUGGUGGAAAAAAACAGAGCACCGGAAGAACUCGUGACCGAGAAAAAAGUUUAAUUCUUUUUUCAAAGGGUUGCGAUUGAGCUUCUUAACAAUGGAGAGAUGGGAUUUGCAGACGCCAUUAGAGCAAAUUAGUGGGGUAGAUAGCCUACCAGAAGGAAAUUUUUUUGUGGAGGUGGAGAUUGAAAGUUACGUUGAAGGAGAGGAUGUACAGUUGGAUUUGCUUUGUGGGAUUUGGAUGAUUUUUGUAUCCUUUCCUUAUUGUGGAGAGGAAUUUUCCGAAAAGAUUUCUUUUUUCCUUGUUGUUUUCUGAUUGAUUUGUUCUUUUGCAGUAGAGAAAAGGAGUAAGAUUCCUUCUGUAAUUAUUAUCCUGUCGAGUUGAUUGAGCCACGCUAAUGUCUCUUUCUUCCCGCGUUAAUUCGUUAAGAGAGUGCGGAUCCUAAGACAAUUAACCACAGGAAAAAGUUUCGAAUUUUCGUUAGACUCACUAAUUCGAAUUCGAUGGAUAUGAAGUUCAUGAGUUAAUUAAAAUUUAAAAAGAAACAUCGACAAUAUGUGUAAAUUGAUAAUGAUCGGUUUUGUUACUUCAUUUCCAUUAAUGUCCAUCGAUUCGAUCUUCAGCCUACGAUAGCUAAUGGAAGGAAACUUCGAUAGAGUCUCCUUGAUCAAAAUUGUGAGGUUAAGAUUUUUGUUCGCCUAUCAAAUCAUAGUAUCCAAAUCUAACCAUACAUAAUUAUGUUCUUAUUUCAUUAUUUCAGAACAAUAUUAGAUGCUCCCAAUGCAUGGAUUCCGCACAUAAAAUUAAUCACUAGCAACUUCGCACGGUAUCAGAGAAGGCACUUCAGUUGAUCGGUGUGUUUGACCAACGUAGCUUCCUUGUUCGAAGAAACAAAGCCUUACCUUGUAGGAGUUUUCACAUAGUGAUCCAUCUCAAGUUCCAAUGUCGACAUAGAUUGGAGUUAGAAACUCCUUUGAGCAAGAAAACAACAAAAAGUUAAAUUCUUUGUUUUGAUCUCCAUAGAGAACUUCACCUGUAUGUAUGAAACCUGGCAUAUCAAAACUCCCUCAAGACCAACAACACAGCUUGCCGACUGAGAGCUAAUGAAUAAAAACAGCAUAGAAUCAAGCAUAUAAUUUUUACCAACACAAAGGGACGACUGGCCCAUCUCCACUGCACAUUGUCGGCUCUUAAAGCCAAAAAUAGAACCCACCGUCAAAUCAAUGGCUAAAACUUCAUGGAAGUUUUAACCUUUUUCAGAGAUAUAACGCACAUCCAAAUGCUAACGAGGAUAAACUGCCAAGAAAGUCGAGUAUUUGUGAUCACUAUGCUACUUGUCAUAUAAUGAGUACUCUAUUGUCAUAGAAUCUGGAAAGCACAAACUUCGCAUUCCCUCAACAUCUACCUUGUCACAUUCUACUAGAAGCACCAAACAAGUCUCUAGAGAGCCAACAUAUUUUUACGAGGGGUCAUGCUGAUCGGCACGAGUUCGUACUCCGUACAAAAGCACUCAAAACGACACAAGACUAAUAAAUUCACACAACAAGAUAAAAGAAAAAAACAAUACAUGAGAUCCGAAGAUAAAUUAUGAUUAGAUUCGAAUCCACAACCUUUCAAAGUGUUAAAACACCCACUUGAAAAAAGUUUUAACCUUUAGUUAUCUGUAGCAUUGGAUCACGAGGAUCUGCUCCCUUUACUCUUUCUCUCUUCUCCAAAUUGAGGGUUUCGGUGAGAUUCGGGUAUGUAGAUAGAUAGACAUGGCCAUGUGAAUAGAUCCGUGUCCCCGAGGUCAACACACUAGUUGCCAAUACAAUAUUGCAUCAAUCCAAGGAUGCGAGCCAAACCCUAACCCCACUUGCUUUGGCCAGAGAGCAGCUACAGAUCUUUAAAAGUUUGUCUCUUGUGAUCUGCAAAAAGGGUUCCCACUUGGACACACAGAGAAUGAAACUGGUAUCUAUCUUCCAAUCUUAGUAUCCGCUUGAUGAAAUGCAAUCAUGGGAAACAAGUUUCAACAAAUUUAGAGUUUGUGAGCUCACCCAUCUCAUGAGCAAAUGCAGUCAGUCAAACUGUCUUUCCCCAGAUAUUGAGUGAUGAAUCAUGGAAGCUGACAUUCACGUCACUGCUACCAUUUCCCAGGUCCGUGAAAAGUGAAAAGCAUUGACCUUUGCAUAUACCGUAACCACAAACAGCAGAGUUCAAAUCAAGUGAACUUGUUUCGAUAUGCUGGCUUCUCUGUAUUCAUACAUGCUUCAUGAAAGCUUCAAUCUUUUCAGCAGCAGCAAGCAUACCAUUAAGCCUAACUUCCUCCAGAAGAACAUUGCACGUUUGAUACCUAGGCUUUAUAUCCUUACUUAUCAUUUCCUCGAACAAUCGGUAAGCCCACUCGCAUCUAUCCGCUCUACACAGUCCAUGAAUCAAAAGCUUGUACGCCAACAUAUCGAGACUGAGAUGAUGCUUGUUCGCCAUAUCAUCCAACAACUGUCUCAAUAAACCAUCCACCUUCCAACUCUUCAAGCACGACUGAAGCAACGGACAGUACGUAUGAACAUCAGGCUUACACAUCAUCGAACUUUCCAUCUCCUUGAGAAGAUCGAAACCCCUUGAUGGUUGACCUUGAUGACAAAACAUCGCAACCAUUGAGUUAUAAGUCGAUGUAUUCGGCACCACACCCACCCUCGCCAUCUCUACAGCGAAAACACGAACCGCCUCCUCCACUUUCCCAGAUCUUCCGAGCAUAUGAAUCAAUGCGUUGUAGAACAACGUAUCGGGUCUACACCCAGCCGAUUUCAUCCUCUCCACUAUCUCCAAACCUCGAUCAUAAUCCUCCGAUUUCGUCAAAUGACACAGUAUUGUCGUAUAAGUAACAACAUUAGCUGGAGAUCCUUGUUCUUCCAUCUCAUCAAGAGCGCUAUACACCUCGCCGAACUUCCCCUGCUGGCAAUGGAACUGGACGAUGGUGGAGUAACUUAACACACAAGGCUUAACCCCGCAGCCUUUCAUCUCUUGUAACGUCCAGUAAGCCUCCUCGACCCGGUUGAUCUUACACCAACCGUGUAUGAAGAUAUUAUACGUGUUGGCAUUGGACGGAAUGUGUGCCUUCAGCUCCAAGAAAAUCUCGCGAGCUUUCUCAACUCGUCGCUCUUUACAAAGUGUAUCAAGCAAUAAAUUCAUCGACUCGGUACUCUUCCUCAGCCCGAAAGUCUCCAACUUAUCGAACAGCCUAACGGCAUCCUCCCACUGCCCUGCACCGGUGUACCUCCUCAUAGCCUUCCCCAGCGUCUUGAGCGUUACAAGAUUAUCUCGAUUCAUUUCGUGUAAGAAGGCAUUCAUCUGUUCCAUCUGCCUCAUCUUGCCCAAUAUAUCCACAACCGAAUCGUAAGCCUCGGGGGGUGACAGUAGUCCGGAUUCGAUGACUCGGCCCAUUUGAAAACGGCCAAUGCUGACUUCCAAUCAUCUUUGAAUCGAGAUAGCAACUUGGAAACGAGAUCUUGAGACGGUUGAAUGUUCUUACAGACGUUGUCUUGCAUUAGUGAUUGAAGAAUCUCGUUGUGGCUGCUGCCACCAUGGUCGUCAACUUUGGCUAUUAUGAAGCUGACAUCAGCCGGGUUUGCUGACUUAGUUUGCUCUUGUUCAUCGAAUCUAGUGGCUUGUUGGGAAAGAGAUCGGUAAUCAAAGGCAUAUAGGCCACGAGAGUUCAGCAGACUGAGAAAGGAUAUGGAAUGCCUCGGAAGCUUUUGAAGAAACACCAUGAAUCAGUUUGAAAUUUAUGCUGAUUAAUCUGCCAUGGAUAUGGAGAGUCAGAUAUCAGAAUCAAAAAUAUCACUCAAUAAGGUGUUUUCAACAGUGUAGAAGCUCCAAACUAAUACAGGUACGACAAUAGAACAAAAGCCAAGGAUUCACAAGGACUGACGAAUUCAGUAGAGCUUAAUAACGGAUAAGCUCGAUUAAACAGUAAAAAAAGAGCCUUUUUUCAGUAAUUGAUAGUUGGUUUUUGAAUACAGGGAUCAAAAGAGGGUUCUGGGAGAGACGGAGAGAAAAGGGGUUACCAAGUGAACUGAGAGCCGGAGGGAGGACUGUGUGAAGCUGUAUCAGGUAGUUGGUGCGACGAUAUAAUACAAACAGGCGGCGGGAAAGGCGAGCAAGUUGGAUACGGCGGCGAGGAUGCAAGGCGGCGGAGAAAGACGGAGCAGGGAAGUAAACUGUCGGCCAGAGAAGUAAAAAGAUGGGUCGCCGGAAGCUAAGAAAAAACCGGAGGGGAAAUGAGCCGGGCGGAUACGCGUUAAGUUAGAAUGGGCUAAAAGCCCAAUAUCAAGGCCCGAUAUUCACGACCAAGGAAAACCUGGUCGAGAAAGCCAAAGCCAAACAACAGAAAACAGAGCUUUUGAAACAAAGAAAAAGCCGUUGAUAAUUUAAUUAACAUUAGAAACGUCUGGUACUGAAACUCAGAGCCCAUAUCACAAAACCAAACAAACUUCAAAACCUAAAUUCCUCUCCUUAUUCCAUAUUAGCUAAAAGGGUUCCAUCCGAAAAAGACACCUCCGAUACCACAGUAAACAAAAGCAGGGAAAAACAUGAACAAUCGUCAUGACAUUGAGAAUCCACCAAAAGCUUCAGACGCCAUUUCCACGUCCUAGUCUCUCAGCCCCUUCAAAGGCUCUUCGCCAUGUGGGAGAUCAGGUCCACUACACGGGUACUGUAGCCCCAUUCGUUGUCGUACCACGACACAAGCUUGACGAAGUUGUCGUUCAAUGCAAUUCCGGCCUUGGCAUCGAAGAUGCUUGACCUGUUGUCACCGAGGAAAUCAGCAGAGACAACAUCCUCAUCGACGUAUCCAAGAAUGCCCUUGAGUUUACCCUCAGACUCCUCCCUGUAAAAUACAGCACCAUCAUUAUUAGUUGGAUUCAGAGAACAAGACCGGAUGCUGCAGGUGAAUGGAAUGAAGGAUUACUUGAUGGCAGCCUUGAUUUGCUCGUAGGUUGCGGCCUUCUCGAGCUUGACGGUCAAGUCAACAACUGAGACAUCAGCAGUUGGGACACGGAAAGACAUUCCAGUCAACUUGCCGUUGAGUACUGGGAGAACCUUGCCCACAGCCUGAAAUGGAACAACUAUUGAGUACUGACUCGCACAAUUACAAAGUGGAGAUCAAUAUUGCAAGAAGCUCUCUAAUUAGUAUAAUACCUUGGCAGCUCCAGUGCUGCUGGGAAUGAUGUUGAAGGAAGCGGCUCUUCCGCCCCUCCAGUCCUUGUUUGAUGGCCCAUCAACAGUCUUCUGGGUGGCUGAAACAAGAGAAGAUAGAAAACCAAUCAGAUUACAAUUACACAAUAAGCAAUCAAAUAGAGAUAUAUAUAAACUUAAACCUACCAGUGAUAGCAUGGACAGUGGUCAUGAGACCCUCAACGAUUCCGAAUCUGUCAUUGAUAACCUGCAACACACCAAAAGCAAACAAAAUCAGAACCAAUAACUAGACAUUUUCGUUAUUGAUUCAAUAACUAGUGGAUGGCAAGCUUUACCUUGGCCAAAGGAGCAAGGCAGUUAGUGGUGCAGCUAGCGUUGGAGACGAUGUCAAGCUCUGGCUUGUACUCAUGCUCGUUGACACCAACAACAAACAUGGGUGCAUCUUUGCUUGGGGCAGAGAUGACAACCUUUUUAGCACCACCCUGAACAAAAGGAACCAACAAACACUUAAGAUCCAAUCAACAAUUCAACAAAGUCUUAAAUCAGAUCUGAAGCAUCAUUGAAUCCUAACAUCAAGUCAAAGAUAGUAAACGCUGAUCCUGUAUGAUACAUCCAAAAUCCAUCAAUCAACGAAAUCAAACAUAGCACGAACCUUCAAGUGAGCUGCGGCCUUGUCCUUGUCAGUGAAAACACCGGUGGACUCAACUACGAAGUCAGCACCAACUGAGCCCCAUGGGAUCUCCUCAGGGUUCCUGAGACCGAAAACUUUCACGUCCUUGUCGCCGAAGGAAAGGGUGCUCUCAUCCUUCACCUUCACAUCACUGUGCUUCCAGUGACCGUGAACGGUAUCAUACUUGAACAUGUAAACCUACAUCACAAACAAUAUAUAACAACCGAAGUCUCAGCCAACCAGAUCUAUCAACUCAAUUUCCUCCCGAAGUCAAACUAGCAGAGAUUCAAAAAACAAGCUGCAUACCAUGUAAUCGGUAGGGAUGAAAGGAUCGUUAACAGCGACGAGCUCAACAUCGUCUCUCUGAAGAGCAACCCUAGCAACCAAACGACCGAAACGGCCGCAUCCCACAACACACACACCAAUCGUGUCGGAGGUUGAAAGCAACGAAGAGCUUACCCAUUGAGAUUGACGAGAAAGGAGAUUUGAAAAUUCGACGGAGAAAUCGAGAAGCUGUGAAAAUGGAGAUUUGAAAGUGUGAUACAAAGUGAAGAAGAGCUGGGGUAUAUAAAGGGAGGGUUUAAGCCAGUAAUCACGUGAGUGGGAGGGUUUUUAUUUUCCUUUUUUAUUUUUAUAUUUUGCCUUGGGGAAGAAGAAGGAUUAACGAAGCCCGCCGGUUUUAUUAAUUGCUGUUUAUGGUUUGUAUUCGCCGCUGAUUAAUCGCCGUUGAUUAUAGAAAGAGAGGGAUGAGCCCACGCGCUGCAUUCCAGUUUCAGCUACACGCGUCAUAAAUUGUUCCCAAGAAGGGAGUAAUUAAUAUCAUGUAAGUCUCUUUUUUUUUGCAAAAUUAAUGAUGGUUUAAUUAAUAACAUAAUUAAAAUGAUCGGAGUUUAGGUAAAAUUAUAAAAUUAGAGUAUUGAAAAGAAAUUAAUUUGACAAUUUUAUUUAAAAUUUAAUCAAUAUAAAAGUAAAAUUAUUUAAAUAAUUCUGAGUUGACUCAUCCUUAAUUUAGUUACAAAUUUAAUGAAAGAAAAAUAUAACACUAUUUUAAUUAUAAUAGAAUGUAACAUAUGCGUAAAUUUUACUUACAUCUCCUUAUAAAAUAAUAAAAAUACACAAAAUUAUAUUGUAUUUCUUCCAUUGAUUACUAACAAUAUUAAAUAUAAUUCAUUGUAGCCAUUAAAAUUUAAAUACACAUAAAAAUACAUAAAAAGUGUGAAAUAACCGGCAUAAGCAUCUAAAUUGGAAAAAAAUGGUGGCAUGACUUAUACUUUCAAAAAUAAACCAAUAUAGAAUCUUAUAUAUAAUAAUGUACCAAAAAAAGCGACUUUCAAUCCAAGGAAAAAUAUUAUAAUUAUAAUAAAUAAAGCUUGGGGUUCGGAAGGUGGGGGACAAUCGCCUUUUGUUGAAAGUGGACACGUAAGUGCAAGAUGAAAGGGAUAUUCCGAAGGUUGUCGAGGAUUUAUUCCAUGGGCCAUGUCGGACUGUCCGAUUGGGCCCAAAGCAAAGUUGGUUCGUCAAACCCAAACAUAGCACGGAAUGAUCUAGAAAGUGUCUCGGUAACGAAUGUGAAUGUAUCUAUUUGACCUAAAGCCAGGAAUGCAUCUUUCUGUGGCUGCAAAUUCCUUGCCCUUCAAACAUUUAUGCAUCUUUCCAAAAGAGGAACAGUCAAUUUCAUCAUCUACAAACGUACGUACUACUUACACAAGUCCACGUAGAGUUGGCAUGAGUAGAAUAGUUUUGAUGAUAGAAAUGUUUUAGAAAAUCUAUAUAGCACCACUAGCGGUGGAUGCUCACAAAGCAGUUUUCUACAGCUCCGCACCCGGAUCGGUAAUAGAAUCAGGAUGGUCGUAAAUUAUAGGCGGAGGGAUCAAUAUAUUUUGAAAAUGAGUUGAGUUGGUUUCACCCUCAAUUCUCUUAUCGCUCGUGGGUGAUAACUAUAGCGAAGUAUUAUUUGAUGGUGACAAUUGAGUUCUCACUAGAAAGAGAAGUAUUAAUGAUUUGAAUAUACAUUUUGAUAUGAUAACUAAAAAGGAAGAUAAUGAGUAACGUACAUCUAUCAAGUUAUCUCGCACUAUUUACAUAUUGAGUAAUUAUUUCUUUGCAGUUUGCACCACUCUUGUGUCUUGAUCGCCUCUAAGUUUAUACCUAAUUAUUAUAAUCAGAGAUUAUUACCUAAUUAUUACAAACACACUUGAUCACCUCUAAUUUUUUACACUCAUUAUCGAAAAAAUUUAAUCACAGUAAUGAGAAAAAAUAUAAAAAAUUAUUUCUUACCGAUAUACUAAAACUUCAUAAAUAAUAUCUUGAUCACCUCUAAAUUUUUACCUAAUUAUUAUAAUCGGAGAUUAUUACCUAAUUAUUACAGAUACUUGAUCACCUCUAAACUUUUACACUCAAGAAAAUUUCAUCACAAUAAUGAGAAAAAUGUGAACAAUUACUUCUCAUCGAUAUACUUCAAUUUUAUAAACAAUAGAUUUCAAUGCCGAAAAUUCUUUCACAAUGGGCUGCAGGGAUCUAAGGAUAUGUAUUAGUAUAUGGGCCGAGAAGGCAUAUAAACUGAAGCCCAAACUGUAAAAUCAAAAACAAAAUAUGAAAAUUCUGGCUUCGCCCGGGUUCGAACCGGAGACCUUCAGUGUGUUAGACUGACGUGAUAACCAACUACACCACGAAACCAUUGAUAUUAAAGUGUAAUCCUUUUAUUAGUAGUAUACGGAAAACUAGGUUGGCAGCCGGACAAUAUUGACUGUGAUCGUGGACGAACCUUCUCCGCGUAAUCCUGAGAAUCCGUUUCCCAUCCAAAGCCCAAAAACCAGCACAAGAAUAUAUACUUUCACACAGUCAGAUCAGAUCUUUCUUUCUCAAUUACUUUUCCAACUUUGCUUUCCUUCUACGCACAAUCUCCUCGUUUGAAAGUUUCCUUCUUUUAUCUCGCUCUCUCCGCAACUCAAAACUGCACAAACAUGUCUACUGCGUCAAGAUGGAUUCGACCCGAGGUAACGCCGAUCCCCCAUGUCUCAAUUUUCACUCUGGUUGCUCUGGUUUCUCGAUGAUAAUGAUAAAGAAACUCUAUUUUGUACGUCAGGUGUUCCCUCUGUUUGCUUCCGUGGGUGUCGCCGUUGGGAUUUGCGGGAUGCAGCUCGUCAGGAACAUCACUGGCAAUCCUGAAGUCAGGUAUAUUCAGGGUGUUUCAGGGUUUAGGGUUUUUCUGAUGAUUGCAUUUGUGGGUUUAGCCGUUUAGGGUUUUCUGAUGAUUGGAUUUUGUGGUACUGUUUAUGGAAUUUAGGGUGACUAAAGAAAACAGGGCAGCUGGGAUUCUUGAUAACCAUAAAGAAGGUGAGAAGUACAAAGAACAUGGGCUGAGGAGGUUCGUUCGUACUAAGCGCCCUGAGAUCAUGCCAGGGAUCAAUGGCUUCUUCUCCGAUCCUCAGCUUCCAGGCCGUUGAACUGGUCCGUGUUCAGCUUUAUUAGUUUUAAUGAUCACAUUGAGGUUUCUCAAUGAUUGGAUAAGACGGAUCAAUUCUUUGCAGAUGCUGCUGAAGAACUUGUUUCUCUUUUGUUGCGGUAGAAGUUUAUGAUUUAGAAUCGAUAUGGAUGAUUCAGACAGAUCAAUUCUUUGCAGCUUGAUUCUGCUGAAAACCUUGUUUCUCUGUUGCGGUUUUAAGAUACGAUUGGAAUCCGCGUGGGUGAAUAAUAAUAAAGUUUGAUUCUUUGCAGCUUGAUUGAGUUGAUGCUGUGAUAUUUGUUUCUUUCCUUGCAGUUUGAGUUUUGGAUUAGAAUCUACGUAGCUGAAUCAGAAAGAUCAGUUCUUUUGCAACUUCAUUGAUCGAUUGAUGCCGUGAUACAGGUUUCUUAUUUCAAGGUUCCAAGAUAUUAUCAGGAAUCAUUGUGGAUGAAUACGUAAGAUUGCUUAUUUGCAGCAUAAUCGAUUGAUGCUAUACUUUUUCCUUUUGUUUUGGGUUUAAGAUACAAAUUAGAAUCAAUGUGGAUGAAUAAGGAAGAUCAAUUCUUUUGCAGCUUCAGUUAUGGUUGUGUCAAGCUUGUGUUCAUUUGCUGCAAUUGAGAAAAAUUAGAAUUGAAAUUGAUACAGUAAACAUCUGUUUUUUUCUUCUAAAUAGGGAUUCGGUAUGAAUCCAGAUAAAACGGAACUUCUUGAUCCAUCACCUGCGUCGUUUGUGUUGCAUGUCAUCGAGGAAUCUGAUGUUGGAGAUUGUGCAUCCCGUCGAUUCGUUCAUGCUGAACAAUUGAAUAUGACUACAGAUCGACUUGUUUCUUCCCGUUUGAUCCUUCUGUUUCACUUGGACGUGUAUGUCCAAGACACUCUUGCCACAGGCACAUCCCACCAGAUUGUGGACAUCGUAAAUAGAGUCUGAAGCCUAAUCACCAAACUACGAAUAAAGAACAGCUGAAGAAUAAUUCCGAGUAUUUUGCCCGGGUUGUGAUUUUUUUCGAUGGUAUGCUGAGAUAAGGAGCUGUAGGGGCAUAUGUAGAUUCACAAGGUUAAUUUUGAAGGUAUACUGAGAUUUAGCAAUGGUGGCUGCUGCAGAUACACAAUGUUAACACUCUCGUCUCUUGGCAAUCCAAGGCCUUCUCUGCUUGUUUUCUGCUGUGAAUCUUUUAUUCACAUUCCUCUGAACUACUAUUCUUUUGUAACGGUAAACCUGAAAGAGGCUCAAAGGUACAAAUAUUUACAUAAUGAGCCCUAACAUCUGGACAAGCUACAAGCUGUAUAAUAAAUACACUUGGAGAUGAGAUUACAUAUAGCAGAAGAGCACGGAGUUUUAUUAAGAUUAUCAGAAUUCAUGACUGUUUUUAUCAAUUCACUCCUCGAUACAUGGCACCGGGUCGAAGAUCAUCCAUACUGUCGAUGUUUCUGUAGCCGUCAACCUCCCUUAGACAUGUCCAUCCCCUUCGGCUCAGAAACUCCCGGUAGUCGUCCUCAGUAUAGAACAGUUUCUCCUCGGUGUGAACUGGAAUGUGGUCCGUUUCGUCGUACAAGCACACUUUUAUAGCCAAACCUUCGUCGAGGUGAAGACUGUAGUUCCCCAAAGGCAUGUCCCGGUCGAGGCUGCGUAUUACUUGGUCUUCAUCUUCCAGCCAGAACGCCCGUUUCGUUCUCAAUCUGAAAGCCGACCUGAUAGCCUCCUUGAUGGCAUCAGCGGUGCCAUCGAUACCGAUCUUUCUCAAGUAGUCUCCAUAUUUGACUGAUAUCACCCUCCCGCCAUAUGACUGACUUUCGGAGCCUGCAUAACAGAAACAAAUGUCCUAAAGACACCAACCAAAUAACCGCGAAAAAUGAAUUCCGGUUAAUGUAUAUUCCUCACCACUUGCAGGGGUUUCUCUCCAGUUCCAUGGAGGAACUCCACUUGCUCCAACAGCAUCGGUUGCGGUGAUUGCAAGAGGAUGACCGUCAUGAUCCAAGCGUCUUUCAAGAUUCAGUGUUGGCCUGCCACUAGCUGCACACCAAGAACCUUAAACGAGGGGAAAUGCAUAUCUAUUUGAGAUAGAUGAUACACAAACAUACAAAUGUAACAGUAUCAUAAGUUUGCCACCAUAGAACAAGUAAACUGAAGAUAAAUAAUGCAGAUCAUUCUACAUCUUUCAAGAAGAAAAAACGAAAUCUGGUGGGUUUGGACAGAUAGAGGCCAACAAAUUGUUCUGGUUUCACUUAAUUUCAACGCGAUGAUCAACUAGAAGCUAUUGAAGAUAGUCUUAAAAUCUAUUAAUCCAGAUAGAGCACAGCUAAGUACUAACAACAAAUCUAUUAGUCAGUAGCACAGGGAGUUUAAAGAUCACUUGGGCUCAAGCUCCUAACCAUGCUGUCAAAUUAGUUGAUCCCAAGAACUAUACAAAAAGCGAAAAAAAAGCCUAAAAGAUACUCUUCAUAUAUUGAUCAUUAGAUCCAGCUAGGUCGCAGGACAAAUAGAUAUCCACCGGAAAACUAUGAUAGCAUACCUUCAACGGGUCCAAAAGAUAUACUCGUCUCUUCAAAACCUGCAAGGAAAUCAGUUAGUAUUGUUCUUUAUAUGCAGCACUUAGUAACCUAAAGCACCACUCUACUGUUCAUAGUACAUGCACAUAAGGUCAACAAUCUCGCUUGAUUUCACUCACAUCCUAUGCCUCCAUUGCUACUAUUCUCCUACAUUACCCCCUAAUAUCUCCAAAACCAAAACAAUAACACUACAAUGAACUAAACUCAAGCAUGUACCUUUCUCAGCAAACUGCAUAAAGGAAUCGACUUUAGAACUCGGAGUAGGACACUUAUACUGCUGCUGCUGUUGACUAGUAGUCUUCCCCCUCUCUUUCAAAAUCUCGUCAAUCUCCUUAUAGUAAGACAUUUUAGCAGACCCUUUAUCCUGAUGCUUCACCUUCUUAAACUCCUUCAACAAGUUCCUCCACUUGUCAGUACACAUAGUGGGAGACCUAUCAAACCCUUUAUCCCUCAUUCUCAGCGAAAUCUGCUCCCAAAGGUGCUUGUUCGACUUCGAAGUAUUGAAAAGCCCAUCCAUCUCCCUCCUCAUGGCGAUCAAGCACCUCAUCUCGUCCUGGACCCACGUCUCCGCCCUCUUCUUCGGCGCCCUAAUCUCGUGGGUGUCCUCUCCGCUGCUCUCCCCCAGCAUCAUCGGCGGCGGCGGCGGCGGCGGAGGAGGCGGAGGAGGAUUGGUAUUGGGAUUGUCGGUGUGUUGCUGAAGAGGAAGUGGAUGCAAAUCGCAAUUGGGUGAGACGACUUCGAUGAUCAUGUUGUCUUGUGAAUUGGGCGCCAUUUCUUCUUUGUAGAAGUCGAUUGGGCGUGGCUUCUCGGAUAGGUACAUAUCGGAAGGGAAAAUAUUGGACGAUAGAUACAUAUCGGAGGGGAAAGAUCGGAACUUUUGAGGUGGGGAUUGAAUUUUGAUAAGGACUGUCUGGUUUUUUCUGAGAAAUGGGGGAAAAUGAAAAUUGGAAGCUUUAGCUCAAGAUUAGUCAGACAGAGAGAGAGCGGGGGAGGUGCGUGAAGUAAAAGCUUCGUCACUGUCAUCGCUGUUUAGUUUAUAUUAUCUAUACAAACGAAUCGGUUGCAUAGAAGCUGAGCGCCCGAGCCGAGUUAGGCUCGAACUCGGUUGGUUAAUUUUUCGACAAGUUCGGGAUGAAACAUUGAAGCUUGUAUUGAGUUCGAACUGAUUUAAAGUUGGACACUUUGACAGUGCUCGACAGAGUUAGAUAUAGAGGUUGGCUCGCUAAUACCAUUGACGAGAUUGUUAAAGGAUGCUAAUGUGGUAGGUUGCUAUUUUAUAGUGUUUUGAUGGAUUAGAUUUGAGAUUGGUUUGUUAACAUCACAGUUUAACAUGUUCAAAUUCAUACAUUUAGGUAAUCGGUUUAAAUACACCUAGUUAUGUGUAACCAAUUCAAAUUUGACCAAAUAAAAGUGGAAACAUGGUAGAUCACUGUUCAAUGGUGUUUGAGGAAUUAAAUUCGAGCUUGAUCCGCUAACUUUAUCGCAAGACGUUCGUUUGUCGAUCUUGCGUCAAAACAACUGUAAGGGAUGUUGUGAUGGUUAUAGGGAGGAGAGUUGGGAAGGGCGUUGUUCAUAAUCAAAAUUGUAGUCCAAGUUCACUAGAUUGCAUGUUCACUUACGAGUCCUAAAGUUAAAGUAGCAAGUAUUCGUACGAAUUGUCAAACUGCUCUAGUUGAUGAGCGGAUAUAAUAAGUAGUAAGUAUUCAUACGAAUUGUUAUGUCUCGGUGGUGGUUCAAUACGUGAUUUAAAUCAGCUACGAACGAAUACAAUAAGAUAACAAAACCGUUCAUUUUAUAAUAACGAUUCUUAUAUAUCUUUCAAGGGUGUUGACGGUAAUCUUGAAUCCCGACACUUAAUUAAACCUCCGCCGGUCGCUUAAAUCGUCCUGAUGGUGGUUCACUUAACGUUAGUGAUCCGUUUGAAAGCAGUUUAGUUCAAUUUAGCAGGCCGAAUGCCCAUAUGAGAAGUUGUAAUAAUUACGUAUCCAUAUAGGCCCAGAAAGUUGAAUUAUUUGAUUUUUGGAUUGAGAGUGUGUAAUUUGGGAAGGAAUGGAUGGAUUUAAAUGAUUUUGAUAAAAAAAUUUGUUUAAGUUUAAGAAAUAGUGGAGAAUUGAAUUUACUACAUGCAGUUUUAUGGGGAAUUGAAAUUACUACAUCCACCUAAUUAAAAUUUAUUAAUUACGGAAAAUUACUAAAUUAGAAAGUUUAAUAUAAAGAAGUAAAAGCCAAUCAAGUCUUUUUUUUGAAAUAAUAUAAUUAUUCUCAAUUUUGAAAAAUAAAAAAAAAUUGUGAAAUCACUCGCUAUUUCGAAUUUCAAAUUAAAAUAGAGUGUAACUUGAUUACAAGGAAACACUAAAAAAUUUGAGACCGCGUUUAACAAUCAAGAAUAUCAACUCGUACUUUCAUAUACAACACAACUUUGGUUCAAUACCCAGAAGGAAAAUAACAAACGAUUUCAUAAACUCUAUGACCAACUAACCACAUAAUUAUAAUUGAGUGAAUUAGACAUCUCUAUUAGAGAAUCCCACCAAAAACUGAAAGAAUUCGUGACAUUUAAUUUAUUAAUUCUGUCAAACUCUAAUUAUAGGAUAUAGCUUUACCGGUUAAAAGAACGAUUAAUUGAAAGGUCUCGUAUUUGGAUACGCUAAUAUAUGCAGCUAUCAGUAUCAUCCUUCGAUUAAUUACAUCACCAUUCAUCUGUUGAUGGUAAGCACCUGCACAACAACAGUCUUGAUAGUCAAUGCUCGCAUCUUCAGCGACAUGACAUAAUGCCUAAAAACUGAUGAUAAUAUCCAAGUAUGGACGUAUGAAAUUGAAUGAUGUUUAUUCGUAUCAUUAUUAUUACAUUACAAGAAACUGAGUAACUAACAUUAAUUUUAUAUCUAGUUUAAUAGCAGAUAGUCCNNNNNNNNNNNNNNNNNNNNNNNNNNNNACUCUAACAAUGAAUACGAAUUCACCAUUAAAUUAAAUAAUACUAAAUAACAUAACAACGAAAUUUAUUCACCGUUAAACUAACAGCAAAUUUAAUCAACCUUUAACCUUUUCAUCCACUAAUUAAAAAACGUAGAAACCCACCAACUAAAUUUCUACAUUCUUCGUCCAUUAUUCUUCAUUUUUCAUUCUUCAUUCUUCUUUCUUCUUUUUUGUCUUCUAGUUAUCUUCUUCUUUUCUUCUUCAUUCUAAUUAUCAUCUUUUUAUUUUAUUUUAAAUAAAAUUUCUUAUUCNNNNNNNNNNNNNNNNNNNNNNNNNNNNNNNNNNNNNNNNNNNNNNNNNNNNNNNNNNNNNNNNNNNNNNNNNNNNNNNNNNNNNNNNNNNNNNNNNNNNNNNNNNNNNNNNNNNNNNNNNNNNNNUUUUCUUCAUUGAUUGUUUUUCAAUUUCUUCUUCUUUAUUAAUUGUUCUCCUUCUUCAAUUUUUUUCUUUCUAUAUUGAGUAUAAGAAUAAAAAUAGAGAAAGAAGAUUGAAAAUAAAAAUGGAUGAGAUAGAGGGAAUAGAAAUAAAGGGAGGAAAUUUUUAAAAUAUUGAAAAAAAUAAAUAGGAGAAAACAUCAAAAUUUUAAAUAUUUUAAUUUUUACGAACAACUUAACAACGAGUAUAUCAAAAAUCAUUUUUUAACUAACAGGGGUUUACAUAUGCGGUUAAAGUAUACACUUUAACAACAGAUAGUUACAAAACUAUUUUUAUCUAACAGCGUAUUCCUAAUUGACGUUAGCUGUGCAUCAUUAGACUUUCAGUUUCUUGUAGUGUUAAGCCUCCUCGCUUCCACUAAUGCAACUUGCUUCAGGAGUAACGAGGAAUGUAAUAUACGGCGCAUUGAACGGUCACUGAAAGUGGCCAUGUAUGGGUUGUACAAAAAGUACCCACCAAUUAGCUGGUGGGUUAAUUUUUCCGUCAAACUUAACCUAACUCUCUCAAUGUUCAUCUAUAAUUUAAAUUACAUCUUGCAUUAUUUGAGACCACUAAGUCGUAUAUUCGAGUUAGUACUGAAAUUAGCUCUUGAGCUUAAGCUGAACUAAUUUACAAACAUAUUAAGUCGAACAAGUCUUAUCUCAAAGCCUGACUCAUUUAAAAUCUAACCAAAUAAAAAAUGAUCCAUUUUCCAAUUGAAUGCCGAAUUACUCGUUACGGUUUGGCUGGUCAACCACAAUAAUUCCCAACCAAACCAUCAUUGUUAUUUGAUUGGUUAUUAUUCCUAAGAGCAGGCCCAAUCAAUUUUUCUGAUGAUGAAUCAAGCCCAACCGAACUUUCUUAUGAUAAACAAGGCCCAAUCUUCUCUAGAUACUUUGUUCUACAGAAAAUGUUCGCGUCUCGGUUUCUGCUCUGCCUCCAAUCGAACUCGUCUGGAACUGGUAUCUAAUGUUGACGGCUGCUCUCCGAUCAAAUUUGUCAUCCCUCCUCCGCCAGUCAUGGCGGCUAGGGUUUCCAUGCUCCAAUCACGGUCUCUGUUCUUCAACCGCUCAAUCAGAAAUAAACAAAAGCGACGGAAGCUUGCUGGAGCUUGGCGAGGUGGAGAAGAUUCUCACCGACGUUAGAGCCGAUGACGUUAAAGUGAUACCUGCCGGAAAUCGCUACGAUUGGGUCGAUUACAUGGUGAUUGCCACCGGAAGGUCCACCUGGCAUGUCAAGAACAUCGCCGAAGCUCUUAUUUACAAGGCAGGUUUGGCUCAGCAAGCUCGUUCGUUUGUUUGUUAUAAGACUGACUGGUGAAGUUCCUGCUUGAAUCCCUAAUGGAAUGUAGUUCGUCAGCUUUGAUGAACAUUUGAUUUCAAAAUUCGAACUUUUAUAGCUUGGUGAUUGGUUGAUUUGAGUUGGAUUGAACAGGUUAAGCAGAAGCAGAAGGGGGCGAAGAGAAUGAUGCUUCCAAGCGUUGAAGGGCAAGAAGGAGGGAAUUGGAUCGUUAUUGACUCUGGUAAUAUUAUUGCAUUUAGUUUCGUUAUGAAUGUCUGAAAUUCGAGCUUUAAUGAUGCAGUCCAUCCAACGAACAAUGGAUUAGGACUUGGAGAUUUUUUACUUGACAUUUAGUCUCACAUUUUUUAUUAUAGCUGGAAUUCGAACUAGGAGUAUAUGGUACAAUUAAACUACAAUUGGUUAGGGCUUAGGAGUUUCAUACUUAAUUCUGAAACUUUCGUUUGUUCAUUACCUUCUACAGGAAGGGUGAUAGUUCAUGCUCUUGAUGAGAAUGCUAGAACUUACUACAAGUUGGAGAAUCUUUGGAAUUCAGAUAAAUCUCAGAAGGAUCCAGCUCAGGUACCAAUCACUUUUAUAAACUGAACAACGUUGAUUAUGCCUAAAGAGUAGCUCUGGUCAUAAGAUGACUGGAAUUUCUUGGUUGUUUUGAGUGCCUCCUAGUCCUUGUGGAUUCUUCAAAUUUCUUGAGUUGAUUUAGCUGACCCUUUAGGCAUUCUUCUGUUCUGAUCUUCUUAGACUUUGUUUGCUUACUCCCCGACUGGCUGAUGCAUCAUCACUAUUCCUAUAAUAUGUUUAGUGAAGCAGGAUAUUUAUGAACAACCAUGUCUCCUACUUGAACUAGUGGUUUAGUAAUCAGAAAGAACUGCAAAGGGUUUACGCUUUAGCAUUAUAUCUCCUAAAACAAUAGGCAACUGAGGAACUGAUGGGUUCUUUUUUGUGAUGUUUCCAGGAUCUAACAAAGGCUUUUGUGAAGAUACGACCCAAGAACAAUUCUAAGAAGCGAGUGCCGAGCAAAUGAGCGAUGCUCGAGUCUUGAUUUCUUCGAAACAAGCAGCUUUUUGGGUCUCUGGAUUUUCUCAGUGUAUAAACCAGAAAUCCGUCUCUCCUCUGGUCUCCUUACUAUCAUAGUUAUUGUGGAGUUAUGUAGCCUUUAGACUGCAAAUAACAGUAAAGCUUUUAUUGUCUAAUCCGCUUGUAUCGCGGAUUUUGCUGGUGAUUGCAAAUUCCAUCAUCUUACUUUCGAUGUUGUAUGAAACAAGGAAUCCGUAUUCGAAAAGGAUUUUUACAAGUAAUCUUUCUAUUCGACCAUGCAUUGACACAUAGUUGGAGGUUUCGAGAAACCAACUUUUUUCGAUGACCAUUCUCGUGUACUUGUGGUACACCUUUUCCUAUACGCUUGCAAUGUUCUAAAAAAUCUCGUUGCUAGCAUGUUGCUCGACUCUUACUUGCUUUAGAUUCGAUCCGAGAUUCUUAAGAUGUUGUGUCUAUCGUUCUAUAACAAUAUGUACUUUGAGUUGAACAAAUUGACAACAUUCUGUAGCGCAUUUAUCAACUUCCCUAAAAUGGGUUUCAUAAUUAGCUUUGAUCUUGGAACAAAAUCCUAAUCAAAUCACAACGGCUACCCUAUUUAAAACCCGGCCAGUUGGACCGGUUCAACCGAUGACCCAAACCGCAAACCAAGAAACUCAGUGCUCACCAAAUUCUUGUACACAGCUCCCACACUAACAUCGGUAUUAUCGAUCCCCUUGUCGCCAGCGUUUGCUUACUUGCUUGCUUGUUUCUUCCGGAGCUUCCAAAGCCAUAGAUACUCUAUAAAACCGAAGCUCCAUUCACGAUUGUCUCUCUGGCUACUCUCAUCGCUUCGCAUUCUUUCAGGAGGAACCUAGUAGGCGGAGCUAUCAUGGCUGCUAUUACCGGAUCCACCGCCGUCGCAUUCAAAUCCGCCGGGUUCGUCGCUGCCUCCUCCGGCGAAAGGGGCAUUAACCAGUUCCGCCACUGGUCUCCUGUUCCCGCCAGCCUCCACUUCUCCCGUGCUGGCCUCCGGUGCAGAUCGAGAAGCUCGGUAUCCUCUUCCGGUAAUCGAGUCCUUCCAUUUUUUGUGAUCGUGGAGUUUCUCGUUAAUUGUUUUGAUCAAGCGAAUUGACUGAGAGAGAGGAAUCGGUGUGGUGCAGGUGUGAGAGCUCAGGUUGCUGCAGUUGAACCAGUAAGCAGUGAGUCAGUUAAGAAGGUGGAAUCUCCAGUCGUUAUUGUAACUGGAGCUUCCAGAGGAAUCGGGAAGGCGAUUGCAUUGUCGUUGGGGAAAGCAGGUUGCAAGGUGAGUUUCGAUAUUGGUUUUUUUUGGUAGACGAUUCUUCAUUUCUGUGCUCGUGUUGUUUAGGAAUUUGAACUUAUUUAUUGUGAUUAAUUUCCAGGUUCUGGUUAACUAUGCAAGGUCAUCCAAGGAGGCUGAGGAAGUCUCCAAAGAGGUAUUAGGCAUUUGCAUUAUGCUGAACUCUAUUUCUCUGUGCUGCAUUGGUGAAUUUUAUACGAAUUCGAGCAAUUGAUUUAUGCCUUCUAGAUUGAAGCUUCCGGUGGUCAAGCUGUAACCUUUGGUGGUGAUGUCUCUAAAGAAGAGGAUGUGGAGGCCAUGAUGAAAACUGUGAGCAGAUAGUACGAUUUAGUGGCUUAUUUGACAAGGAAUUUCUUAUCUUGAGUUGAAUUAUGAUUUUUGGGUUGCAGGCUAUCGAUGCUUUUGGAACAGUUGACAUACUGAUAAACAAUGCAGGUAACAUUGCAGAAUACUAUAUCCUAGUUGACCUAAUUUUCUCUUCAGGCAUCAUGAUCUUACUAAGCAAAGGUUGCAGGGAUCACAAGGGACACUUUGUUGAUGCGGAUGAAGAAACAGCAGUGGCAGGAUGUUAUUGACCUCAAUCUCACUGGUGUUUUCCUUUGUACGCAGGUAUAUAAAGGCUGGUUCUUGUUAAGAUCCCUUAGUUAUAUGAGUUUUUUCUGUACAUAAACCGAGUAUUUAACUUUUCUCAGGCUGCAGCCAAGAUCAUGAUGAAAAAAAGAAAGGUAUUUACUACAACUUGUCUAGCUUGAGUUCCACUCUAUUUUCCAUGUUCCGAAAUCUGUCUUGAACGUAGUUGAGGUUGCUCAACUACAUGAUAGUCCUCACUCCUCUUUUAUCCAACUAUAACUAGCUCGAACAAGAAGCUGAGACUUUAUUCUGUUGUGUCCAUUGUUCUAUCCGUCACCGAUUUUAGCUGUCAUACUCUGUUUCUAACUUGCAAGUUUUCAAUCUUGUUGUGUUUUGAAGGGAAGGAUUAUCAAUAUCGCUUCAGUUGUUGGUUUGGUUGGCAACAUUGGGCAAGCUAACUACAGUGCUGCAAAGGCUGGAGUCAUUGGCUUCACAAAGAGUGUUGCGAAGGAAUAUUCAAGCAGAAAUAUCAACGUAUGGGCAUUGGUCCUGAAGAUCCCUCUUUCAGUUGUUUUUUCCCCGUUUCAAGUUCUUAGAUCAAAUCAGGCAUCUCUAAAUAUCUCCUGUUGAACGUAUAAUUCUAGGUCAAUGCUGUCGCUCCUGGAUUCAUUGCAUCUGACAUGACUGCCAAGCUUGGGGAUGACAUUGAAAAGAAAAUAUUGGAGACAAUUCCGUUAGGUGAGAUACAAUUUCAAAUGAGAUACAUCAUUCCUGGCGGCAUUUCGUUUCUUUAGCCUAAACAUCAACUGAUUCUGCAAUGCACUGAAAAAUUGUGACUAUUGUGUUUCUUAUUUAUCCAGGGCGGUACGGUCAGCCGGAAGAGGUGGCCGGAUUGGUGGAAUUCCUUGCUCUGAACCCGGCUGCUGGCUACAUGACCGGGCAGGUUAGGCUUCUUCCCUUCCAUUAUUUACAGUUUGAAAAUAUGAGUUGUUGCUUUAGUGACAUCAUUUCUAGUUAAACGUUCUUAUAAGUUCAUUCAUCGUUGGCAGACCCUAGCCAUGGUAGGAUUUGCUUCAACCAUAGGUUUUAAUACUCCGCAAGUGCUUUGACAUUAACUGCAACAGAAUAGAGUCCACCAGACUUAGAUAUAUCGUUACCUUUUAGCAUUCUGUGAUGUCGCUAAAGACAACGAGCGUUGACUAUAUCGUGACUAUUGACCGCAGGUGCUUACCAUCGACGGAGGAAUGGUGAUGUAAAGCAGAGGAGGAGGGUUCCCCGCUCCGGAAGCUGCAUCAUAACAUAGUCAAUUUUUUUAACCAGGAAAAUGUGUCCUAUGAUUAGAGCUUAGCAGAGGUAAUACAUGAAAGGGUCUUUGUUAUAGAAUGAAUGACUUUGUUAUCGUAUUGUAUCCGCUCGCGGCUGAGUUAAACCACAUAUUGAACCACCACUGGGACGGAACAUAAACAUCUGUUAAGUCUCGUAACUUGAUCAAGCAAUCAAAUUAUCGUAAAUACAUAUCUACUAGCUCGAAAAAUUCUUGGAAACGAUUGGAUGCGUGUUCUCCUCGUCCUUAACCUAGGCAAGCGUGAUUAAUUAUGUAAGCAAUCAAAGGAGUAAACGUGAUGAGUUAGUUUGUAGUGUACGGAGAAGAAAUCUAUCACUUGACAGAAGAAAUGGAACGUAAGAAGCUGGCAAACAAACACGAAUGCGAAUAUCCCAAACGCAGAAACAAAACAAACGUAUCGACAUAAAACACAACAACCAACCAAACAAAGUACCAACCAGAAGUCCACUUGACUUUGCGUCUUGGUCUUAGCCUCUCCCUUUAGUGCUUUGCUUGCACCCUUAUCCUCUCAUCUAUUAUUAUUAUUAUUAUUAGUCAACCUUUUCCCUUAAUUUGGAUGUUAAACUUUAAGUUUAUAUUUAUUAAAAGUUAAGUUUCAUUUCAUUUACACGCUCCUUCUGGUCCCGACACGGCAAAGUAUUUAGUUGAGCUUACAAAAUGUACCAAGUCAAAUUCAAAAGUAUCGCAAAUAAAUAUAGAAUUCGGUGUUGAAAGUGGGAUGAAUUGGGACUCACCCCCGGCUCCCCUGUUUUCUCCCCUACUUAUGAGGCCACAAGCGUUCAUUAAAUGUUACUUGUUAGAUCGGGGCUAGAUGAUAUUAGUGAAACAUGUUUCUCGGGAAGGCAAUCAACCAGCAUACCACUCAUAUAGCCUUACAAUAUGGUGUUCACCAUAUUUUUGCUACGAAUCCUAUAUUAUCCUUACAGUAAAUAUUUUGUUUGACUUAUCGAAAAUUGCUAAACUUCGUUUGAUUGUAACACGCUAAAUUAGUUAGUAAACUUUAGAAUUUAUUUGUAUCAAUUAUGAAAUCUUUCCCUUUAUGAAAGCCUCAUUAUAUGGAAAAAAUUAGAAGUGAUGUUCAUCAACUAAUAAAUAUCUCUAAAUCCCUUUCUCCAAACGAAAAAUAUAAAAGAGAAGCUUCUACUUUUCCCCUUCCGAAUAUUCCCCUUCAUAAUUAGCUCCUCACUACUUCUUCUUCUUCCUCCGUCCCCAACAAUUUUCCAGCAGACUCUGUUUUUCCUCUGCAAAAGAAUCCCCUGUUUUUCUAGCUCUAAUCUCCCAACCAUGGAGCUUUCUCUAAACUUCUUCACCUCCUUCGCCUUCUUCGCCUCCGUCUACCUCUUCGCCUACUUCGUCGUCUUCCGCAAUUGGGGUCCCAAACACCGCUCCGAAGCUUCCUCCUCCUUCAUGUCCUUAUCCCACGGUACUCCCGCCGUAAUCCUCUCCAUCCACGCCUUACUCCUCUCACCCUCCUCCUUCGCCGCCGUCAACUCCGCCGCACAGAGCGCCGUCCUCGAAUUCAGCGCCGCGUACUUCGUCGCCGACCUCCUCCACUACCUGAUCUUCUUCCCCCGCGACGUCCUCUUCAUCCUCCACCACUUAGCGACGCUCUACGUUUUCCUCACCUCCCGCUGCCUCGUCGGCCGAGGAGCGUACGGCCUCCUGGAGCUGCUGAUCCUGGCGGAGGCGACCAGCGCGUGUCAGAAUGUGUGGAGUAUUUCUAGGUUUAGGAAAGAGGAGUCGCCGGCGGCGGCGAGGAUGUACGAGUUUCUGUCGCCGCCGUUUUACGUGUUUUACUCUGUUGUUAGGGGCGUUUUGGGGCCGGUGUUUAUGAUUCAGAUGGUGGUUUUCUUCAUCGGCGGGGAGGCUGAGGGGCUGAUUCCGGUGUGGGUUUGGGGUUCAUGGAUGGUGGUGAUUGUUUCGGCGAUUGUGGUUAGUGUUUUGUGGGUGAUGGGUCAUUGGGUUGGUUGGUGUAAGGAGAAAGGGGUUUUAGGGUUUGAUUUGGAGGAGAAGAAGAUGAUGAAGGUUAAGUAAAAUUAUUGAUGGAUUGUGUAAAGGUUUGGUUAGUGAUAGAUGAUUUGUGACAAUGUGAUUGGUUAUUGUACUUGUAUAAUGUCUUGAUAAUGUUCGAAAACCGUGGUUUAUGCGACGAUAAAGAUAUCAAAUUCGGUUGAUUAGUAUGAGUAUAUCGUACUAAUUUGAUGUGAAGAAAAAGGUUAAGGGUCGAGAGAUAUAAGAUGUUUAGUGAUGAUGAUUAGAGAUAUUGUGAUCGAUAUGGGUGAAAAUUGUGUGGGUUGGGUUGGGUUUGACGACAAAACCAACUCCAUAUUAAAUUUUAAAAGUCUUAACUCACGAGAGACAAAAAAAAAAGGUUGUUCUUCAGGAUUAAGACUAAUUCAUCUAAUGUAUAUUACUAAGGAUUUGAAUUAUAAAUUAUGAGUGUUUGGAUUGUAAAAUCAUGUGUGAUUAAUAUACCUACAUACGUAUUCAAGUAUGGUUAAGUAUAGAGUGAAGGAAAUUGAUCAAAAUCAUGACAUUAAUCGACUUUUUUUCUCGAAUAUUAGUAUUGAGUAACUCAAAUUCGGAUUAUCCAUUAUGGUUUAAGAAUAAGUAGCCAAUCCGACGGUGCUGACUUUAAUCUAUAAUUUUUCUCACCUACUAUCCCUUAAUUGAUACCACAAUGAUAAUUUACUAAACCAUACACUAAUCAUAUUAUCCAUAAUGAUACAGCACUGAAUUUCCGCAAAUUUACAUUCCUGCCCCGGAGUUAUUAACUAUUUGUAUGCUAAUCCAUACUCUCCAAGGAUUCAAAGAAACCGUAGCAUGCUCGCUCUGCUGAAAUCUGUCAAACCACUUCACCUGAUUCCCAAGAACCUAGCUGCGAAACUAGCUCUAUAUGCUCAAGAUCGAAGCGUUCAUUUUAUCAGGGCUACCGCCAUAGUCGAUCUCUGCAAACGUGCCACCACCUUCACCCUUAGCCAGCCUUCCCGGGUUUAUACAGAUGCACUUCUUUGCCUCUUCAUCUUCAUUUCCUCCGCCAAUCGUUAAAACCUGUACGGACGAAGAGAAAAACAUAAGAACGAAAACCGACAAGGCAAAUAUGCUUCGAUUAUUAUACCUUAAGGAAGUACUUGGUGUCUGAAGGUAGUAUAAGAAUGUCGGGUGCAGAAUCGAUGUGGAGAGCUUUCGGAGCGAGUGAGAAAUCUAUAGGGACAUCUUCUGCCGGUGGAUAGAGAGGAUAGAAGCUGAUAAUAUUCAGAAGGUUUGAUAUUAGGAAAGUCUGAAGCUUUUAUAACUAUAAAUACAGUAUUCGGGUUUGAACAAGACAUGCCUUUGCUGACUUAGGAUAUGGCUUGAAAGUCUGCUCAUACGGUCACUUGGUGGUGCAUCUUUGGGAUACCGAGAUAGCUCCUCUCCGCUGAGCUGCUUGAGAAUGUCCACCGUGCAGCAACCAACUUUCACCUGAGGGUAAAAAUCGUCUAGGCAUUAACGUUUGUACACAUUAGGUGAAGCUAGUGUCACCUUAUUGGCUUCAAAAGUGUCUGGAUUUGUGAUUAGGUGUUACCGUAUUGGCUUCGAAAGUGCCUGGAUUCGUGAUGCUAGUGACCUGCACAGAUCAAAACAUCUGACAUAAACAAAAGCCGGACAUCAUGCAUGAUAAAGAUCCACGAAAAUGCGGUAACUGAAAGAAGUCGUAGUCCUCCAACCAGAUAACAUGUACCUGAUGUUUGAGUUCUGGAAGAUUAAUAUCGAACGCAGGCUGCAUAAAGAACUCUACUUUAGCUACAAGGGUAAGCAAUUGAUACUAAAUCAUGCAUAGUAGUAAACUACAAUAGUUGAUGCGAGCCAGAUAUGACUUAAGAAACCUGAGGGAAAACGAAGUCGUGGUUAGCAUCGCGUAUAGAUGGUACGAGAAUCACUCGUGCAUUCAGACCCAUGUGUUCAACGUAAUCUUGCACCUGAAAUUGGGUGGAAAACAAAAUCAUGCUUAGACGGAUUUCCUUAAGCAAAUAUUUGUACCAAUUUGUUGGGAUUGUACCCUUUUGCUGAUUUCAAGACGAAAAAUGUCAUCGAAGCUAAUGUCUGCAGUUCCUUUCUUGAUAUCAGGAUGUUCAGAAUCAAUAAACGGUCCCAACUGAAACAUACAACAAAGAAUUAGUAAGAGAUUGUUUCAUUUGCCAAUAAGUAAUCCGAACAGUGGAUUAUGUUGACUUCUUACCAGUAUAAGCAACUGUGGUUGCUUUCUUCUGGCAUAUGCUAGCAGCUCAGAGAGAGGUUCAUAGAAUAAGUUGUCGGUUGUGGUAAACGGACCUGAAGCAAUAAGCUUUCGAAACACAAGAGAAAAGAAGUUACAUUACGAUAUGGGAAACAGUCUAAGAAACGUUUUGGAACUGACAGCAAACUUAACUAACCACUGAAAUCUCUCCUUCUAGAGCGGAUAAAUCGGCUGACUCAAGCUCUUGGUCCAAAGCCCGUCUCUUCACAGGGUGCAAAUCUUUGACAUUGUUUCCUGACAAAGGAACAGAAUCUACAAGCUUCGACGCAAUCAAACAGUAUCCACUUGGAUUGUGACCUUCAACACCUACAAUCUGCAGAAGAAAAAAAUUUGCUUAGUCUGUCGGAUGAGUAUGUAAUAAGGCAUGAGUGAAUACAACAUUAAUGAAUUUGUUCAUUGCAUGUUUACCUGUCCUGGAAAAACAGAGAAAUGGUUCAAUUUGUGUAGAUCUAGACGAGCACGCUGUCCUCCAGAAUGCUCAGUGCUGUUAAAUUUGGUCAUAGUAUCCAGAAUACGAGUCAACAGACGAACUUGGUUCAAAAUAGUUAAACAUAAUGAUUCUUUCCAUAUACAUCUGCAAUAUGAUGAUCAGUAAAGGGCGUGGAGGAAUGAAUAUAUGUCGAACUAACUUAUACAAACAAACGCUACCGAACUAACAAUGAAACAGCUAGAAUGUGCUACCUGCUUUGCAACAAAAUGGACUUGUCAUUUAGUCGACCUUCCUCAUCACAGCAAAUCAUUCCAACACAAAAUACAUUUCUCUGCAAAAAGUAGCUUCCAUUCAAUUAAGAAUGUUUUGUAACUCUUACCAAAUCGCAAAUGAAACACCCUACGAGAGUACGAGAUUACUUUCAAACGAUGCAGCAGUAAGUGCCUAUAAUACAGCAAGCUUAUACAAGGAAAUGGAGCCUAGAGUUGACCUGUGAAGCAACAGAAGGAUCUGCUGGUUCUUCAUAAAUCCCAGAUUCAGAAAAUGCAGCAGCACGCCUCCUGAUCCUGUCGUCAAGUGCAUCAAACUAAAAACACAGCAAAAACAACCCUAAUUUAGUACAACUCAUUAGAUUUCCAAUCUAACAAACUAAAUUCGAAGCCGAAACAAAGUAACAACUACCCGGUCUUCAAUCCUGUCAUACAUGAAUCUGCAACCUGGCUUAGGACCAUCUCCAUGAACUGCCAAGGAAACUCCCUUCAAAGGCUUAACCCUCUUGAUCACAUCAUCCUCCCCAACAUCCUCCGUACCACCACCACCAUUCUCGGAAUCAGGCAGAUUACCAAUGCUGAGUCUCGCUACAAACUUAUCAGUUCUCCGUCCAAAAGGAGUUACAAGCCUAGAAGGCUUCUCGGAAGAGUAACCAUUUCGGUUCCACAUGAGCGCUGAAUCAAAUGGCUCAUCCAAGUACAGAUUCGUAACUUUCUCCGGAGUUCUUAGGAUUGCAUCCUUCAAGUUCUCCUCAUCGUCAUUCAAAAUCCUUACGAAAUAAACAAACCAUUUUUCAAAUUCGAUAUGAAACUCAUGAAAUGGAACUUAGAAACAAAUAGUGGAUACAGAUAAACUGCUUACAUAUCUACAUCUUUGCUCGAAUAGAAAUGCAGAUCAGCCUUCUGUUUAAUCACGGCUUCUUUCUGCUCAUUCUGAAGGUAGGAAAGAAAACCAUCCAUUUCCGCAUUCUGAACGACCAAAUCUUUCAGUUGCCUGCAAUUCAAAAGCAGAAAGGAAAGAAGACUAAAUACGAUUGCUACAUAACAUAAAGACCAAUUACAGUAUCUUCUGAGUACCGUACCGAUUGAGAUAGUAAACGUCCCAGCUCGAAACGAGAUCUGUUGGAGUAAGCUUGUAAUUUAUGCACAAAGUGAGACCUGACAAGAUCGGGGACAUCCAUCCAUAUAUAGUUAAGGAACUGAAACCACCAUGGAAAUGAGCGACGAAGGAGUAAGGUUUGCUUACAUUUCUUGAGAAUUUCCUCUUGAUUGUCCAAGCUGAACCCGCUCUUCUCGAACUCAACUUUGAUUUCUUCUUCCAUGAUUGGUCUCUCUUCGUUGAUUUCUCUCUGCUCCGGCUAGGGUUUUCAGUUUUUGGGGGGAGUUAAUGGAGAAAGGUAAGACUGGCGGGAAAAAUGUUGAAGGUGAUAAUCUCCCGCUGGUUCUGAUUAAUGAUUUAAAAAUUAAAACCCAUUGAUUGAUUUUGGGCCUUAUACAGAAAGCCCAGUGUAACUAAAAGGUCACAGCCCAUUGAUUGAUUUUGGGUACGGUAACGUGUUGAAUCUCAUAAAACCUACCAAAAAAAGUAAAUACACUCGAAUUAUUACUAUAAUGAUAUCUGAUUCACUAACUUAAGAUUAUAAGAGUAUGGGCCGCAUUUUAUUUACCGAAAAAUUGCUUUCAGACCGGUUGUUUAAUUGGAGGGGUGAUUUGUCCAUGUGAUUUAGACUAUGGUGAAAAUUCGACUGUAAAUUAUUCAUUUGGAUAUUUGAUUUUAAAUUGUGGAUCAAAAUAUAAUUUUGUGGGUAUGUGAUUUUAUAUUACUCCAAAUGGUAGAAACUUUAGAAGAGAUUUGAGAAUUAUUAACCAAAAAUUUCAUUUGUCAUUUUAGUAAUUUUUUUUUUAAUUGUUUAUCUACAAAAUUGUAUGUGAAACCAUUUAUAAAUUACUAACUCAAACGGUCUAUUUUGAAAAUAACAACCUACAUGUAAAUUUCUUAUAUUUUAAAUCUCUAUAUAUUUUAAAUAAUUUAUAUUAAAAUCUCCUACUUAAGCGACCCCUAAAAUAAAUACUCAAUAAUAACUUUAUCAUUGUCUCAAACCAUCUAUCUCCUCAUUUGAUAUGUGAUCUCUCGAAUAGCUCGAUGAGAUCGAUAUUAAACAAAGAAUUGUAGUAAAAUUACUAUUUGAAAAUGGCUAUNNNNNNAUGGCUAUUUAGUGAAACUAAAUUUGUCCAGGCAAUUAGAUUUAUGUACUCAACCCCAAACAAUAAAAAUCUUAAAUUCUUGCUCAUGGAGUACCUCCCCACACUACCUAAUUAAGAAAAAAUCUACCCACAAGAAUUCUACUUGCUCACAUUGAUUUAGCCAUUGGUAGGGUGGGUAGGAUGGUAAGUUUGGGUUGCUAUUGGUACUGAAUGGUAAGACUUAGAUACUUAAAAACUUAAACCAAUUAGAAGUAGAACAACAUUGGCGGGAAAGUUUUAGAAUAAAUAUUUGCCUAUACAAUUUUCCCUCCCAUUUCAGUUUCACCAUCUCUCUCAAUGGACUCCGAUUCAGACUCCGGCGGCUCUUACGUCUCCGCCACGCCUCCAAGAAAGUCAAGUCCAUCGCCGGCGAAGUUUCCUCCACCACCGAAGCCGCUACGGCAAUCAUCACGUACCAAUAAAAGAGCCGGAAACAAAGCUCAAUCCUCAGAUUCUAAAUCCCUAGAACAUCCAUCGAACUCAACCGGUGCUCCUCUCCGGUCAAAUGGAGACAUCGAUAGGUCAUUCGAUUCAACGCCUCUAUCGAACUUGCCGUUCCAGAUCUGCUAUUCUUCAGCUCAAAACCGAUCGAUUUCGUCCAGUUCAAUGGAGACUCUCCCCGCCGGAUUCUUCUCCAGGUCUGCUUCCUUCUCCAAAAUCCGAAGGGCUUCUCUCACUUUCGAAUCAGUUGACGAGGAAUGCCGAUUCUCUAAUUCCAAGCAGCCUGAUCCUUCCACGGCGGACCAAGUCCCGAGACCUAGCAAAAUGAGGAAGAAUCUUAAUCUGAUUAGAGGUGAAGUGACUGCGCCGCCGUUGGUCAAAAUUCGGAACCCUAACGAAGGCAACUUCGUGAAGCUCAAUACGAACAAGAACAAGUUUGUUAACAGGAAAGGGAAAAGGAAGAGUAGCUACGGUUCGAACAACCGGAGGUAUUACCGAAGGAGUAAAGGGAAGUUGAAGGCGGCGGAUGGCGAAGCUGAAGUGGGAGGGGCGAUCUGCGACGAGGAAGGUUUAGUCACGGAAAUCACUCCGCAGAAGCCAAGUAAAGGCAGUGAGCUGAUUCAGGAAGCGGUUUUUGCUGCUAGGGAUGAGCCCUCUGAUGAGAAUUUGGUGAGGUUGUUGAGUUUGAUGUACGGAUACAGUUCGUUUAGGGAUGGGCAGCUUGAAGCUAUUAAAAUGGUGCUUGAUGGGAAAUCGACCAUGUUGGUUUUGCCCACUGGAGCUGGAAAAUCACUUUGCUAUCAAAUUCCUGCCGUUAUUUUGCCUGGGAUAACUUUAGUAGUAAGCCCGUUAGUCGCAUUGAUGAUUGAUCAGCUUAAACGGUUGCCUCCAGAGAUUCAGGGUGGUCUUUUCUGUAGCAGUCAGGUAGUUUUCUCUCUUUAUCUCGGUCUUCAACUUGCUUUUGGGUGUAUUGUCGUGUUGUUUUGUCUAACAUAGCUUCUUUUGAGUUCCACAGACGCCUGAGGAGGUUGCAGAAACAAUCAGGCAGCUUCAGCAAGGAGCCAUUAGGGUAAGCUUGGUUAAGGUUUAGUUAUAAGAAAAAUCUAUCUGUUUCCUGUGUAGUUGGCAUAUUUAGUGAAAGUUUUCUGUUUGUUCCAGGUGCUUUUUGUUUCGCCAGAGAGGUUCCUGAACACAGAUUUCUCGUCGCUUUUGUCUGAGAUUCCUGUUUCCCUUCUGGUGGUCGAUGAAGCUCACUGUAUCUCUGAAUGGUGACUUUCCUGUUGCUAUGGUCCUCGCAUUUAGAAAUGAGAGAUGGGGUUUUGUCAUUGCUGAAUUCUCAUAUACUUUUGGAUGUUUUCGAGCAACAGGUCUCAUAAUUUUAGGCCUUCAUACAUGAGGCUCAGAGCAUCCUUGCUACGUGUCCGCCUCAGCAUUGGAUGGAUUCUCGCAAUGACAGCAACGGCUACUACCACUACUUUGAAUGCUGUUAUGUCUGCUCUAGAUAUUCCUUCACCUAAUCUUAUUCACAAAGAGCAGCUGAGAGAGAACCUACAGUUGUCAGUAUCUUUUAGUAGAAACAGGCAAGUUUACAUCUGCAUUAGCUCUCUUUCAUUCAUUUCGGAAUGUCUCCAUUAGGGGUAUGCAUUUCUUGCUCUUAACUGUAUAUAUUCAAAAUUUGGCAUCUGUAGAAUGAAAGACUUGCUGUCACUGAUCAAGUCUUCCCAGUUCAGUGAAGUCAAGAGCAUCAUUGUGUACUGUAAACUUUAGGUGUGUAAAUCAGUAUUGGUUAAUGUAAAGAAUAAGAACUGAAUUUCUAACAAUUCAUCACAACCAGUUCGUGACAAUAUUUCAAUUUGAAACUGAUGUACUGAGCAGUCCUAUAUUGUAGUUCCUCGUUAGACCAGUUCUAUGUAUAAGGAGAAAACUGAGACUAGUCUUUGGCUUCGCAGUAUGAAACUGAUAUAGUAAGCAAAUACUUAGGCGACAAUAACAUCCCUGCAAAGGUCAGUCGAUCUGUUAGCAUAUUGGUCUCUUUAGUUUCUACUAUAUUUUGCAAGUGGUUCGGGAAGUUGCUUACAUAUAUUUCUCGAUGAAGGUUGUUGCAACUGUGGCAUUUGGCAUGGGGCUGGACAAGAGUGAUGUUGGAGCUGUAAGAAAAAAAUGCAGUUCAUUUGAUACAUGAUUUAUGCAACACAUGACACCAUUAGGCCCACUUGCAAAGUAGAUAAAUAAAACAGUAACAGAAUUUCUCAAGUAUAGAUUUUCAAAUGCUUGACAGUGGAAUGAUGUGGGUCUGGUCUAUUUAUUUUGCACGUGUAUCAUGAAAUACUCACAUAUGAAUCUGUUCCAGGUGAUUCAUUACAGUUUGCCAGAAAGCCUGGAGGAAUAUGUUCAGGUGGAAAUUCAGUUCUUAAUAACUUGCUGGCACAAGUGCUGUUUCUAUGGUAACUGCCUAAAUUAGAUGCUAUUACCUUGACACAGGAAAUUGGACGUGCUGGAAGGGAUGGGCGGGUGUCCCAUUGCCAUCUAUUUUUCGAUGAUACCACCUAUUUCAAGCUUCGAAGUCUUAUGUACAGGUUGACAUAUAUUUAACGUAAUGUCUUUCAUCAAUGGGAAUAUACUGUUCACAUUCUGGAAAUUACAUCUAAUAUUGGUGUUUCUAACAGUGAUGGAGUAGAUGAAUAUGCAGUAAACAAGUUCCUCUCUCAAGUUUUUAGCAGUGGAACUGGCUCAGUAGAGAAGGUCCAUUCGAUUAUCAAAGAAUCCGCCUCUCGCAAAUUCGAUAUGAAAGAAGAGGUAAGUCUUAACCCCCGUGACACAACUUACAGGCAUCAUCAUGACCUUUUUUAGUCCUUAAAACUAAAUACAGUGAAUUAGAAUGGAAAGACUCGUGAAAAGUUUCUUGUUAGCAAUUUUCAAUCUGUGAAUUCCUUAUUUGCUUUUCUUUUAUGUUGUAAGGUGAUGCUCACACUUCUAACACAGUUGGAGUUGGGGGAUGUGAAAUACUUGCGCUUACUGCCUCAAGUAAAUGUGACAUGCACUUUGAGUUUCUACAAGGUUGGUUGAGGUCUUGUGGACGGGAAUCUCUACCUUCUAUUCUUAACAGUCUACUUUUGCUUGCUUAGUGUAUCUUAAUAUCAGUGCUUUCCUGCAAAUCAAUUUAAGUUGAUUGAACCUCUACAAUACCUGUUUAGACUUAGUUUUAUUGCUCGGAACCUCUAAUGGCUCAGCUUGUAAUGCUAGAUGACCUGUGGAGCUCUAAAUUGACCGUGCUUAGUCUGAUCCAAUAAAUCGACUCUGUUUCCAAACAUUUUCUGUUUUUCUUAAAUGGAACCUCAGUGCUAAUGCUUUCAGAUGCGCAAAAAUGCAGACUUCACCAGUGGAACUUGCUGCCAAGGAUAUCCUAGUAUCUUCAAUUUUGAAAAGGUCAGCACUGGUUUUGAAACCUGACUGCAUCCCUUGCAAAACAAUGAUAUAUCCUAUGGUUUUUGGAACACUUUAUGGUGUCAUAAGCCUAACCAUGUUUUUCAGCUGUGAAACUAAGCAAGGAGAAUAUGUUUUCAACAUACCUUCGGUGGCAAAUAGCAUUGGCGUCUCUAUAACCGAGUUAUCAGAUCACCUGAUGAAGCUCAAGGUAUGAGAAACUGAGAGCACCCUGAAUUCCAUCCUUCUAUGCCCGAAUUGUCUAUACUAGAUUUUGACCGAGAGUUGAAGAAAAUCUGUUUGGAUAUCAGCUUUAAAAUAUUGUUUUGCUAUGUGUUUCUUCUCGAUGAAAUAACAAAAAACCAUAACUUGAUCUCAAAGUACAAUACUAGUGUCUUCUUUUUUCAAGCAUACAAGGAUAAUCCUUGUUGGAGGUGCAACUUUCCAGAAAGGAAUAGUAAUUAUUUCAGAGUGUACGUAAGUCUAUUAGUCCCCGUUGGAGGGGAAUAAAUCCAUUAUCCCUUGCCCUUGGAUCUAUUUUUAAUGUCUCUUAUGGUCAAAUUCCGCAGAACAAAUGUAGUUAUAUAUGUUAGUUUUCAAUGUGAUUACAGUGGAAAGGUGAAAUAACAUACGAGGUCAAAGAUCCAGCCUUUUGUUAUACAAUUGUGGAACUCCCCAAGGACUUGUGCUCCCUUUCAGUACAUCUCACCAAAUGGUUGUCUGAAGUCGAACUCUGCAAGGUGAUUGAUUUUGAACCAGUAAUGAAAUAGUGUCUCCCUUUCUGGACAGUGAAUUUUAUGUAGUGUUCUUUUCUCCAGGUCAGAAGGCUAGAAGAAAUCCACAAUGCUGUACAGUUCGCCGUGAAUGACUGUAAAAAGACGCAAGGUUGCAAGGGCAGUGAGCACACAAUGUGCUUACAGAGAAGGAUUCUGGACUACUUCAAGGAAGAAGACACCAGCCACGAACCAAAGAAAGAAUCGGCUCUCCAAUGCAGCCCGUUUCUGCGAGCAGAUAUAAAGGUGAAGUGUUCUCCAAGUUAAACAAUCUGUUUAAAGAAUACUAUAUCAAUUACAACUCGAGUUAUUGAGAUGUGACAAUUCACCAUAGUAUAUGCUUCCGCAGCAUUUAAAAUUCUGGCAAUUCGUGUCAUAUUUCUGCACGCAGGUCUUUCUGCAGAGCAACUCGCAUACGGUGAAGUUUACUCCGCGAGCAGUGGCGAGAAUCAUGCACGGGAUUGCCAGUCCAGCUUAUCCUUCCUCAACUUGGUCCAGCACUCAUUUCUGGUAACCUCAAUCAGUCUCUUCCAUGGUUGGUGUUUUUUUUGUUUGCAGUGGUGAAAAUCGUGAAAGCUGUUUGAUAAGAUUCCAUCCUUUAUGGUUUGUGCAGGGGAAGGUACACUGGAACAGAUUUUGAAGUGGUGAUGGAAGCUGCCAAGGGAGAGCUAAUCAAGUGUGCUGGUAAAGGGUAGGUACCAAUUACCUGACGCUAAAAAACAAAUAACCUGGAGUUGAAAAUGAACAUCCUGUGAUUACACAGCUCACCUGGUGAAAAUUCACAGCUGUUGGUAAGCAACUAAGUAAAGCAAAACAAUCUCAGUUUUACCAAUACUACCACUUUCAUCUGGUUCUUACCAAUGUUUACAGUGGGUUGUAACAGUCCUGACGGUUGAAAAGAGACCGAAACAGUCCUGACUGCAAAUGUGAGACUGGUACGCCGUCGUUUCGUUGCAUUGUUCUAACUGCCAGCUAGCUACUGGUACUGUUUAAUUUAUACAACUUAGGACACAGUUUUGCCGUAUACUCCACUUCUAAUUAUUAUAUUCCUUCAUCAUGUAAGGCCCAAAAUCAAUGGCUGCAUAUUUGUAGUAUUCCUCAGACUUUAAUUAAUAAUUAUGGUAUCACAUGUAAUUAAGGCGGACUUCAACUAAAUAUUUUAUUUUCGGGUAGAGAUCUUCUUGUCAGUACAAAAAUUCAUGAAUCAUUAGUGACAUACAUGAUUUGAUGAGGUUUCGCUUACCGUCGUCACUCUCCAACCUUAGUGUCCGCAAUUUCUCUACCAUCGAUUUGCUUGUCGAUCACCACCUUAUGCUUAUGAACCAACUUUGAGGAUUGACCACUAGCUUAACUAUUGUUUGUUAUCCAACAGUCAAAUUUACUGAUUUCUUCUCGUUAUAGUUAAUAUAUCAUGUUCUGUUGACAUUGUCCACGAUAAAUACCUACAUCGUAAUCCAAACACCAUACCGCCUGUCACCAUUCCCCGUUCAAAACCUCAUGUGUUUACUCUUUAUUAUUUAUUUUUAAAUUAAAUUGGUCCGUUAUCUUAAUGCUAUUAACUCUCUUAAUAAUGAAUCCUAAUGUCUAAUGAUGUCCAAAUAAUAUAACUUGGUCGGCAGUAUAAUAAUUAAUUGUUUAAAGAGGACUAAUGAUACUUGUAAUUCCUUAAAAUGGACAAGGAGGCAUUAUAAAUUUUAUAUAAAGGAUAUAAUUAAAAACACCUAAAAAAAAUAACAUCGAAAAUAAUAUAUAAAAGAAAACAGGAGGUUGGAAUAAUAAUUUGGCGGGGGUUGGUUUGUCCGUAUAUUCGUUACAUAAUUUCUAAGAAGAAGAAGCUGCAGCGGCCUGAGUCAGUCCAGAUCCGCCAUUAAAAUUCUGGACGAACAAGGAAAAUUCCCCCAACAAGGAAACGCCUUUACUCCGAUUCUCUUCUUUCUAAGCAAACCCCUUUUCUUCUUUUGCUUCUUAAAACUCUCUUCUUCACUCCUACACGGCGCGGCUCCUCGUCUCCGUCUCUCCGCCGAUCUUCCCCGAUGCAUAAAUAGACAGUAAAGAAAUCGAAUAGAGAGAAUCGCGAAUUUGAACUCUCAGUCACAUGGCGGAUUCAGGCAGCGAUCAGAGCGUCGUUAGCUCAUCUUCUUCUUCUUCGUCGUCGUUUCUCACCAAUUACCCUCUCAUCUCGGCACUCGUCGCCUUCGUCGUGGCCCAAUCCAUCAAGCUCCUCACCUCCUGGUAACGGUUCUCAUAACUUCAUUUAAUCAGCCGAAUUGAUCAGUCUUCGAUUUCAUUUCUGGAAAUUGGACGUGUUUGCUCCACGACCUAGGUUUUGUUGUGUCGUAGAUCUUUGAAUGGAAAAUGGAAGAUAAUUAGAGCUCGUUAGAUGAAUCAGCUUGUUGUGGAGCUAACCAGCUGACUUUUACUAGAUUAUGUAUAUAGGGUUGUUUGGAUUUGGUUAGUGUUCUUAAGGCUGUUUCUUUGAGUUCUGCAGUUACAGGGAAAAAAGAUGGGAUAUGAAGCAGCUCCUUGGAUCAGGUGGAAUGCCUUCUUCCCAUUCUGCAACUGUCACUGCACUAGCCAUGGCCAUUGGCUUCCAGGAAGGGUUCGAAGGAUCUCUUUUCGCUGCUGCGUUGAUCCUAGCUUGCGUUGUAUGCUUCUUUUUUCUGCAAUCAAGGAUUAGCUCUCUGUUCGUUCUAAAAGUUCAAAUGUUGAAGCAGUGUUUUUUGAAUGUGCUUCACUUUUGGUUUGCAGGUGAUGUAUGAUGCUACUGGUGUAAGGUUACAGGCUGGCCGGCAAGCAGAGGUUCAAAACACUGAUCUAAUCCAUCGUUGCAAUUGACUGUUCACUUUUUUUUCUGUAGAGGUUAUUGAAUAGGGUUUUGUUUCUGCAGGUGUUGAAUCAAAUUGUGUAUGAACUCCCUGCUGAACAUCCUUUGGCCGAAAGCAGACCUCUUCGUGAACUCCUUGGUCACACUCCUGCUCAGGUACAUAUGCCAUAGGUUGCAUUAGACUUAUAUGCUUAUGUUGUUAAGUUUGAGCUGAGAAUGUGCAUUCAAUGAUUAGAGCUCUCUGAAGUCAUAUGUUGAUUAUGUUGUUAAUUGUUAUGUUUGAGUUGAGAAUAUGAGCUAGACUUGCAGGACUCUCUGAAAUCAAUCUCGUACUUCCGACUGCGACUUCACGAGCAACCUCAUAGCAUAGUUUUUUUUAUUCGAUUGGAUCCUGUGAUGUAGGGCCAUCACGGGAAGUUUUCAUAGAGUAUAUAUAUAUCAUAUGUUGCAUUAUAUGCUUAUGUUGUUAUUGUUUGAUAUAAAGGAAUGUGAGAUUGUGAAGUAACAGUAAUGAACAAAUAUCGAUUCUAUGAUCUAGCCAUCAUCGAAACCAACCUUAUAACAUCAUCUUUCGAUCGAUUGUAUGCGUUCAUAGGUUAUUGCGGGUAGCUUGCUUGGAGUUGUGACAGCUAUCAUUGGCCAUCUGAUCACAAUGGCAACUAGUCGCAGCUGAAGAGUCUUCGUGUCGACGCCAUCAAACGGCUAAAAGCUCGGCGAGUCGGCUCGACGAGGGCAUGUGACCAUAGAAUUGCAGUGUGUUUCAACUGAUGCCAUUUUCUGGGUUUUUAGGAGACUCACCUGAUCAUAAGUAUAUACAUUCCUUCAAAAAAAGUGUUUCUAUUCUUUCAUACAUGUGAUUUGUUCACAGUACUGUCCUCAGUCAAAUGUAAUUAUAGACAUCAAAAUCUGACAGAUCAUCUCUAGCAAGUUUAUGAUGAAAAAUUACAGGCUUUUAGGCUACAUGCUGUUCUUUUGUUGUGUUUGAAGGUUGCUGUUCUUUUAGGGUCCCAACUGAUUCGUAAGUGGAAUUGAUCAAAAAUCAACAACCCAAUCAGUUGCUCAUUUAAAAAAAUCACAAAAAAGCAGCAAUCCAAAUGAUUAGUGAUCCAAUUUGUGACCCAGUUGAACUACAACCUUAUUGUUAGUAACACGUAACCAAAUUAAUCUAAUUCGUAACACGCUUGAUCUGCCCCGACAACUCCACCAUUGUAUCUUAUAUUAAAUGGACCCGAGUAAUAUAAAAAACCAAAUUUUAUGAGGUGAGGAUACUUUCUUUUUGUUCUCACCCGUAAGAAUACUUUAAAACUGUUAGAUUUUUUAUUGAUUAUUUAAAAGUUUACAUUAGUCUUUAAUUUAGUCUUGAAUGGAACAAAAGAAAAACUGUAUGUCAACUAUUAAUAUUUUAGUCUUGAAGUAUGUAAGCGGUAUUAGAUGGUACAGUAUCAAGUGGCAUCCGCCCCGCAGGCAUCAUGAAAUGUAAUGUGGGUGUGACCCGCUUUGAGACGAAUAAUAUCACGGGGAACCGCAUGUCGAUUCUCAACUCGGGAGGCUCUCUUGUGCAAUUUCGAAUGAAAAUGUGGAUGGGGUUGUACGAUGUGAAAGUUGGGGAGGCCACGACUCUUUUGGAGGGAAUCAGGUGGGUGAUCGACAUAGAGCUCCAAUCGGUCGUUUUCGAAAGUGAUUCUCAGAUGGUGAUGUAAGCGAUCGAUGGCAAUUAUGAAGAUCUUACCGAGUUUGGUGCUUUAGUUUUUAUGUGUUGUUGUCUUUUACGUUCCUAAGAAGAUUUUAGUUUUUGUUUUGUUAGGAGAGAAAGGAACGAAAUUGACUACACGUUAGUGAGACAAUCCCUGAUCUAUACGUCCUGUUUGUGGGUGUUAUAUCUCUUGUCUGCCCCAGUCCAAUGUUAUAUCUUACUUGUUCUUUGACAGGUCAUUAAUGAAAAAGUAAUAAUAAUUUAUGCGUCAAAAAAACAUUACCAUAAAUUAUUAAUGCUAAAAGAGGUAAUUGUCUUGUCAUUUUAUUAAUGCUGAAAGUCUAAAAUUUGAAAACAAGCUUACAUUGUUUGAGCGGUAUAAGCCUAGAUAAGAGGUGUAUUUCCGACAUGGGGUUUACAAGGAGUCGCAGUCUUCCGUGGAUAAAUGAAUAACUCAUUUUCGAACUUUCCUGACCAAUUAAUUCUAAGCGAACAAAAAAAGCCUAGACUCGAACAAACAAAAACUCAAACACUAACAAAGAACAAAAGACUAACUGAAUCGGCUCGACAACAAGAUCGAACCAAUACGACAAACACACAAGAGACCUAGAAAACAAGAAAAAAAAUACUAAAUAGCCACUAACACAUACUCUUAAGCCUAUCUAUAAAUAUUUAAGACAGACUCUUGACAAAAAAUAUAUGAAAAACACAAAAAAUGCAAACCGAAUCGUACCAUUAAAACAAAAGGAGAUACGUAAAAGUAGCAAUGGUCUUCAUCCAUUGUCUGUACAAGGUGACCCGCCUCCACAAUGCCAAAACUAUUUAUGUCGAUGGGCAGGACUCCGAAGGUUUGCCAACUCCUACAUUGUUUCCAGCACCCUCGUAAUUCCCCUCCCCCUCCCAAUUCUCAAUUUGUUUUUCAAUUGAUUGAUAAAAAUCUUAUUUUUAUUGGAGGUUUAGGGCCCUACCAUUCUCCUCACUUUGAAUUACUCAGACGAUGUGCUUUUGAUCGAACAUUUGUCUCACCGGUUGGGUAAGCUUGAACCUGGAGACAUUGUUCUAGUUCGAUCCCCGGUUGAACCGGGAAAGAUUGUGGCUAAAUGGAUAGUCGCAAUGGAAGGUGAUCGCGUCACUUUCCUUACUGCCCUUCACAUUCCGGUAAGGGACAUACACAAUCAUGUCACUGCAGACUAUUAAUUGUUCCGGUUUGGGGUGAAUAGGUUGUUGUUCCAGCAAUGAUGUGCAACUUUAUUUCAACUAGAGAUUGUGGAAGUUACCAUUCUUAUUGUGUAUUGCAGGGAGAAGCUGAUAGUUCCGAAAAAAAGCUGCAGUUUUGGACAAGGUUCAUAUGCCGAUGUCUGAGUACAUAACGAGAAGUAUCGAGUUCUUGUAUUAGUACUCUGUGCUUUUUUAAAUUGUUGUGUGUUUUUAUAAAGUGUUGUGUGAAGAAAUGAAGGUAACCCUUAUUUGUAUUUGCUUAGUAGAAUCGUGGGUCUAGUUUUACGUAUACUAGGGGUCUAGCUAAAUAAUAAUAAUGAUUGACGCGUCAAAAAAAAAUACCAUAAAUAUUUAAUGACCAAUUAAUUUAAGAUUCAUGCACAAUCAUAAUUGGAGAUUGGUAAAUGAAAUAGAAAAAUCAUUAAAUAAAUUUCCUUAGUUCAAUUUACUUUAAGAAAAAUACCUUAUUUGCCUAUAAACAAUUAACGUCUAUAUAAGAAAGGUAAUCAUUUAAAUCAAAAUUUACGAAAUUGCCAUUUUUCCUUUGACUGUUUACUCCUCCAAUUUUCUCGUAUAAAUUGCAAUUGUUAUUGUUCUGGGAGUGAAUAGGUUAGACGUUCGAUUGUCUUUGCAUUGGCGAUGACCAAUUCUUACAAUACUAUUGUUAGUUUCAGAGUGAUGGCUAUUAUGUUAUUUUUUAUGGUUUUCGGUAUCGGCGUAAAUGGUAUGGUUAACAAUGAUAAUAUGAAGUUUGAUCGUGAUGGCAUAUUAAAAACCAUUGUGGUUAGUAUUUCUUUGAAUAUUAUGUCUAUAUACAAUAUACUUGAUUGGUGUUAUCUUCACCUUUUUAAAGUUAUCAUAUACUGUUUUUAUGGGUGGUUGAUGCUUAAUUGUGGCAUGGAUUUGUAACAGAGCGGAGACGAAACUAUUGAUUGUGUGGACAUCUAUAAACAACCCGCUUUCAACAAUCCGCUUUUGAAAAAUCACACUCUUCAGGUGAGCUUCAACAAAGUUGCAUAUUUGUGUUUGUGUAAUUUCAAAUAAAAUACAGUUAUGAUUUGUUUUUUCUGCAAUUGUUUAGUUGAAACCAAGUUCAUACCCGAGGGGGUCGAGAUCCAAAGUUGUGGUUAACUCAACAAAGUACAUUCAAAUGUGGCAUAAGAAUGGUGAGUAUUGCCCCAAGGGAACAAUAGCAAUGUUGAGAUCGUCAACGACGACUUGGGCAUUUAAGGAUAUCGAGGUACAUGUAGCGUUAUAGAAGAUUGAUUGAGAUUUAAAUAUAUGAAUAUUCUGAAAGUGAAAUUAUUGUUCGAUUGAUUACAGGUGGCGGGAGUGUCGUCGUCUUAUGAUUACUAUGGACUCAAUAUGGAUAUGAGCGUAUGGAGCCCACAAACACAACCAAACGAAAUGAGCUCAUCUCAAGUUUGGGUGUUCGGUGGGGACGGCCUCAUAGUGCAGUCGUUUCAAGCUGGUUGGAUGGUAAUUAUUGGUAAUUAAACAGCUUUAUUUUUUGGUCGUUCAAAUAAUAAUAAUAAUAAAUAUCAGGUAACGCCAUUGAAGCCAAAACCCACCAUCUUCGCAUAUUGGACCGUAAGUGCAUAUGAAAUAAGAAUAUAUGGUUGUAGCUAGCUAGGUGUGCACAAUUAUAUUAUUAAUUAGUUAUAUAUAUGGAUCUCUUCUAUAGAGGGAUGCAACCGAAGUAUCUGGAUGCUACAAUCUAGACUGUCCUGGUUUUGUUCAAACAAGUUCUACCAUUGUCCUCGGUUCUCAACUAAACCCAGUUUCCAUCUAUGGCGGCCAACAAUUUUUUAUCAACCUCAAAAUUCACAAAGUAAGAAAUUUAAAUUCCCAAUUAUAUAUAUUGAGAUUGUGCAUGCAUGCAAACUCUCUUCAUAAAACUCAUUCAUCACAGGAUUUUAAAACGGGCAACUGGUGGCUAAACAUCCAAGGAACGGAUAUAGGGUACUGGCCGGGAGAUUUAUUGCCGAGCAUGAAGAUAUCAGCAACUGUGAUGGUGUGGGGAGGUAAAGUUAGCAAUACGAAGCCGAAAGGGGUUCACACAAGGACUCAGAUGGGGAGCGGCCAUUUCCCGAGCGAAGGGUUCGGAAAGGCGGCCUGGUUCAAGAACUUAGAAUAUGUGGACGACAAAGGAUCGUUCCAGGAUGUCCGCUUUAUUCAAACAACAGCUUCGGAUGAAAAUUGUUACGACGCACAAGUGCAGGAUUGGGAUCAGAAUUUUGGUACUCAUUUCCUCUACGGUGGUCCUGGCUAUUCCUCUAUUUGCCAGAACUAGCUUGCUAGUAGUCGUUUUGAUGCAUAUGCAUUGUCUGACAAUCAUUAUCCUAAUUCACCAUGCCAACCGAAAUAAAGAUGAUUGGAAGUCCUGAGCAAAAUUUUAGAGUUUGGAAUGAAUUUUAAAACAUACUAGUGCUCCCUAAUGUUGAAGCGGUUAAAGUUCUUAAUCCACUGGUGACGAGAAAUGAUAAUUACCAGAAGUCUUUUCCACCAUUUUCGACAAAUCCCAAUACCUCGCGCGCACUUUUACUCCACUGCUCGUGAGUUUCACCUCUCCUUUGAGUGCUCAAUUGAGAGGAUAGCUGUGAUUACCUUCUGACGCCAGGGAUGUGAAAGACGUGCCGUCCGUUGUACCAGUUUCGUAUGCGCCUCGUGUGGCGCCCUUGCCGGAGGAUAAGGUUGAAGGUGAAGUGCAAGAGAGUGCAAAGGACGGCGAGGACAUGAAGACCGAGGUUCGCCGGGUUGAAACGGAGAAUAGGGCUAUGAGAAGGAUUUUGAGGAUGGAGGAACAAACAGAGCAGGCUGUUGUGCCUUUUCCUAGAUUGAUGGUACCGGAGAAGAAGAAAGAGAAGAGGCCACUUCCGGAAUUGAUGGACGCCAUUCGCCAAGUCAAGGUUACUGUCUGUUUGGUUACAUGUAAAAUGGAUGAUGUUAUUAUAUAGUUUGUUUUCGGAUUCUAAUUUUUGGUUGGACUGUUUCUUUCAACUGGUCAGGGUGACGCCAGGACGGCCUUUGAUGAAACUAUUGAAGCGCAUGCGAGAUUGGGAAUCGAUCAAAUCUCGAUCAGACCUGGUGGGUGUUGAGUUGUUGAAUAGGUAGAUUGCUCUGUUGGAAAUUAAGUUCCCCGGCCUAUAUAUUAAGCUUUGCUUUCCUCACAAGUGAAGUUCUUAAGUAGCUUGGAGGUAACGAGAAGACCUUUGAGUUGACAGAGAAGAAGCUUGUUGCUGCUUCAGCUGCGGUCCCGGAUGAUAGCCAGAGCAGAAUCCUGGCUGCUCAUGAACGGUUUCUUGCUCGAAAAGGGAACAAAUGAGAGUCCGGUAUUUGUCAAAGAGUGAGCAUGUAACGAUAUGGUGUUCAGCCAUGGCAGCAGGUUAACCAUCUAGUCGGUCAAAAUUAAUGGGAAGAUGGAUGUUGUAGCUUACUUAGUAUGAAGUAUUGUGGUAUAUCGUGCAGUUUUCUUUAACUAUAAUAGUAGUCGAUGUAUUUACUCUCGACAACAUGUUGCUGGAAGAAUGCAUUUGAAAUUGUUACGAUAAAAUCAUUGGGGAUAAUGUCCAAUUCGAUUCCAUGGAAGAUAAAGGGGGCUAAGAGAUUGAUCGGAGAAACGAUCAAAUUCUGGAGAAGAAUAAGGAAGCAGAGAAUUGAUGUUGAAGCUCUGAAAGUUGUAUUCGAUUUAUUCAGCUGUUUGGGUUUUAUACCAACCUCAACGGUAACAAGAACAGUAAAAAUGAAAUUACAAACGCGGGUAAAAACACGUGUCAUUAGUUCAUACAUCAACUUGGUAAAAUGGACGGGAAAUGAAACUCUCCGUUUCAAUCAUCUUCACUUCUUCUUUCGUUGACGUUGACUAACGCUUUUCCCACUAACUCCGUUUGUUCUUCGCUGCAUUCAACAGGGGCACUAGCUAGUAAACUCGGCCAAUUUAUACGAACCUGAACGAGCUGGUAGACAAUUCAAAGCAUUUACAGUCGGGGGGAUAUAGCUCUCGUAACACGGCAACAGAAAAAAUUAAGGCGCCAUGAAAUUCGAAUUCUGCCAAUUAGUUGCUGUUUGCCGGAAGCUGAUUCAUCCUUCUUCUCCUCGCUGCCAGUUUGGUAUCCAUAAACUGUGGCCAACUGUGAUUUGUUACCCGGAGUAAGAAUUGUCGAAGGAUGAGGGAUUGAGUGAAGAAAUCUCGGGGAACCCUAACCAUGAAAUUUUUCCUGCUGCCAAACGUACCAUAGGUUUUCAGGCUGUGUUUGCUUCAGCUUUGUCUACUGUUUAGGUACCUUAGUACUGAUGGAUCCGAAAAAUUCUAUCUGACCCUGAGCUUUGUGGUUAUAAUAUUGAAUAAAUCCCAUGAGAGGAGCUUGAACACGUAAGUUCUGCAUUUGGGAAAAAAAUGGUUUGUGACCAUUUAUGUAGCUUCCACAAAAGCAAAAUCAGCUGAGAGUUACAGUUGCUAAUGACCUUUUUAGAGACAUUUUACUGCGAUUGGUAAAGCUAUUGACGAUAAUGCGUGAAUGAAAAGUAAAAGGUCUGAUCACAUCUGCAACUCCUGAUCGUCUUCUCCAGUUCUCCUCCGAUCUUACUGUGUUCUUUUGAUGAUUUCCGUCCCCUCCUCCAUUACCCUAUAUAUCAAUCCAAUGAUGAUGCUGAAACUGAAAUACAGGCCUUCUCUUUUCUUCAUUUGUUUCGUGGUCAAUUUUUACGUCGUCGGUGGCGUCAACUUCAACUAUUCGGCAUUUCGGGGGACCACCACCGACGAUUUCAUCUUACAUAAAUCGUCCCUCGGUGCUGACAUGGUGCACAUCACUGCUGACUACGAGCGCUGGGAUAUCACCAAUAAGUCGGGACGGUUGCUCUUCCACCGGCCGGUCCACCUACUCAACUUCAAGACGAGCUUCGUUUUCAGAAUUGUUCCGGUGACUCAGCUGCCAGGGGAAGGUCUGGCAUUCGUGCUUGCCGGAGACCCGAACCUUCCGGAACACAGCUCGGGUCAGUGGCAUUCAUUCCAAUAACUGAAUUCCUAUUCGAUGCCUAUGUACAAUUCGAAUGUUGGUCGCCUUAGACUAAAUAAAAAGACGUAACUUAAUCGUAAAAAAGAUUGCAUAACUUACUUUAACUACUGUCCACAUAACCCUUCCUGUACUGAUGAAGUUACCGGGUAUCAAAAGAAUUAGAUAGGAAUGAGGAUGCAAAAAGAAGGCUUUACAAUCCAACUCAUAGGUACUGUUCCUAAGCUACAGUGGCACCAUUUGGUUGGGCCCUAGCUUACGCCUUACUUUGUCUUAUUUCAUAUUUACCCAACGAUGUUGCCUCCUAUCUUACACACCUACGGCGGCUUUCUUUGUUCCCCCUUCAGUCACCUUGACGUACUGCUCCUGCUAUCUGACGAACAUGCUUCUAUGACGCUUCGGUGUUCUGUAUUAGGCCAUCAAUUCUCUAACACACCUUGACGACCUCUUUUUUCCCCAAUCGAUUUCCCUUUAAGCGCUCAAAUUUGCAGAAUCACUCCAAAUCAAAAUCACUUUCUCCAUCCCCCUGUUCACAUAGACACUGUAUGCCACAAAAUUUUCCAUGUUGCUUCUUCUACCAUACCCCCCCUGGUGACUCUAACCUUUCUUCACCAGCAAUUAUCCUCGACACCUAGGUUGUUGCAAAAAAAAAGUACGUCGAUUUCUAUUCAUCGCUCUGUUGAAUAGGUUUCCGUUGGUUGCUGCUUUCUGCUUGACGUGUACCUUUCAUAAAGACUGAAGGUUUCCGAUUGGCACUGUAUCAAGCUGCUGCGUCUAACCAGGAUUUUGAUUCUUUCUGGUGUGAUUCACACUUUUCCUUCGACGAGGAACAAACUAAGCGCUUGCAUUACUUUCUUUCUUAAUAAAAAGUUUACUGUUGUAAAUGACAUGUGGGGCAGCUGAGGGAAAAUUCGUGAGAUUUUGUAAAACCAAAGUCUCUAGAAUUCGUGCACCAGCUACAUUAUCGUUGAUUUUAUGAAUCUAUCCAGAUGAGGAAAAAGGAUUCUGCUUUGUCUUCCAAUAGUUGUUAACAGGAUAGUGGUUCAUGAAUACCAGCAACGUUGAACCUCUUUCAAUAACUCGAGUUAUUGAACGCAUUGGUGCAUGAUAUGGUAUUAUAAUCUUCCGUAGUCAAUUUAAGGGUUGGUGGUUCGAUUAGGACCUAUGUUUCACCGUUUUUGUGAAUGUGAAUUGUGACCUAAGGUUGGUUGGUUCAUUUCAAUUAGGUUUUAGAUGAUGGCAUAAUUCAUAGGAGGAACAAAUUUUUGUAAUUAUUGUUUGCAUCUGUGUCAGUGAGCUGGCGUUUUAGGGAAUCUGUCUGCAAAAUGUUUGCUGCUUUGAGGAGUUCACAGCUUGCCUUGCUUAGUGAAGGAAGUUACAGAUGACAGUUUUCUUGCUAAGCUUCCAUGUGCCUUAUUCUUGCCUGGACAUUUCAAUGUAUGUAGUUGUGCCAUAGUUCUUCGGAUGUCCUUCUGGUUACUUUAAGCAUCUCAUUUUGGCUGCCAAAAACUUAUGCCGACUCUAAAUUUGAGAUUCUAUAUGUGAAAUUUGUGUAGCUAUCCAGAUUAGAUAUUCUAUAUGUGGAAGUUGAGAAACCUAAGCUAAUUUUUAGUCAUAGCCAACUUUAUGCUGUUGUAUCAAGUAUCAACGGUCCGUUCCAGAUGGUCUGCAUUGUCUUGCAUUGUCUUACACGAAACAUUGUUUCUGAUGAAAUUCUUAGCGGCCUGCCAUAGAUUUCAAUUCAGUGGUUUAGUAGGAAAUUGGUUACUGAUCCUAACUGCUAUGCUGAUUUCUGCUUACACUAAGUAUUAUUAUUACUAUAUAAUUGCAUAAACGGGCUGUCAUGGCCAUCUGCACUUCCGCAGCGUAGCACGGACAUAUACUACCUAGUUUUAACUAAAAAGUAGAGAUACGGAAAACCCCUUAAUGAACAGUUUAGUUCCUUCGUGUUUUAUAUAAUUUUAAUGAGUUAUUGAAUAAUGUUUGAUAUUUGUUGAACAAGUUUAGUUUGGACAAGAAAUAUGUUCAAUGAUUUGAAAGCUGGAUAAUAUGUCUGUAAGUUGCUAAUGAUGCAUAUUUUGAUUGAAUAAAACUGCCAGCCAGAUUGCACUAGAUAUUUGUUGAACAAGAUUAGUUUGGACAAGAAAUAUGUUCAAUGAUUUGGAAGCUGGAUAAUCUGUACUUAAGUUGCUCAUGAUGCAUAUUUUGAUUGAAUAAACUGCCAGCCAGAUUGUUCAAUGAUUUGAAAGCUGGAUAAUCUGUACUUAAGUUGCUCAUGAUGCAUAUUGAUUGAAUAAACUGCCAGCCAGAUUGCACUAGAUCACCUACUUGAUAUAAUUUUUUUUUGGCUGCAGGUCAGUGACUCGGGAUUGUAAAUGCGAAAACGAACGGAUCAGCUAAAAUCGUGGCGGUCGAAUUCGACACGAGGAAGAGCUAUGCUGAGGAUUUAGACGACAAUCAUGUUGGGGUGAAUUUUGGGUCGGUGUACUCCGUUCACCAAGCUCCUCUGGCAGGAAUCGCGAACCUGUCGUCAGGUUCCGAUAUCACCGCCAGAAUCGAGUACGACGGAGAGAAUAUGGCUGUCUUCGUCGGAACAAGAAGCACCCCUGUAAUUAAUCGAAAACUGGAUCUGUCACUGUAUCUUCGAGACGGGGUGUAUGUCGGAUUUACCGGGUCGACCAGUCAAUAUACCGAACUGAACCUCAUCAUUUCCUGGGACUUCAGCGGAACAGAAAUCCCACAAAGAAGAAAGAGAUGGUUCAGAAUUGCUGCAUCAAUCGUAUCAGCAGUCGUGAUUCUGAUAUUUAUAUCUGGAUUAGUGUACUGGAAAAGAAGAAAUGUAGAUGACAGCGACGACUCCGACCCCAAAUUAAUCGACGAGGCGAUUCAGGCUUCGUCGGCUCCUAGAAAGUUCAAGCUGAAAGAGUUGAGGAAGGCGACGGGGAAUUUCAAUUCGAGGAACAAGGUUGGGAAAGGAGGAUUCGGUACUGUAUACAAAAGGAUCAUAAAGAAUAAGGAGAUCGCGGUGAAGAAAGUGUUGGAGAAAACGACUCAGGGGAAGCAAGAGUUCAUAUCGGAAGUCAUCACAAUUGGAAACCUUCACCAUCGGAAUCUGGUCAAGCUAAUUGGAUGGGCUUACGAGAAGAAGGAGUACCUCCUGGUUUACGAAUACUUGCCCAACGGAAGCCUGGAUAGGUUCAUUUUCCCAACAGUUAAUGGAUCGUUGAAUUUGAGCUGGGCUAUCAGGUUGCGAGUGAUUUCAGGAUUAGCUCGGGCGUUGGAGUAUCUACACACGGGCUGCGAGAAGAAAAUUCUUCACAGGGAUAUCAAGUCCAGUAAUAUAAUGCUGGACUUGAACUUCAAUGCGAAGCUCGGCGAUUUUGGCUUGGCCAGGACCUGUGUCCAGCCAAGCCAGACCCACCACUCCACCAAGGCAAUGGCGGGGACGCCCGGUUACAUCGCUCCUGAAGUCUACCUGACUGGAUGGGCAACGGAGGAGGCAGAUGUUUUUGCAUUUGGAAUCGUGGUCCUUGAAGUCGCCUGUGGGAGGAAACCAGGUAGCUGCUGGAUCGAUCAAGAUGAGAACGGGACAAAUAUUGUUAAGUGGGUUUGAGACUUCUACAAGACAAAUAAUUUGAUGAAUGCUGCUGAUGCUCGAUUGAAUGGCCAUUUCCAGGUGGAAGAGAUGGCCCGGGUGUUGAUUUUGGGGCUGACGUGCUGCAAUCCCAACCCCAAGGACAGGCCUUCGAUGAAAUUUGCCGUGCAGGUUUUGGCUGGGGAAGCUCGAGCCUGCUUUCGUGUGGCCUCCUUUGGCUUCUUCGCCUGCUUUGCCUCCGUCUCCUUCUCUCGAAAAUCAGAAUUGUGACAGUCAGCGCAGUGUGUUUUCACAACUAUCAGGUAGAUGAAUUGCACGUGGUUAGUGUUUGUAUGAAGAACAAAUAAGCGCUCUUGGAGACGAUAGAACUUUGUACCUGAAACGACACACAGAUCGACUUUCUAAUAUGAAUGUAAUUGAAAGAAAAUAAACAGAUGUACAAAGGUGCAGAAUAGCUUCUCUUCCUAGGCUGAGUUGCGUGCUUUUUGUAGACAUGAAAUUGGACUCUAAUUGGUCUCGAGCUUGUUAGUGUGUUUUCACCUCAAGUUUGUUUCUCCGAGUUUAUUGCUAUCUUUGUCUAUUAGAAGGUAAACGAAUCGCCAGUUACCAACUCGAUCCCUUUUGUAAUUUUGUGAAACGAAUGGGCUGUAGAGAUCAGUUAUCAGUGUCAAAUCAAAAGAUGGAGGCAUGAGCAGCUUUAUUUCCAAUGGAGAUUUGAACCAAAACAAAGUAAAUGCGACUUGAAAUCACUCUGGUGAUCGAGCAGUUGAUAUAAUCUGUCAUGGAGGAAAAUAAACCAAAAGAGGUAGUAUGAAGGCAUCUAAACACAUCAGCAGUUAAUAUCCACAUGCUAAACUCUGAUUUUGAUUUCAUUCAUCAAAUUGUACACAAAUUGCAGGUUAUCCAGCUGGUCAAAGUGCAAGCCAUGCCACCAUCUCCAAUUGGUGCAAUUUGACAUGAUUACAUGCCUCAUGUAGAUUUGCAACAGCUGAUCUGCACAUUGAUAUUCAUUUUGUUAGCAACCAAAUCUAUGAGUAGGAAAGAGUGAAGUUCACUUGCUAAAACAGAUCAGACAUGUACUUAUUUUUCAGGCAGGUCAUCAAGGAUUUUGUUAUAAACAAUGUUUGGCGUCCUGUCCGGUGGGGCUGCACCCUCAUUGUGCAAUGCAAGGUGAGUGAGUGCCCGAUCAAACAAUCAAAUAGCAGAUGCUAAGGGUCAGCACAAAGAUGAUGGUAAUCAGGACUCAAAUGUGCUAAACACGGCAUACCACAUAAAUAAACAAAAGAAGCAGACAAAUAACACAGACACGUCGGAGGCAUAGACUGAGCAUAUAACAUGGAUAAGAAAGUGUGAAAUCAAUUCCCUAUUGGAUUCGUCAUGCAAUCUGGGCAAACCCAAAAUACCAGUUGUGAACAAACCUGAAAUCAACCUUGUAAACAUGUUGAUGUAUUCUUUCAAGUCCUAGAUGACCAUUUCUUGCGCAAGAAAUCGUAUCUGUAUAGCAGGUAUGGAAGUUUGAGAUAAAUAGAAUACAUGAUUGUAAUCAUGAAAUUUUCCCAAUGUACCGCAAACCCUCUUCUGUGUUGAUCAUCUAACGAAAGAAGAUUCAAUCACUUUGUUGUGCAAUUUUUCUACAACAGAAAGAAAUACAUCAACAUGUACAUAAGGAAAAUUGGCUACCACUUUCAGCACUAGGUUAUUAAAACGGCAGAACAAACUUAAGAGGAAAAUGCAGAGAAUAUCCUCGAAACUAAUUAUUCGAUGAAAUCAGAUGCGUCAGAAGACAUCAAGACAUGCAAUGGAGGAAGCCCACUGAGGCCAAAGCAGCAAAAGCAAUAGUUUAAUUUCCUGCAGAAAAGUGGAAAACACUGAGUAACUAUGCUUACAUCAUCAUAAUAUUGCAGCAUUGCAGCUCCACAAUGGUACAAGCAACCAUAGAAGCUUCAAACAGGAAAGAAAAAAAACUGACCAGAAUGUUAACAAAGCUCGAAGAGCGCAAUUUACCGGCCAUCAACAGGCAAACUAACACCAUGAAUCUAUAAAAAAAACUUUACCCACCUGGAUGAUGAAGAAAGGGGGGAAAACCCCAUCAAAUUAACUGAUAAUAUAGUCAUCAAAUUAACUGAUGGACAUAUGAACUGAGCAUCAGCCGGGAGACACGGCACAACAGACACGUCAAUCUCAAAAGAACGAGUUAAGAACAUAUGAGGGAUUAAUAUUAGAUUGAUUAAGAAUUGUGUUGUAUAUGCAAUAAGAUGGAACCUACAGCGUGGCUUUGAACUAGUUCCAAGAAGCGGGCUUCGGACACUUGGGAAAUAUCUUCACAAGCAGAAAUCUGCGGAACACAGCAGGCUGAUGGACAUCAAAUUGACUGCAAGCACCACAGCAGGAUUCAAGAGACCAUUAUUAUAUUAAUCAGGUGCUUUACUAGAGCUAUAUAUAGCUAUUGGUAUUGCGAAAUAAUGAAUACAUCAAGGAAAGUGCGGAUUCUUAUGGUUCGAACGAAACCAAUACAUAACAAAAGUUUGGCUCGGAGGAGAUUUUCACAUUCCUGACCUGUCUUGAGGAUUUACUCAAUUUUCUUUUUGGUGUGAAAAUGAAUUUAAAAGCGCAAAACAUAAUCUGAAUUAGAACUUGAAUAUCCACGAUGACCGCCGCUGACGGGUCACACAUAGUCUUCGUCGAUUGAACCAAUUGAAGGGUCAGAAGUGAAUCUGUUUCCACCAACACCUGCUUGUAUCCCAAUAACUGCACCCAUGAGAGACCGUCGUCCCGCAAAGCACAAAGUUCAGCAAAGAGAAUUUGUUGGUUACCAAUCGAGCGAGCAUAGCCCCCACCCCGAAGAACACUUCCAAUUGAAGAACUCCUUCCUCGAUCGAUAAGACUACCGUCCAAGGUCGGUGGAUGGUUGGAGAGAUAGUUUCCAAAUCUAAUGGUUCCCACUCGGUUUUUUUCCCAGAGGAUGAAAUGGGUUACCCGCUAGUUAUACAAGUUUCGGGUAACUAUUGUAACCAUUUUAGACACUAUGAUUGACAAUUUGUGUGAUUUAAUUGGCUGUGGGAUUCUCAUUCAGACUUGAUUUGGCAGCUGGAAAGUUCAACAGAGGACGGUGGCAAAAAAGUUCGCACUAAAAAUUCACUUCAUUGAAAUAUGGCCUGAUAAAUUCAUGUUGCUGUUUGGUGGAUACAUCUGCUUCCUGUAAAACAUGAACGACAGAGUUCUGGAUUGGACAGAGCCAAAUUAGGUUUUGAAGAAAG